UUGUGGGCAAGGGUGAAACUGCAUCUGGUUUGGAAGAUUUAGGAAGUUUAAACUUUCUUUGUGAUGAACUUUGCAUUGCUGGAUUAGAGAAUGUGAAUAAUCCACAGAAUGCAAGAGAAGCCGCAUUAUGUGAGAAGCUCAAUCUUCAUGCAUUGACUCUAGAUUGGGGGUCUCAAUUUGACAAUUCUCGAGAUGUAGCAGUAGAAGAGCACGUGCUUGACAUUCUACAGCCUCAUAAAUGUAUAAAAAAGGUGGCAAUCAGGAACUAUGGUGGUGCAAGAUUUCCACUUUGGAUAGGAGAUCCGUGGUUCUCCAAGAUAUAAUUCCUUGAAUUGGAGAACUGUAACAAUUGUGUAUCUUUGCCAUCGCUUGGUCUAUUGAGUUCACUUAAGCACCUUGCUGUCAAAGGGCUGAAGAAGCUAAAAAGCAUAGAGUCUGAAGUUUAUGGGGAGGGUUUCUCAAUGCCUUUUCCAUCAUUGAAGAUUCUACGUUUUGAGAAUUUGCCAGAGUGGUGGCAUUGGGACACCGAUAUCAAAGGAAAUGUGCACGUUGAUAUAUUUCCUUGUCUCCAAGAACUUUCCGUUGUGAAAUGUCCCAAACUCUCUGAAAAACUGCCUGAGCUUCUGCCCUCCUUGGAGAUACUUGUUGUUAGUAAAUGUGAAAAGUUGGUAGUUUCAUUGUCAAGCUAUCCAAGGCUCUGCAGAUUAGAGGUUGAUGAGUGCAAAGAACUAGUGUGCAGGAUCCCAAUUGAUUCUAAGUUGAUAAAGUUCAUGACUAUUUCAAAUAGUUCAUUAGACAUGAUUGGAUGCAAGGGGAUGCUAUACGAUAGUCAAGCUGGCUCUUCACUGCCAAAACCCAUGACCACUACAAAUGUUUUGGAGUUUGGAAAAUUACUGGAGCCUGGAUUUCAGAUAUUAGAAACUUUGGUAAUUGGCAAUUCUGAACAGCUCAAGCCAUGGAGGCAGGGAAGGGGACUUUCAAGUUUUAAUAGACCAGAACACCGGCUAAAAAUACUUGCUCACCCUGAUGAGGUAACAAUUGAGGAAAGUUGCGUAAGUCUUGUUUUGUUUCCAGAGAUCAAUUUCUUUCCCAGAAAUCUGCACUGUCUUCGAAUUUACAACAGCACUGCUUUCAAAUCCUUACCGGAGGAAAUGAUGGACAACAGUUCACAACUCGAAAGCUUGUAUAUCAAAGAUUGCCAUUCUCUACCAUUCAUCACAAGACGCAAGCUACCUUCAUCUCUAAAAAGGAUAGAGAUUGAGAAUUGUGAGAAAUUGCAACGUUUGUUCGAUGAUAAAGACGAUGCUUCUUCUUCUUCUCCUUCAUCCUCGUCUUCCCAAGUGAUGCUUCAACAUCUAAGUAUAAAGAAUUGCCAAGCGCUCUCCAGUUUGUCAUCGGGAAUUCAAUUACUUGAGUCGCUCGAAGAACUUGUGAUAACAAAUUGUCGAAAGCUGGAGUCAAUACCCGAUGGCCUGCACAAUCUUAACUGUUUACAGAAGAUUACUCUAGUGAGUUGUCCAAGUCUUGUUUCCUUCCCAGAAAGAGGGCUUCCCAACGCCAUUUCAUGGGUUGACAUUAGUUAUUGUGACAAGCUUGAAGCCCUGCCCAAUGACAUGCACAAACUCAACUCUCUCCAAACUUUAAGCAUAAUUCAAUGUCCAAAGCUUGAGUCGUUUCCAGAAGAAGGCUUUCCCACCAAUCUUAGAACGCUUAAAAUUGGAAAUUUCAAAAUGUACAAGACCCUCGUCCAGUGGGGGUUGCACAGGCUUUCCUCUCUCAGAAGCCUCUACAUUUAUGGAUGUCAUGAAGCAGAGUGUUUUCCAGACGAGAAGGUAGGAAUGACGCUGCCCACAUCUCUAACUCAUCUGUCCUUAUUGGGAUUCCAGAAAAUGAUACUUCUGUCUUCAGUGGGUUUCCAAAGACUCACGUCUCUUCAAUGUUUGAAGAUAUGGAAUUGCCCAAAUCUCACGUCAUUUCCAGAGGUAGGCCUUCCAUCCUCACUUUUGGAUUUAUACAUUAACAAUUGUCCUAGGCUUAAAAAGGCGUGCAAAAGGGACCAAGGAAAAGAGUGGCCCAAAAUUGCUCACAUCCCUUGCGUUGUGAUAGAUGGAAAAUUCAUAUACGAUCCAGAAUUGGAGGUGUAGAUUCUAUUAUUAAAGUCGGUUUAUUUAUAUUAUCCACUAUAACAAUCUCCUAUUAGUUUUUUUUUUUUUUUUUUAAUGAAAAAAAUUGCAGUUCUGUAUAAUUUAAAAUAUAUAUAUUAAUCCUCUGCCCUUAAUUGAAAAUACCACUCACUUGUUUCUGUUUUCACAAGUCAGAUUGUACGUUGAGGCUAUUUGCUUUUUAUCGGUGUUUGUUAAGGUAAUUAGUGUCUCAUAGGCUGAUUAUAGGCAGAUGAAAUUAUAACUUUUAACUUAAAAUUUAAUACCAUAGACAGAUAGAUGAUUUUUAAUCCAAAGGUUUUUAGAUGUGAUCAAAUUGUCACAUGCAUAACAUAUUAGGCAUGCAUGAUGUAUCACAAGGUUGAUACAUCUUAUAUGCCACGUGAUGAAAUUAAGGAUGUUUCUCUUACAAGGGACACAUCCUUACAUGUUCAAAUUUGAACAUGUAACUUCCAAGUGGUUAAUGGAAGUUACUUGUUCAAAAUUCGAACAUAUAACUGUCAUAUUGUUGCCUAUAUAGAGGCAUGAACGCAUCACAAAUUCAUACAUUCCAAGACAUACUUAAAGUCUUAUCAUAUUAUGAUCUUGCAGUUUUGCAUGUAGCCACCAGCCUAAGGGCAGUGUAAAACGAUCCCAAAAACCAUCAAUAAUAACAAUGGAUAUAGUUCCUAAAUAAACUGAUGAAAUUUAAGGAUGAUUGGAUGAAACAGCUAUGAUAAAAUGAACUAUCUCGAACCGAGCGAAUGGCACUGACUCAUGAAUAAGUGUGGAUUCCAAAUAUCUUCAUAUCUUCAUAGAUAUUCAUUUCCGUGUUAAUUCGAGGACUUCUAGAAAUUUAGUUAGUUAUUCUAUGAAAUAGAUAUACUAAUAAUAAUAAAACAAAAACGACGGGUGUUACACAAAUUCACAAGUAAAACUGUACUACUUGGAAACUGUGAACAGUAUAGAUUGAAGAUCAUACGAUUGCUAUUUUCAUUGAGUUUCAUGCAUAAAACUUUAUCGAUUAUUAAAUUAGACAUCUUUAUCUUUCUAUCCAUAUGUUUAUUGUUCAAAAACUUAUUGUAUAUUAAUUGUUUUGAUUUUUAAAAAUUGAAACACUGGUGCUGGAAAAUUCUGAUUUUCAGUAGCGAUUCUCAAUUCUAUAAUUUAUUUCAUAACUCCAAAUACUUCUGAAAAUUCUGGGAAUUUUUAUUACUGUACACUUAUAUGUCUAGUUUCUGUCUUUUUAAUUUCGUAAUUUUUGGCUUUAUAUAAAAAUCAUAGAGUUAGACUGCGCAAUCCCAGAAACUGUUUUCCAGAAUUGCGAGGGCUGAUAUUUAGGGCAGUUUGGGAUAGUUUUUCAUCAGUAAAUGUCUUAUAAAUCUUUAAUUCUGACUCCUAUUGUUUCCUCUAAUUGUCAAAACUAGAAUCACUAUUUUUGGACAUGUGUAACUAAAGUUAUAAAUUUUUCAAGCAACAGUCCUCUGUUUAUAUCGUUAUUGGACAGUUUGGAUAAUUUUGUGGAAAAAUAAGUUUUCAGGGGAUGUUUUUAAACUCUAAUUGAUUAUGUAAAAAUUUAAAUUGAAUGCCAAUAUGUUGACAAUAGUGUUUUGUGAUAUUUGUGAUAUUUCCGACGUACUUAUAGCUUGUUAGAAAUCAGCUCCUAUAUAAUGGUCUAGUAUAGUUUAGUGAAUUGAUGUGCUUAAGUAAGAGUGCAUGGUUUAAGGAUUUUUGGAUUUUCCUAUCUAGGUCAGAAUUGAAUAAGAUAUUGAUAGUACUUUUUUCUUAACAAUCAUAGGCCAAAAGUGAGCUCGUUUGAUUUGGGUUAUUGUUGAUUGCUUUGUAUCAUGGUAAGUAAAUUCAUGCAUAAUAUUUAUUAAAGUAUACACGUAAAUAUUUAUUAAUAGAAUAAUGUUGUCCAAAUGGAUUGGCAAGUUAUGGUUUUGAAGUUAUUUUAAAAUGUUUUCUUAAAUUUGUUUUAAAAAUAACUUCAAAAUACCUGCUUCUCUAUAAAAUGUUUUCCUUAAAAAUAUUUGUAAAGCUUUGCCAAUUCAAUGUCUUGUAAGCGUUUUAUCGAAAUAUUAUGGAAUGAUUGAUAUUGGAAAUCUGAAAACUGUUUUUAAGGUUUUGGCUCAUUGUCCGUAGUUAUCGUUACUAAUAUUACUAAAUAGCUAGUUGUAUUGUGCGCACCUAUUGACGAUUAUUGCAGGGUAAAGUACCCUGGUAGAACUAUAAGUUGGGUCACCGAGAUUAUAGGUGACAUAUUGAACUAUUGACCAGGUCACCGGGGGUAUAAGUGACACUAUGUGAUAUGAGUAAAUUGAAUGAAAGAAAAGUUUUAUUGAUAAAAGAUUUCUUACACGAUUAUUUAUUGAAAAUGAUUAUUAUGCUAUGACUUAAUUGAUUAUGAGUUUUACCGCACACAUAUGAUUACAAAAUGAUUUUUGUUUCCUAACUUGUGGUACUACAUAAUAAUGAUUAUAUACUUUUUUCCUUAUUGGUAACCUUAUGCAUGAGUUCGCUUACCGAUUGACGGCUCACCCCUCGUCUCCAACAUUUUAUAGAUUGAUUUUAGUGAUGUGCGCUUUUGGUCUAGCAAAGAGGAUUUAGCUGAAAAACUUUGGCAUUUUCUAGAUGAAUUAAUUGUAGCUAGUUUGAUUAUUGCUUAGAGCUAGAUUUUAUUUUGGAGGAUUUUUGAGUUAUUUUUUAUUUUAGAGACUAUGUUUUGUCAAUGAACAACAUUGACUUUAUUUGAAAAUAGUAAUAAGAUUAAUGUUAUAAGGUUUCAUUUGGGGUGUUACAACUUGUCUCUUAGUAAGUUUAUUUUUGUUAGCCUAUCCAGUAAGGUUUAUUAUCGACUGACAUCAUUUUCAAUGAAAUCAUCUUAUGUUGUUAAGUUUUGCAUAAAUAAAUAUUUCAGUAGGGUCAAAAGAGCAAGAGUUUACCUAUAAAAAAAAAGUCAAAAUUAGUUUAACCACCCCAGUGCGAAUUUCUGACCACGUCUUGCUUUGUAUGAUUUAACUCUAUUAUUAAUUAGUACUAAAAUAUCGAUGAAAAAAAUGGACAUGAAUUUUGAUCUCGUGUUGCUUUGUUUUGGUUGAGUGGCCAAUUUUAACUUCAUGUUAAACUUUCUCAAUUAUUAGUUGAAUUAUUUGGAUUUGAAAACUUAAAACCACCAUUUUAAUUUGUUUAGUAAUGACUAUGUUGAACUUCAACAUUUGUUUUCAAGAAAAAAAUUGAUCAAACUAUGAUGCUCUUGUUUCUAUUAUUAUGGAAUCUCUUUUUCAAUCGUCAAAGUUUGAAUUAUAUUAUGCUGCCUCUGUAUUUCCGCAGAAACAGAAUCAGUUGGUGAUCCUUCAAAACAAGAAAAACCAAAAAAAGAUGUAGUGCGUGAUAAGAUAAUGAGACAGAUGGCUCAUGUUGACAUUAAUACUCAAGUUGGAAGUUGCAUGCCCCUUGCUUGUAUGCGGACUGGGACCAUCAUCCACAAAAUUGAGGUAUACCCGGCUGAAGGUGGCAAGCUAGUUCGAGCCGCUGCGACGUCAGCCAAGAUUUUGAAGAAGACCCACUUCAAGGUACUGCUUAGUAAGGCUAACUUCUGGAAAUGAGAAACUGAUUGACGCUAGAUGUCGAGCCCACCAUUGGUACAGUGUCUAACCCCAGCCAUGGAGCUACGAAGCUUAGGAAGGCUGGUCAGAGCCGUUGGUUGGGUCGAAGGCCUGUGGUUGGAGGAGUAGCCAUGAAUCCAGUUGAUCAUCCUCAUGGUGGAGGUGAGGGACGAAGCAAAAGUAGCCGUAACCAUGGAAGGUGUUCACUUACGCCUUGGGGCAAGCCUUGUAAUUCUGGGUAUAAAACUGCAUUUCCUAAGGGAAAAAAAAAAAGAAAAAGAAAUUACCCGUCUGAUAAUAUUUUCCUUCUUUGCUAUUUAGCCUUUUUAAUAAUGUUACAUUGUUUGUCAUAUAUUUGAGGUUAGUUUUAGACCAAUUUUUAACUGAUCCAUAAUGAAACUGAAGUUUAAUUUUCUAUUGAACUUUUCCUGGUUUUACUCUUCUGUCAUUUCAAUUUAGCAAUGAUUUAAGAUGUUGAGUUCUGUGCUUGGAACAUGUAAAUGGGAAAGAGAGAUAUAAUGGGGUAGAAUAUAGAUUUUGUGUUUUGGUUUCUCAUGUUUAGAGAUAUUCUGUUCUUUUUCAUUUGUUCAAUUUGGUUAGUGGUGAUUUCUUAAAGAGUCGAUGCACGUGUGUAUAUAUACUUUUCUUUUGGCCUUGAUUCUGUUUCUUGGGGAGUUUAUGCAGUUUCUUUUUUUAUGCUUCGUAUGCCACAUGAAAGAUGAAAGCAUUUUGUGUAUUUAGAAUUGACUUGCAUCAUAGUAACUUUGAAUCACUGUUAACAUUUGUAUAAUAGCAGUCUGAGAUCUCCUUGAAGGAUUCAAAAGCAUUUUAUUUGAUGGUCUAGACCUAAAAUCAACUCCUUUAUAUAGAUAGGUUGGUCUUCUUCAAAGCAAUUCCUAUUUUAAGUAAUCAAAAUUUUGAUUUGGAAGUGUGUUUUAACACUACCAAAAGUUCUUUAAAUACUAAAAAUGUGUUUGGGAGUGAGGUGAUGUGGCUUUUAAGCUACAAUUACUGCAAAGUAAAAGUCAGUGAGUAUAAAUAAGAAAAAAUGACUGUUGAGUUGCCAAAGCCCAACUGCCGCACAUCACUUCCAAAUGCACCGUAAAAUGAUUUUGAGUCUUCUAUAUUAUUGAAACAAAAUACAUGAAAGCACUUUUGGCUACAGAAGUACACUUGGGGUUCUUUAUAAAAUUCUUCGACAGCAAUUUUUCCCCCUUUUUGCUCAUGGCGGUUUUUCUGGUUGUUCUUUUAAGAAAACACUUAAAGGUUCUUUUUAUAGAUUUCUGAAAGUACUUCCAACAUAAGCAUUUUUCAGAAAUUUUUUCUGAAAUUAAUUUUAUUUACUUAUCGACUUUUCAACUCCUGUGGUUGUUUAUGAAAUGAAAGGCAAGGGUAAUCACAAGAAAUCUGCAAACUUUAUCAAUUUUUAACUAUACCAAUUUGUUGUUUAUGCUUUACUUUUAUUUUACAGUUUUGUUUAAUGUUUAGAUGAUAGAUAUAUAGACAUUUUAGAUUGGAGAAUUUUGUCAACAAAUUCAUUCCUUUCUUUCACUUUUUCCCUUUUCAGAGGAAAGCAAUUUUGACUAAUUUUAGCCAGAAUCGGACUAUAAUAUUUUGGAGCAAGCCUACUUGAAAUGAUGCUUUUUAAAUUUGAUCUAGUUAAAAUACACUGCCGUUACCCAAAAAAUUCUAGUCUUGGAUUUCAUAGAAUGCCCUUUUAAGAUAUUUUCUCAGCUCUUUGUUGGUCGCAGCAUCUGAGAUUAGCAUUCUCACAUUUCACUUGUUUUGCCUUUGUUUUGAAGGUAACUUAGUUGCAUAGGUGAAUCGAGGUUCAAGAAUGCCGAGAUGGCUACAAGUUUCAAGAAUCAUUUAAAGAGGCGUAAUGACAGCACCAAGAUGGGCUUUGUGAUUAACAAGAUUACUAAUUGAACCAAUCUUGAUGGGACAGAGGACAUGUCAGAACCGUUGCGCACAGGGAGAAGAGUUAGGGGAGCUUUGAGAGUUGAGACCAUCAACAUCCAGAAAGGCUGCUGGUAAUGUUUCAUGUGUUACAAAGUUGCAAGGAAAUUUCAUUUAUAUUUUAACACCUUGUAUUUGAAAAAUUUAAUGUAAUUUUCUCUUUUUUCAAUUUAUUAUUCAGAUCGUAGACUAGUAAACGGUUUAGAUCGCAAGCUUUUAUUAUGCAGUUAUUUUCUCCUUUUCAGGAAGAAGUGGUCAGUUCCAUUCCAGAAUUGGAAUAUGGUAAUUAGGUGCAAGCAUACGUUGUAACAAUCAUUUCUUGUUUGUUUGAUUAUGCUUAUCUAUUUAGUUGUUUAUCGUUUGGUUGUGUUAAAUUAUUUGAAUUAGCAUUAUUUGAGAUAAAGCAUAAUUCUUUUAUUUAUUUAUUUAUUUUUUAAAUAAAUUAUUAUAGAAUAUCGUCUUUAUCGUAUAAUGUAUUUUUAUAAAAGUAAGCAUUUUUAUAAAAUUUAAACUCUUCCAAUCUCCUUAUGAUUAAAACCCUUAACCUAAUAAACGUAUAAAAGCAAAGAGUCCUAGGAUUUUCUUUUGUGCACAUUUGGAAGAAUUUUUGAGGUAAUUAUCCUUCUCUAAAACAUAUUCUCUAAUCUUAGGUGUUUAAUGAUGAAUGCAUGCAUUGUUUUUUUAAUCAUGAAUGACUAGCUAGACAUUAUGAGGCAUGAGUACUGUGAUUCUAUUACUGUUUUCCCUUUAUUUUUUAUUCAGGUUUUCACUAAAGUUUUCAUAAAAUUAAACUAGACAUUUUAAGGCUUUCAAUGAUAUAUUUUGUACGAAAAGAUUACCAGUAACCAAUUUGUUGUGAAUUUUCGAAUUCAGAACAGUGGUGCUGGAAAAUUCUGAUUUUCAGCAGCAUGUUUGACUUUGCCCAUUUUUCUGUCUGUCUAAAUGAUCCCUAAAAUUAUGCUGAUUUUUCUAUUAAAUCCUCAUUAUGUCUACUUACUAUAUGUUCACUUUCAUAAUUUUCAUUGAGUAAAAAAAAAAUUAAAAAUCAUUAUGUUGGGCUGCUGCAGUUUUGGAAACUGCUUUCCAGAAUUGCGAUGGCUGACAAUAAAAUUACUUUAGGCUAUUAAAAGGCUUUAGAAUGGCCUAUAAAAAUUAUAUUCAUAUAAUUUAUGAAUUCCUUAUGAUUUAAAGUUUAUUUGACUAAUUUUGAUAGUUAACAUUAAGUUAUGAAUUUUUCAAGUGCAAAACAUAAACCUGAAUGUUUCUGGACAGGUUUGCUGGUCUCUUAAUAUAAAUUCGUUUAAAAUAGUGUCAUAUCUUCAAAAAUUCUAGGAAUUUGAAGCUUUGUUUCUUGAUGCAUCUACUGUUUUAAAAUCAAGUGGUCUAAUUUUUAAGAGUUCUAUUAAAUAUUUUACAAAUUUUCCAGUUCAGCAACCUCUGUUUUUAUCACUGUUGGACAGUCUGGAUAUGCAUGUAAAAUUCUUUUUGCAAUAUGUUUGACUUUUAUUCAUUCUUUUGAAUUUUUAUUUGAAAUGUUAUCCAUGUUUAUGGUUUAUUUUCUUUGAUUUUACAAUUUUCCAACAUUUGAUUAGCUUGGUAAAAAUCGGCUCAGACUAGCUUUAAUGGUUUAGUGCUUAUGACUAGGCUUGAUUAUGUUAGAUUUAUAUCAAGAUCAGAAUGAGUAAUAGUAUUGAUAAGAAUGUGUCUUGAUAUUUUAGGACGAGAUUGAGCUCGAGGCUAAGGUUACUAUUCUUUAUUGUUGAGGAUUGAGAUAAGUAGAUUCAUGCAUGGUAUAUGUAUUUCACUAUUAAAUUAUUUUUAAUUCGAGGUAUCUAUUAUGUUAAAUGAAAAGUAUUUGAAACUAAUUUGUUUUAGCCUAUUACAAUAUUUUGUUAAAAUAAAAUCGUUCUUUAAAUUAUUUAUAAUAAACCUUUUAUUUAUUAAAAACUUGUUUUAUAAAUUGUCUUAAAAAAACUUUUAUUAAAUUGUUUUAAGUCAAAUACUUUGAAAUAAUUAUCAAUUAUUUAAAUGAUUAAAAGUUCAAGGAUGAUUUUAAAUGUUUUUGCUCAUUGUCUGUAAUGAUGCUAUGUUAUGUUAUAUGUUGUGGAAGGCUAGUUGGAAUAUGUGUACAUAUGAUGUUAAUGUUAAUGAUUCUCGUGGGGUACAGUACUCUAAAUGAUGUCAUACGGAUGGGUCACUGGGUCUACAAGUGAUACUAUGUGGAAUGAGCUAAGUAUGUUUUAUGUAUUUAAAAAGCUAAUUAUGUUUUACAUGUUUGAAAUGCUAUUAUUAUGUUUAAAGGAUUUAAAUGACUUUCUGAUGUUUUGAUUUAUUUUUUAUAAAUGAUUAUUUACAAAAGUAAUUUCCCUUAUUAUUAUUAUGCAUAUCUAAGAAAUUCAAACAAUUAUAAUUUAAUGGUUUUUAGUAUUGUGCAUGAAUUUACUUACCGAGUUGACGGCUCACCCCUUGUUAUCAUAUUUUUGUAGAUAGAGUUAGAUGAUGUGAGCUCAUGAUCUUAGGAGGAAGAAUGAGAGCUCGUUUAUUUUUGGGGAUUAAUGUUACAUUAAUAAUUUAGCUUCCUUUGGCAUGAUAUUUAUUUGAGAAUUUGUUAUUUCAUUACUUAUUAUCUUUUGGAAGAGGAGCAUUUACUGUUGGAUAUUAAUUUGAUGAUUUUAGAUACGAGAGUGAUGAAAUACAGUUUCACUUCAAUUUCACUUUAGUAUCUUAUUAGUGGAAUUGGGGUGUUACAUACGUGCCCGGUCAAUGAACUUGAACUUUAAAUAGUUUUUUCAACUCAUUGAUUUUUGGAACUCAUAUUGGUGCAAGGAAAUCAAAAGAAAUUUAUGAUUAGUCAAAUUCUGAUAGUUGCUAUAUAUUAUACAUUCUAAAGUUUCUUGAGUUUGUUUUCAGAUGAAAAUAUGAUCAAUUCAUUUUGUUUUUGAAGUGUAGGAAAAUAGGCUGGGAUAUUAAUGCAUAGGCAAAAACUUUUUGAGUGGCUUUCCAGCGGAUAAUUAUCGGAAACAUGACUGGAUUUUUUGACUUCCGUAAAUCUUGCAUUUUAACCUGGCAAAUUUAACAAAAGUUCAAUACAACUUUGUUAGUGCCUUGUGUUCCAGAAGCUAGAAAGAUGUGUAGAUUCCAUAUAAGCGGGCUUGUAAUUACUCUAGUAAGAAUCCAAUUAUUUGCCUUUGCACCUUCAUUUUAUUUGUGGAUCCUUGCAUGUUUCUGAAUUUGAUCAAUCCAAAAGGAAUUGCUCUGAAGAAUAGCAGUAACUAGCCUAUGUCUUAGUGCAUGGACCUGCAAACCUGAGCUGACAAAGCUGAAACUAUUAGUUUGAGGUGACAAAUCCAUGAUCGUCACCUGUUAACUUCUGCUAGUUGCUUUCGUGAAACACUUUUAAGAAAUAAGCAAUUUGUUGUUAGUCGCCGUAUCUGAUGUGCUUUCUUUUAUAGUUUGUAGAAUCAACUGUAUUAUAUGUUGUCAGUUGCAGUAUCUGAGGUGUCUUUUGCAAUUUACUUGACCUUUAUUUGUUUGCUAGUGAGUUAAGAAUACCAACAUUGGCCAGAGAUUUGGAGAAACAUCCGAAGACGCUUAACAAACUUGGAGAUGCACUUGCUUCCAAGCUUCAUUCAUCACAAUGCGAAUCCGGUGAGUACUUAUGUCUUCAAUUAUGUAGAGUGUUUGAAAUUUUGAUGCAGCGAGAUGGUUUGUUGAUGCAAAACUUUAUACUGUUAAGGACUUACCCUGCAGGCUUUUUGCAUGUUGUAUCAACUCCAAAAUCCAACGAGAACUACAGCACCAAAGCCCAGUUUUCACUGAUUCAAUCAGCUGAAAUCAUGAGGGAAAUAACAGUAUAGCACCAUCAAGCUGGACUUAGAGAAUAAUCAGAUCAGUCAUCCAUUUCAUGAACUGUUAAUUUCAUGAUGGAGGCUUAGUGGAGCUGAAGAGGAAACAAGGAUGUGUAGGGAUCAACAAACAACAGUGAGAAGCACGAUUGGAGCUCUGAUUACAAAUAGACAAUUUAAAAAUAUGUGCUGGUAAGUGGAAAUUAAAGAAAUUUGUGAGCUCAUUCAAGUUUCGGUAUUUUCUUUUUGGAUAACGUUGAUACCAAGUUUGGCAAAUCUGUGUUUUCUGCGUUUAAUCUGUGUUUUGGUUAAAGUAGAUGCUCUGAUUAAUACUUGUUUGUUUUCAUAAAACAGGACAAAAAGAGAUCACCAAUCUUGAUUGAGAAUUCAUUUAAGUAAAAUUUCAAAAAUUGCCAAACACAGUAUAAACUAGGAUGCACUUGCUUAAGAUUCAUUUUCAGACGGAAGUUUGUACCUCCAGAUCAUAAAAUCAUGUUUAUGUUGUAUCUUUAUUCAGCAAUUGAAAGAUUCCAAGUUUGCUGAAACCAUAUUAUUUCUUUCCCAGGCGCUUUCCUGAAGGUAUCGACAUCUAUUUCGAAAAUGUUGGGGAUAAGUUGCUUGAUGCAGUGCUACAAAACUAUGAAGGAUUUCUUGUCGGUGAUUACUACCACCUGGAUAAAAAAUUCAUGGAACUGGUCAUGCCGGCAAUAAAAGAAGGAAAGGUGGUACACGUGGAAGACAUAGAUGAAGGCCUCUGUAUACGUCGAAGACAUAGAUGAAGGCCUGGAGUCCAACAGCCCUCGCUGGGCUAUUCAUUGAUCGGAAUGUCACGAAACAACUGAUUGUAGUUGCUUGGGAAUUUAAAAACCACCAUAUGCUGUAGAAAUGCACAGAGCCAUGCACUUUCAAAGCUUUGUGAAGAUGUCUUGGUCAUGUGUUAGAACAGAUUAUGUUUGUUCGAUUAAAUUGUACGCAGUUAUAAAUCAAAGAUUCAGAACAUUGCAUGUAGAAGUUCAAAUUUUAAAUUUUUGGAAGCAGAGGCGUAGAGUUUUUUUCUUUUGGAAAAAAAAAUCUAAAUUGUGGAGACUAUUUUUAUUUAAUUUUACAAUCUUAUUUUAUUUCUUUCACAACAUAAUUUUAAAAUAUUUAUUUAGUAAAUUAUUAACAUCCAAACCACUAAAGAUUUUUUUGUUAAACGCUCUACUUACAAAGUUAUAUUAAUUAUAGAUUUACUCAAAGAAAGUAUAUUUAAGAAGUUAUAGCAAAAAAAAGUUCUAAUCUGUCUUACAAAGGACUAUUGACAAGAGUGGUGCGACUCCCACCCCUUCAAAGUCCACUUGACACCACGCUUUCUCGAUUUAAAAUUUUAUAUAGUUGAAAAUUGUGUUUUCUUUUAAAUCUCCUUGCUUUCCUCUAUUCUUGUUACUUGAGAAGAAGAACCAGAGUCUAGAAGAACGAAAGAAAAUUCAGCGAGAUAGAAAUUUGGAAAUUUCAUCCGAGCUUUUUUUUUCUUAAAUUUUUUGGUAUUUCUUCCUUGUUUCUAUGGAUUCGUUCAAUGGAUUCUUGACCAUUCUUCCUUCUUUCUAUUUUCUACCAUGAUUCAGAAUUUUUCCUUAAAAAAAAUCUAGAUGCAUGGCCAAAUGAAAUGACCCCCUUUAGAGCUUCGGUUACUGUUGCAUAUUCAGCGUCUGCAUUUGACAAAGCAACUAAAUGCACACUAAAGACUUGCUGUUUCCAUUCAGUAUGCAGUUACACAGACAAAGGCCUUAAUUAUUGUCAAGUUCUCCAGUAGCAUACUCCGAAAUCCACAUACCAACCCACCAGAACUCCAAUCUUGAAACUCCAUAAAUCAAAAUUGAAGUGCCUGCCUCUCUGGUACCUCUCAAGGUCCAUUUUACUACUUUCCAUGUCUUUCCAUGCAUCUACUGACAACUUGGGAAAUGCCAGGUCUUGCAAGCACCACUACUUACAUUUGAGUCUGCUAUUAUUAUUAUUACUAUUUUAUUAUUAUUAUUUAAAAAAAAACACUCUAACUAGGAGAGACAAGUUCCGUGUAGUAGGACUGAGCAACAGGGCCGUAGCAAAUAUUAUGUUUUUAAUCAUUCUUGUACCAAAGUAUUUAAGUAUGCGAUAAAAAAUAAUAAUAAUAAUUUAUUGACAACUAAAAGUUAAUAGUGGCUGGGGUGGACCUGGGUUUUGUUUAAAAAAAUUGAUUAAUAAAAUUUUCGAAAUUUCAAAUUUCUAGUACAGAGAAAAUUGAUGAAUAAAAUUCUGCAAGUUAAUUUCUAAUAUGCCAUGAAAAUAUUAUCAAGUUAAAUUGUAACAUCGUUAAUCACUUAAUCCUCAGUCUAAUAUGCCAUAUAUUUGUUUCUCAGGCUUUAAUCGAAAGUGCCGGUGAUUUAUUGUUAUUUUCAGUAAUCAGAUAGGUAUGUUAAGGCUGUUUAAUUCAUCGACAAUGUACCAACAAGACUCAGAUUGGGAGAUUGUAAAUGUAAUUAACAAUAAUCUUUUAUUCAUUUUGAAGUUCAUUCUAUUGUUUACACAGGAGCAGCGUUCUCUUAUGUUUUAUGGAUAUAAUGUUUGGUAAUCCUAAUUUAAGCUAAGGUAUAUAUAUUUCCUAAUUACAUCUAAUUUAAGCUUAUUCAAAUGCAAUCAAUUAAUGUUCAAUAGUAAAAAUUCCAAAUACUAUAUAUUGUAAGAAUUUUAAUCGUAAUGACAAGGUGAUCAUUUGAAUUAUUAUUAUUAAAUUAUAUGUAUGGUGGAGUCCACACGGUUUUGACUAGAAAUCAAAGAGUUAAGAGACAAUAUUAAUUUAUUUAAGUUAAUAGUAUUUGUUCUGUUUAGUACGUCUUUUGACCAACAAGCAUCCCGGCAUUGCACGCAUUAAUUAAUAAAGCAUUGUGCAUGUCACAUUAUUAGAGCCAAUUGCGCCCGGUACACCUCCAUACUUCAAAAAUUAUCUUAAUACCCUAAAAUCUGUUUUUACCAAAAUUUUCAUCGAUACCCUUUAAAAACGGAUAGGAAAUUACUAAGCUAUCCUCAUUUUAAAACAUUUCAACUCAACGGACAGCACCUCUCCCUUCUCUACUGAAGCAAACAAACACUCAUCUGCUGCAAUUCCCUCCAUUAUCAAACUCAAAUAAACAAACACUGCAAUUCCCUCACCGGCAUCACCUCUGCAAUUCCCUCACCGGCAUCACCUCUACCGAAACAAAUAUUCAUUCUCCAUACAUGAUAAAUUGAACUUCAACACGAGCAAACUAAGCUUGAGAAGGGGAAGCUGCCACAACUGAGAAAGAGAAGCCUAGUUCGUCUCUACAUAAUCGCCGGCGAGAGCUGAUCCUUUACUGUAAAAUAGUCAUAAUUUAACUAGUUGAGGUAAGUAAUUCUCUAUAAAUAGUUUUCUUGUUGAUAUUCAGGGAAAAAAAAAACAAAAAGUUAGGGUUUAUAUAGAAAAAUUAGAUUAAUUAGUUGCGGGUCUCUCAUUACAUGUUCAAAAACAAAUUUCUAGUUGUUUUACUACAUGCAAAUUGUGAACAAUUGAUGGAUUGUGCCGAUUAUAAUUUUGUCAUGUAACACACAAUUUGGUCGUGUAAGGUUAUGUAGGAUUCAAGGUUGUGUAUUACACGACCUUCAUGUAUUGCACUUACACGACUUCAUGUAUUGCACUUACACGACUUCAUGUAUUGCAAUUACACGACUUCAUGUAUUACACGACGUUCAUGUAUUACACGACGUUCAUGUAUUACACGACCUUCAUAUAUUACACGACCUCAUGUAUUACACGACCUCAAAAUUACACGACUUUUUUUACUGUUGUUAAUUCAUUAUAAUAACUUAGUUGUUUAAACACUUAAUUUUUGCUAAGAAUUUAUAUUUGUUGCUAUGCAGAAAAUGUCAACGAAAAGUAUUCAGGAAAAAAUGAAACGAGGCAAACCGAAAGUGAAAAUUACUAAUUUGUCAUCGUUGGAACCAAUAAGAAUAAUAAAAAAUAACCUUAGUGACGUACAAUUGGGGAUUUUUCGCAAAUCAUGUUUUGGGCACUUUUUGGACUUGAAUGAGUUUCAGUUUUGUGCCCAGUUGUUGCACAAGUUGGUAUUAAGUCAUAUGCAUUCAUCCGAUAAGGCAAUGUAUUUUAAGAUAGGGAAAAAAGUUUGUCGAUUUUCAAUGUUUGAAUUUGCAUUAGUUACUGGACUGAAUUGUGAAGAAAUUUAUAAACCUAACUUGGACAUUGUUGAUGACGGUGGUCGUGUAUGUGAUGUUUUGUUGGACGGUUGCACAAAGUUCACUAACACAACGCUAGGUCAGAUAUUUGAAGCAACUAAGUCCAAGGAUGAUAUGAAAAUGGUUAAAUUUGCCAUGUUGUACUUUUUGGAGGUUGUAUUACUUGGAAAAGAAUAUAGAUCAUCUAUAAUUAGGGAUCACAUUCUCCACAUUGACAACUUUGAAGAUUUCAAUAAAUAUCCUUGGGGCCGUGUCUGUUUUGAGAACACAUUAGAAAGUAUGAAGAAUGUGAUUGCAAUUAGACAGAAUAGAGAAAGGGCAAAUCCAGACUAUGUCCCUGAAAAGGAGGCAUACAGUCUUCAUGGCUGUCCAUUUGCAGUUCAGGUAACAAAUUGUCAAUAUUGGUUUCGUAAAGAUUAUUAAGAUUAGGAAUAUUAAUUAUUUCUUUUACUUGCACAGGUAUGGGCACUUGAAAUUUUCAGUGAAGUGUGUGAAACUUUUUCCUCGAAAUGUAAGCAUGUCAAAUAUCCAAGAAUUCUAAAUUGGACAAUCACUAAACAUGUUAGCUCUAAUUUGCUUGACUAUUCCAUAUUUGAUAAGAAAAAGGUAAUAACAAACAAUCUAGAUCGUUAGUGUCUUUCUUUUUUUCUUUUUAAUUUAUCUUUGACAUUUAUUAAUUGGCCUAAUUAUUACAGCUUAAGGUACUGGAGAAGUUGGAUGUCGCUGAUGAAAUAGAGGCAUCACAGCCUAAUCUACAAUGGUUUUGGCAAACAAAUUGGCUGCAACAACUUGAAAAUGAUUUUCGUGUUGACUCAAAGAGUAAAAAAUCAGCCACUCCAGUCUCAGAACAGAAAAGUAGCAGUGUUGUGCAGAAAAAUUAUGUGGCCAUGGAAGUUAAAGAGACUAAUAAACGUGCGAAGUGUCAAGUUAUGUCCAUGAAAUACAAAAUGAAUUAUGAACAUGCAAAUUCUGUUGAGGACAAAACUGUAAGUUUUUUUAAUCUUUUAAUAACAAUUGCAUUUUUCAAUUUUUUUUUUGUUUGCCUAAUAGGCUCUGUCUUGUUCUGCUUGCAAGGGUAAACGUCUUGGUUACAUUGAUAAUUUGAUUUCUUUUAUCGAGGACAAGUUUAAUUGUUUGGAUAAGCGUCUCAAAAAGAUCGAAGAGAAGGUGCAAAAAAUUGACUCAUUAGAGGAGAAUACAGGUGAUGUGAGGGAGAUGAGAGAACAAGUCAAUAAAAUUGUAGACUUAGUGGAGUUCCUAAAUUCAGCGGACUACAAUGUGAAGGUUCAUUUUAUUAUUAUUUUUAACUAAGUAUGUUAUUAUUUUUAACUAAGUACAAAUUGUGUAAAGUUAUUAAUAUUUGCUGCUGUGCAGAUUCCGACAACAUUUGAUGAUAACCCGAGUAUUGCCACACCUGCGACUGUGUUUCCAAGCUUCACCACAAAUGCAGGCAUAGUCAAAGAGGAUCCAAUAAUUAUUCCGUCUACACAGCAAGAGGUGAAAAAAUAUGAAAGAAAAAGGCGAUCUCGAAAGGAUGCAGCUGUUUUACGCACGCCAUAUACUAACCCAUUUCGAAAAUCGCGACAUGUCAACGUCGAUGAAGCAAAACAGCAAGUUCAGUUUGAGCAUUGGCUGAAGGAGGAUAAUAUGGAAUCGUAAUUCCUUAUUUCUCUUUGUAAACUUACUUUUAUUUGAAACAAUAUUUCCUGGUUGACUAUAACAAGCAAUAAGUUUUACUCACAUUUUCUUUUUCGUUACUGCACAGUAAAAUAUUAUCGUGGCCUAUGCAUAAAGCAACAAAGAACUUCUUCCGCAGCUUGUAUGAUGCAGACGCGUGGUUAAAUGGCGGGGUAUUAUUAAUAUAGUUUUUGUUUAGCAUGUAAUUUACUGCAGUAAUGUUUGCAUUUAAUAUUAAUUUACAUAUGUUGGUAAUAUGUACAGCAUAUAGACGUUGGUUGUUACGUGAUAAGAUAUGAUUUGGCCAAGCUCACUAUGCCACAUUUGCACCAAUGUGCAAUCAUGGAUAGUGUAUUUCAGGUACUUAGUACUCUGUAGUAAUAAACAAAUAAGAUAUGUAAAUUUGUGCACUGAAAACUUGCAAAAUUCAUUGUUUUUUCAGCAAAAGCUUUUGUUGAAGUAUGAGUUGUUUAAGAAGGAUCCAACUACAAUAUGGGAUGAAGAUCAAGAACAUGAUUUGACAAUCAAACAAGCAAAUGGCGAAGAUCUUCCAUUCGCUAUUCCAUGGAGAGAUGUUUAUAAGGUAAAGUUUAAAUUUUCUUAAUGCAUCGCUAAAGUUUAAAUUUUCUAUUUUUGAUUGGCUCAAAUUAUUGUAGGUUUAUAUCCCAAUUAAUGUACUUGAGUGUCAUUGGAUUCUUGCUGAGGUUGACAUUGUAAGGGAGACAAUUUCCAUAUAUGACUCCAUGGUUUCUAUAAUGAAUGACUCAACAUUUUUGAAAGAAUUAUUGCCAUAUGCUGUUAUUAUUCCUCUUCUACUGGAGAAGGUUUUAUGGUAUGAUUCGCACCCUGAAACUACCCAAAAAAAUAAAGUUUGGAUAGUUUUGCGUUUAGCGAAUACGCCACAGUAAGAAUCUCGGUGAGCAUACCAAAUGCUCAAUUUAUUUUCAUUUUACUGUUAUAGUUAUAUAUUCAGUAUAUAGUUAACUAUUUUUUAAAAUUCUCAGUGGAGAUUGUGGUGUGUUUGUUUUGCGUUACCUGGACACACUUGCACGUGGUGAAGAUAUUCAAACAAAUUGUACGCAGGCACAUGUCUCUUCUUAUCGCAAGCAACUAGCUGAAAGACUUUUCUAUGACCAGUCAUUACUUUCAAAGAACAACUAACAUGUGAGUAUUAUUUUUUUAAAUGAAGUCAUUGCUGUUGGAAUAGUUUGGUUUCUUAAUGUGAAACCAAAAUAGGCCAUCACUGUUAGUUUGGUUUCUAAUUAAUUUCAUGGAUUUAUUAUAUGCAGGCAUUCCUCAUGCAUGCAUGUAUGCUUCGGCAGAGGAAGAAAGCAAUUUCAAGAAAAAAAAACUUUUAAAUGGUUGUAAUAUGUUUAAUUGCGAUAUCCAUUAGUGUAUCCUAUCCAAAUAUUGACAUUGUAAACUGAUAACUUUCUUUAUUUAUAAUAAUUAAUCUCAUCAUUUCUCAAACUGUCGAAUAUGCAAACUUAUUUGUUUGCUGUAAUUUAUGAACACACAAUUUGGUCAUGUAAGGUCAUGUACACGACGGUCGUGUAUUACACGACCGUCGUGUAGUACACGAGUAUAUUACAUGACCUUAAUAUAGUACGCGACUAUUACAUGACGUUCAUGUAUUACAGGACUUCAUGUGUUACACGACUUUUUCCAAUAAUCAUCAGAUUAAUUUAGUUCUUUAAGGACUUAAUUGGGGCUAAAAUUUUAUAUUUGUUGCUUUGUAGAAAAUGUCAACUGAAAUUAUAAAAACAAAGAAGUUAAAUUAAAUUGGAAUGUAAAGAAAUUUAGUUAUUUCAUAAUGCAACAAAUUACAGUUUCCAAGCAUAACAUAUCCAAGACUAAAAAAUUGUAAAUCCAAUUAUCUAAGUUUGGUUAGCCGUAGGGCCAUGCUCUUGCUCUGAAAGUGGUGUUGUUGCAGUGCAUGUUAGUCGAUUAUGCCCCUCAAUCUGCACCUACUACACUUGCGGUGCACGAUGUCUUCCCCUUGAGAAGGUAUUCUAGUAGUUCGCGGUCGUCCUACCUCUCGCUUUUUCAUUGGCAGUGACAGCACAUAUGCACGCACCUCUUCUGAAACAUCCCAUUCCUCUUGUGGACCCACAAGAUAAAUGCUCUCUGCAUAUGCUGUAACCCAUGCAUUGACAGAAUAAUAAUGAGCACAUAAAUCAUAAAUAGAAUAGUUACGCAUAUGCUUACAUACAGCUACCACAUGUUCAUAGGGAAAUUGGUCAAUUUGAAACUCAUUACAACUGCAAGUCUUUUGUAGCACGUCAACAUGGCCAUCAAGGUCGCCAUCCUUAACUAUAAACUCAUGGAAAUUAAUCUGUAUUACUGGAUAUGUGUGUGAUUUAUCCAAUUUCCCUUUCAACUAUUUCUCAACCCAAGUAGUCAUUAAAGUACAUGCAUCCAUUGCCAAAUCUCGCCUUUUUGCAAACCAUUCUUGUAAUUUGUCAAUGAUACAAUCCAUUAACUUAUAAAUAGGCAAGGUUCGUGCUUCUUUUAAGAUAGAAUUCAUACUUUCUGCAAUGUUAGUCGUCAUAAUCCCAUAACGCCUCCCCUCAAAAUGAGAACGAGCCCACUUCUCAUAUCCGGCAUCAGUCAGGUAUUGGUGAACAUUCAAACUAACACUGCGGAUGACAUUCAUAUAUUGAGUAAACUUAAUGGGCCGAUAUGCCUUUGCAGCCAAUUCAAAUAAAGCACCCACAUCAACUUCUUUAAAAUGAGCAUUUACAUUUCGUUUUAGAUGAUGCGUACAUAUGUCAUACCCUACAGUAGGAAAUACUUUAUCAACUGCUUUCUUAAUACUUCCAUGACGGUCAGAAAUGAAUACUAAAUUAGGAACAUCACCAAUAGACUCUCUUAACUUCAUAAAAUACCAUUCCCAUGAAGCGUCAUUCUCACUGUCACCUACACCAAAUGCAACAGGGUAAAGUUGAUUGUUGCCAUCAAGAGAUGUUGCAAUGAAUAAUGUUCCUUUGUACUUGCCCCUCAUGAAUGUACCAUCAACUGCAAUAACAGGCCUAAUACAUGAAGUGAAUCCUCUCAAAGAACUUCCAAUGGCCAUGAAACAGUACUUGAAGUUGUUCGCACUGUCUUUUUUAAUGAAUGUUCGACUUCCAGGAUUUUUUUUUUUCAACCAUUGCCAUGUAUGAGGGUAAUAAAUGGUAUGAAUCAGCCGGACUGCCCCUAACCAUCUCCAUUGCAAACUCCCUUGCUCUCCACGCCUUGUGAUAACUUAUUUCAUAACCAAACUCUUUUUGAAAAUCUUGCAUAAUAUCAGCUGGCUUAUACGUAGAUGAAGCACCAUCAAACUUGUGCCGAAAAUUUUUCCCAACUAACUUGGAUGAAGCUUGACGGUUGUCUUUUUCCUGUGAAUCAAGGGAGCAAGUAUGGACAUUGUAAUACUUUCUAAUUUCAAACAUGUUGCAACCUUUAAGUCUACUUGCACGAAGGCGCCAUUUGCAGUUGUCAUCCAUACAAACAACAACAAGUAAGUCCUUGUCUGAUUUUGGGGUUUUGAAUUGGAACCUUUUUUUCACAACUAGUGCUUUAAGCUUUUCUUGCAAUGCCUCCUUUGACUCAAACACCUCUUUCACCAUCGACACAUCAGUAUCACCACUAACUUCUGUUGAUAAUAAAUUACUGCUACUAGUAAGUAAAUUUAUUCUGGGCACAUGUCCAUUGUUUGAGGUUCUUGAACUUAUAGGAGCUGGAGUAUUAUCUCCUAAUGCUAAAUCAACAGCUAAUGGUGGCUCAUCCAAACAAUCAACUUCAGUUACAAAUUCAUUAACUUCAGUAAAAUUGUUCGAACUGAGAAUAGGAAAUGAUGGAGGCACGUAGCUGGAGAAAGCAUGACUCUCUUCCCAUGAAAGACGAGGUGAAGGUUGUCUAUCCACCGGAACUGUCGAAAUUGAUCUACGUUCAAAAGUAAUGCAGAGCGGGUUUCUAAACUCCAUUCCACUAGCUACUUCCUCUAAGAAAAAUUCCACAUCAUCAUUGGUUUGAAUUGUAACUGGUGGCAUAGGAUCAGAUGUCUUAAGUUUGAACUUCAUUGUGAUUUCGAAUUCCGAAGUAUCUAUAUCAAUAACUUCAGCUAUCUUGUCCACCAAUUCGGCAUAUGUUGUCGAUCGUGGUAUCAUUAUCCCUUUAGCCUUGGAACCUUUGAACUUAUACUCGUCAUUUUGCUCAAUCCAUUCACCAUUAAAGAGAAUAGGCACACGUACCAAAACCAUUUCUGAUGAUACAAUAAAAACAAUAAUAUCAAAUUUCAUAUACAAGUAAGUACACGACUUACACGACUAUAAUACUUACACGACUUACACGACUAUAUUUCUUACAUGACCUACACGACUUACACGACUAUAUUUCUUACAUGACUUACAUGACUUACACGACUAUAUUACUUACACGACCUACAUGACUAACUAUAUGACGUACACAGUAUCAAGAGAAUGCACGGCGCGAAACAUUUUCGCUAUAAAUAAGUUAUAUUGCUGAAAAAAAUAAUUAAACAACCUACAUUGCAUAUAUUUCUACAUAUAAGAAAAAAUGGUGAAAAUAAAACAUUGUAAUGUGAGGAAAAUUUCUAAAUUUUUCUCAAAAUUAAUAAAUUUAAAACCCAAAAACAUUAACAUACCUUAUUGGGUUGUUUAAUAAGCAAUGCACCUUUAAAGAAAGAGUGGGUGUUAAAGAAAUAAAUACAUAAUUGUAUUUGUGUAAGAAGUUAUGAGAGAUUUUGAGAGAUUCUAAGAGAUUUUGAAAGAAUCGGCAGCAAAAAUGGAGUUGGGUGAAAGAAAUGAGGAAAUGAAUAUGAAGACAAUUUAUUGAAUGAAUUUGAUGCAUUCAUUAAGGGUAUUUCUGACUUUACUCACAUUUGUUAGGGUAUUCAUGAAAACUAAAAAGGGAGGGGGUAUUUCAAUAAUUUUGAAACUAUUAAAGGGUAUUUAAUUAAAAACCCCACAUUAUUAGUACCUAGUUGAUUAGUCAUUUGGUCUUCAAUAAAUGUUAGUUGAUAUAUGCUUGAAAUCAUAUUCUGUUUUAUAUGCCGAAUCAUAUUGUAAGAUGGUGAUAUUAGCAUGUUUCUUUUUCUUUGUGCUGUUUCUCGUUUGAUUACAUUUUCAACAACAAGUCGAUCUGUUGAAGAACAAGUUUGGGUUUGAUGAUGCUUUUAACUAUAAGGAAGAGCCAGACUUGGAUGCAGCUCUCAAUGGGUUGACACGAAUGAAUCCUUUCACCCUUUUUCUCACUUCAUUAUUACAAUGCGCUUUGAAGUUAUCUGUGUUGUUAAGGUUAAGGUUAACCCUGCAGGCUUGUUCGAUGCUGUAUCAACUCCAAAAUCGAACAACAUCUACAGCACCAAGACCCGGUUUCAAUCAGCUCAAAUGAUGAGGUAAAUAACACCAUCAAGCUCAGCUUAGAGACUCAUUAGAUAAGUAAUCCAUUUUCUCAGCUGUUAAUCUCUUGAUGGUGGCUAGUGGAGAAGCAGAGGAAACAAAGGAUGUGCCGGAAUCAAUUAGAACAGUGAGAAGCGUGAGGGGAGUUAUGAUUAUAUUUAGGCUUUUUGAUGAUGCUUUGAACAAAAAGGAAGAGCCAGACUUUGAUGAAGCUCUUGAAAGGUUAGCGAAAAUGAACGCUUUAACCAUGUUUCCAACUUCAUUAUCACAAUAUCUGACAUUGCAUAACUUCAAGUAAAGUUGCUCUUAAAAGGUUAGCAAAAAGCCAAAAAUGAUUGAAGUUAUCUGAGUUGAUCCAGAAAAUGUAAUGGAAAUACUCCCCUGCUUCGUAAAACAGGACAAACAGAGAUCGCUGGUCGCGCAUGGGAACUAAUUGCAUUAAAGUUUCAAACAUUACCAAACAAACUAGGAUGCAUUUGCUUAAGAUUCAUUUUCAAAAGCAAGUUGUAUGUUUAUGUUGCAGCCUAUAAAACCAUGUUUAUGUUGUAUGUUUAUUCAGGAAAUGAAAGAUUCGUCGUGUUAUUUUAUUCCAAGAAUUCGCUGAAACCAUACCUGCUUUCCCAGAUGCUUUCCUGAAGGUAUCGACAUCUAUUUAAAAAAUUCUGGGGGUAAGAUGCUUGAUGCAGUGCUACUCAACAUGAGAAUUCACGGCCGCUGCUGUAUGCUGAAAGAUCUCACCGUACAACCGUGAGAAGCCUGAAGGUGUAUUCAACUUGAUACAACUGGUCGUAGUUGCUAGGGAAGGAUAUAAGGUGUACUCAACUUGAUAUGCUGUAAAAGUGCACUAUGCCAUGUACUUUUAAAGCUUUUUGAAGAUGUUUUGGCCAUGUGUUUGAUUAGAUUGUACUCAGAUAUAAAUCAAAGAUUCAGAACAUGUUUGUUACUGUUUUUCAGAAUCCAGAACAAUAAAUACCUUGAAAUGUUUUUGUUCAAUGAUUUUGCAGAAGACCAGCUUCCUUGUUAAUGAAUCAAGAUGGCUGAAUCCGUCCCUAAGCCAAAUCUGUUUUCACUUUUAGGUUAGAAAUUGUCAUUAAAAAGUGUUUGAUAAAAUAUGCUCCGGGAACGCUAUUCGUCAGAUGGUUACUCCAAGUUUAUGAAAUCAAUGGUAUUUCAUCAUAUUCAUAACACUCUGCUUUAAUAUCUAUUCUAACAGAGAAAUUAUAUACAGAGAAUAGGUUGCGUUAGAACUUUUGCUAGAAAAAAGUGACAAGAAUUCAUCGUUCACUUGUAUCUUAAGUAAGUGUAAAAUUUAAAAUCCCAUCAUGAAAAACUCCUGGGAGAAAAAACUAUAAAAAUUAAAGAAAAAAGAGUGUGGCGUGCAUGUAAAUUAUGUCGAUUCUAUCUAUACGAUAAAUACACUCUCUUUUACAAUGGCACGGAUGCUUCAUUGAGUAAUCAUGAUUGUUGCUGGUAGUGCUUUGUUGAAUCAAUCUGCUAGAUAUUCAGCUUUCUUUCUUUCUUACUUUUUUUUUGUUUUAAUAAAUAGCUUGUGGUUGUGAAAAUAAUUUGAAUUAAACUAUGCUUAACUGCCUAUUUGGUACAACUUCUCUACUAGCCAAAAGAUUUUUUUUUAAUCAUUUAUUUAUACCUCGAGUAGAGUUUUUGGAGAUUAAAUAGGUGAUAUUUUGUCUCUAUUAAAAAGAAAACUCAAAAGGUAGGACUAUUUGAAGUUUGAAUCCACCAAACUACUCAUUAAAAAUUCAUUUGUGAAAAUAAUUUUUAAUUAUUAAAAUACCCCUAAAUUAAAUUACAAUUAUGAACACUAAAAUAUAGUAAACAAUUUUUUUUUUACUCUUUGAAAUUGUCCUUACAUUCGAUAUUAAAUUUUUUUCUUAAACUCUAAAUUAAUUUUUUUUUUCAUUUUUAAGUAAUUUUAAGGCACAUAUAAAGUGAUUCAUAUUGAUUUUAUACUAACAAACUAUUACAGCAGAUUUGGAAAAUGAUUAACUCGUUCUCAUUUUCCUAGUGAAAAUGCAAAUAGCUCAUUUAAACGUUAAGGAAUUGGAGAGUUGCUGCUGGAGAUGAAAGAUGUGAAUUAAACAUCAGAAAAAAAAAUUAUGUUUACUAUCUUACCAGACCAAGCACCGAAAAGCAUGGUAAAGAAAAAUUACAUAAUUCUGACUUAGAAGACGAAAAAAAAUGAAAUACAAUUUGAAUAAGAGAUAGAAGAUAAAGCACGUGAAUGGAGGCAGAAAGCAAGUAAUGAUAACUCUUUCGACAAAACUAAUAUAUAUCAAAAUGCAAUAUCAAAAAUGAAAAUAAAAAUUCAUUACGAAUACAUGUUAAUGAUAUCCCAAGUGUUGAGUAAUAAAAAGUACCAGGCAGGCAUCUCCCCAUUCCAUGCCUGAGAAUGAAUCUCUCCAGCUGAAUGAUACGAGCAGAUUCCUAAUAAUAUAUCCUUUAUGGAACACAUACCAACUAGAAACGAAUACCGACCAGAAGUUCAUACCGACCAGGUACUUGUCACUCAAAGAAAGAGAAUACAAUCUCACGAACGCGCGACAGUUUUGCCACAUUCCAAACCGCUAGGGAGAACACGACGCCCCACGUUUACCCACAUUCAGUUGUUGAAGACCCAUUAAGGCCCUUGAUCACCCAAAUAUGACGGGAAGGAAAAAUAUUCUGAGAAAGUGGGACGAUUGCCUAUAAAAAGCUGGGAAAUCAAUUAAGAAAGGGACAGACAAAAAGAGAGAGGGGGGAAACUCUACCGAAUUGAUACCAGGCAUUACUACAUAAUAGCCUUAAAUACAUUUUACUUUAAGAACAUCACAAUGAGUGUGCGUAACCAUAAAUCAUACAAUUUUCCCGCAAACUUCAUGUACUAACUUAAGCAUCGGAGGGUUUAUUCCGGAAAAACCACCAACGUCUCUGGUUUGUUUAUGUGAAUGUAGAUUUGAAAAGAAGAGAAAGAGUGAUUUGAGUUCAAGGAGCUCGGGCAAUUGCUAAAGUUAGUGGAAAAAAUUAAAUGAGACUCAAAAUCAAUCCAGAGGAAUAAAUGAGAAACCUAAUCCUAAUAAAAUACAUUCACAAAUCUUAAUGCUAAUUAAAAUCACGGAUAAAAAACAUAAUAUGAAUGAAUUACAGGCACAACUAUUUUAUUAAGAAAUUAAUAAAAUCGUGUAUUAAUAUAUUUUGUACAUUUUUUUUCCAUAUAUAACUUUCGGUAAUUUAGUUUUCCACUUAUCAUUUUUACUCCAAAAAAAUAUUGAGAAUAUUAUUUAUGUUUUGGUGUAAAAUAUUUGAACAAUAUACAAAUUUUCAGUUUAAUACAUCUAAACAUUUAUUAAGUUAUAAAUGAAUUUAAUGGGUUUAACUAGUACAAAUACUAUUAUUUUAUAAAUUGGGUUUAAUAAUAGUAUAUUGGGGAUUUAGGUUGAGUAAAUUUUAAAAUUUUAAAAUUAAAGGGUGGGUUUGUUUAGCAAAUGAGUUUUUUUUUUUUUUUUAUUACAUGAGACUAUUGCUCAAAUUACAGUUCAAGUUACAACUCAUAUUACAUGAGAGUAUAAUUGAUAUGUACAAUCAUAUAUUUAUACUGAGCCCUGUUGAUAUUAAUGCUGAUAUGACACCGCUCAGAUUUUUAACCCUCUCAAAUAUUUGAGGGAUGUCAAACUCCCAUCCUGGGAGAAAGACUGUCUUCACUCGAGCUCAAGGGCUCCAAGAAAGAAUAUUUAAAGUAAAACCCCUACAAUGCGACUGCGGAGGCUCGAACCCCUUCCCUCACAUUUGUGAGGGAGGGGCUUAGCCUUAGCCCAAGUGGCUCUUUUAGCAAAUGAGUUAAGGGAAUAGUUUGUUGGGAUUUAAAUAGCCCCACCCAAACUCAAAUGUAAAAUUUUUGAAAAAAGAGACUAUUACGUUUUAAAAAAAAGAAUUAAAAGGUCAAGAAUACCUCUAUUUAAUUUUAUAAUCAUAUUUUAUUUCUACCCUAAUAUAAUAUUAAAAAACUUAACUAAAAAUUUUAUAAUUUUUUAUAAAAAUUACCAUUAACAUCCAAAAAGCUAAAGAUUAAAAAAAAAAAAGGAACUGUAUUUACAAAAGUUAUAUCAAUAAUAAAUUCAGUCCAAAGAAAAAAGUUAUUGUAAACAAGUACUCAUAUUUAUCUCUACUUUAACAAUAAUCUUCGAAUCCGUUUUACAAUGGAUUUUAACCAAUGGGCUUAUGAGUCCUUUUUUGGAAAGCAUGAAAGCGAUGGCCCAAUCUCUAAACUUCAUUUUCUUUAGCCAGAAAGCCUAAAACAAGACCAGCCCAUAGAUAUAUAACUACCGGAAAAAAUUAAAAAGAAAAAAAAGAGUAAAAUUGUGUAAGAGCUUUUAGAAUUACAAUUUUAGGAUCACGUGUGUAAAUGGAACUCCAAGAUUGAUCAAGAAUUAACAAGGCAAGAUGAAGGGAUGAUCUUGUAGCAAAGAAUGAAGAAAUUGAAUCAAGAAAGUACUCUAGUGCUUUAGUGCUUUACAGUUAAGGGAUAUAGGGUGCGUUUGGGAUUGAGGUUGGGCAGCUGUAGCUUAAAAGCUACAGCACUAAAGUGUUUGGUAAACACUAGCUGCUGUAACUUUUAAGCUAUGUUGAUAUAAUUUUUCACUUGUAUAAUAUAAAAUUUAUUAUAUCUUUAAUAAUUUUGAUAAAAUUAUUAUUUACAAUUUAUAUUUAUUAUAUAUUAUUAACUUUUAUUUCAUAAUUACAACUUCUUUUUUACAGCAGCUGUAGCUUAAAAACUACAGCACCUCAAUCCCAAACACAACCAUAGUGUGAAUUCAUUACAAAGCAUUCGCAAAGAAAUUGUUUUUAAAUGAAACUCCUCGUCUUGACCAGAUUAUUUAUUAUUAUUCAAAAAAAAAAUGUUCAAAACUUAGCCAAAGUGAUAAACUCGUAAUUAUUCUACAAAGGGAACAAUUUUGAACGGUCGGAAAUUCCAUGCUUAUGAUUUUCUCUGCACUAUUUCAAUAAAAUUAUUACCCAGUGAAGACUUUAGAGACAAGUGCCCCCAUGAGAUCAAGCAAAUAUGCCCCCACAAAGAUCACAUAAUUAUUUCUUGUUCUUUUUCUUUUUGACAAUUUUAUCUGUGGUUUCAACUUUUACGCUUUAUUGUCAUUUCUCGUUGAGGGCUCCGCUGCACCCAUUACAACUUACCCCUAUAUUGUCUUUUACUGACUAAACCGUUAGAUUUGACGGAUAGCACGUUCAAUGCUGAAUUUUAAUUAUAUCAUCAAAUUUCGUUUAGCUCCUUAAACUCCAUUUUAUUUUUUAUUUCUUUAUAAAAUAUUCAAAGCUUCAUCAAGCUCCCGAUGGACCAUCAUGGCUAGGGGUGCAUUAGAGCCGAACUGAAAUAUGUUAGUUUAGUUUAGUUUGGUCAGUUUAAAUCGAAUGGUUUAGAAAAUAUAAAAUGAUCAAUUUUAAUUUUGAAUUGAACCGAACCAAAAAUUAAUUGAUUUGCUGUUAGUAUUUUUGCAUAAACAUAAAUGAUUAGUGAUUAUAAUUGAAUUGGACUAAAAAAAAUCAAACAAAAGUGAAAAAUAUAAAAUCUUAGACAAUAUAAAAGAAAAAAUAUUAAAUAUAUAAACCAAAACGAACUGAAUUAUUUUGACUCAGUUUUGGUUCAUAAUUUUUUAAACCAAACUGAUUUAUUCCCACCCCCUAAUCGUGGCCCUCUAUCUUUAGUCAUUCACCCUUGAGUUUGAUACCAAUUGUUGGGUUUCAAAUGAUUAUACACUCAAAUGGAACCCCUCAUAACCAAAAACUAACAGAAACAAUAAGAACACAAUGUUAAAAUCUUAAAUCAAUCGCAAAAAAGCACCCAAAACAGAUCGAUUAGGAAUAGUUAACAACAAAAGAUUUAAUGGUUCAAAAUCAUAAUGUGACCUACUUCCAUCCAAGAAUCAUACUAAUUGCUUUACUUGUUGUCAAAUACGAGAUCAUAAGAUUGUUUAUCACUCUACAGAGAAAAAAAAUUUAGAAGAAAUACUCCCCAAUUUUUCUCUUAAUAGUUAUGAAUCAACACCCCUGAUUUACUUUUCCUUAUUUCCUAUGAUCGGUUGCUGCUACUUAAUCCUUACCAAGCUCCAACAUAGUCCAAACACUUUUCAUGGUACAUGCACAGUGCACCUUCAGAAACUUUACAGCUCUUCUUAAAACCUCAGGCCUAUAGAGUGCAAUUUCGCACCUAUAUGCUUAGUCCUCUCAGUUCUCGUGAUGUUUUUGAUUUAUUUCUCGGACGAGUAGCACUUUUAGCUGCCAUAAUACAAUGUAAUUGACUUCUGAGCAUGACUUAAUUUUGAGAUCAUUACUUUUAGUUAAAUGAUCUCCUCCAGAGCUUCUACCUAUGUAGUGUUUUUAGACCUCUAUAGUUGAUAAAGCAUGUUCAAGGUGAAGGCUUGUUUUCCAAUCUAUAGUCCAAUUAUAGACUGGAACUGGUCAGGCUUAAUGCACCUUCAAAAGCUUCACAACUUAUAUUGAAACCUUAAGCCUUGUAGAAUGCUACAAAUUUUAAAUCCAUAUACUUAGUGCUCUUAUGAUUUGUUUGAUUUUUACUUAGAUGAAGAGCAUUUUAGCUAUAGAAUACAGAAACUAAUUCAAAGCCUGCCUUAGCUAUGAGAUCAUUCAUUCUAGCCAAAUGCCCCUUUAGAGAUUCUGCUAUUGUUGCGUAUUAAGCCUCUAUAUCAAAGCAAUUACAUGUCGAAGGCUUGCUUUGCAGUUAACAGCGCAAUUACAAUUAUAUAGAUUAAAGGUGUAAAUCCAUAAAACUACCAGACUUCAAUCUUUAGACUCCAUAGAUCAAACCAUAACUUAGUGUGCCUUUCAAUCUCAGGUAACUGUUUUCCACGUCUUGCCAUGUACUUGCUGCUAACACUAACAAUUUGAGAAAUGUUAGGCAUCGUAAGCAGCCGACAACACUCUUCUUCAUUUCUUCAUUGUCAAUUUCUUUCUUGGAACAUUGCUCCAUUGAGAGUCUGCUAUCAUUGCUCCAAUUAUUAUUAUUUUUGUUUUUGUUUUUUAAAAAAAUAACCGUGCAAUAAGAGUAUAAGACUAAGCAACGGUCCUUUUUUUUUUACCCAUUCUUGAACAUGAAGUAUUUGAGUAUGUAAUAAAAAUUGUUUAUCGAUAAUUAAAAGUUAAUAGUGGGUGGCUUUAGGUUUUGUUUACAAAAUUGACAACAAAUUAGAUUUUUCAAAUUCAUAGGUAAGAAACUUUUCAUUUAUUCAUAGAUUUUCCGGUUUAAACUUUAAAGGAAACUUAAAAGAAAAAGAUGUAUCAUUAGGUUUGUAAUUAAAAAAAUUUAAUAUUGUAUGAUCUGUUCGAUAUGCAUAAUUUAAAUAAACAUUAAUAUAGAUGUUAUAUAUCCUAAAACUUAAUUGACUUAAUUCUUAUGGUGCAAGGAAGAGGUUUCCAAGUUUAAAUCUAAAGUCUUGUAUUUAAUUUGGGGUCGGGAAAGCACUGGGAAAUAAAUGUAACAAAGGAAAAAAAAAAAAGAAUGACAGUCUGAGUGGAGCCAACGCGGUUUUAAAAAAAGUGAAAAAAAGGGUUUAAAAAAAAAAACGCGGUUUGCUUGCUUGUGGAAAUAGAAGUCUCAUGUUUCUUUGAAAGGUAAGCAAGUGUGAAUGUUUCUAUCUAGAGCUGGAAAAUGCAUUUCCGUGCAACUUACUUGAUGAAUGAAGUUUUCAUCGCUGACCCUGAUGUUUCCCUGAGCUGCAUUCAUUGCAGCUGAUGUAUUUCAUUUUGUUUUCGAAGGAGUGACACAAAAUCUCCUUCGUUAAGGUGAGAAUUUAGAGUGGCUUUAACUGUUAACAAAUAGCCUAAUAUAAGACUUAAUCUACUUCCUGCCCUGUUGUAUGCUUAUGAAAUUUGAUAGAGUUAUGAGUUUGCAGAAGCUACUGUAUUAUAUGUUGCUUGAGGCUGUAAAAAUGAGGCAGAUCAAACACACAUUUAAAUUUCAAUGACAAUUUACUGGAAGUAAAUUUCCUAUGACCCUACAUGUGACUAAUUGAUGAGAAGUUGACAAAUGACAAAAGAAAGUGUAUGAGCUUUGCAGGUUGGCAUGCCGAUACUGACUGUGUGGCACCAUCCGCCAUUUGGAAGUGAAUAUCAUUAUUCUUUAAUCAACAUGGUGGAGUCCACUGGGACCACACCACAUGGUCAGUCUUAUCUCUAUUCCUCAAUUUUCAGUAUUCCAUACAUGAAAACAACUUCAGUUUUGUUAUCAAUUAUAAUUUCAUUGUUGGUGACGAUUCUGAUUCCUUUCUUUCUGACAAAACGGAACCAUGGUUGCUGUGGGAGAGAUCUUACUCAACGCCUUCUUUCAGGUGUUGUUUGACAGGUUGGCUUCCCGUGAUUUGCUCAGCUUUGUCCGUCAACUUGGAGGCGGGGUCGAUUCCGAGCUCAAGAAGUGGGAAAGAAAGCUGAAGAUGAUUCAGGCGGUGCUCAACGAUGCAGAGGAGAAGCAACUGACUGACGAGGCUGUGAAGACGUGGCUGGACGAUCUCCAAGACUUGGCUUAUGACGCUGAGGACAUUCUUGAUGAGUUUGCUACUCAAGCUUUGGAAAGCAAGUUGAUGGCGCAAAAUCAGGAUAGCUCUGGCCAGGUUCUCAGUUUCAUCCCGGCUAGUAUCCGAAUGCUGUUAGGUUCAAUUAUAGCAUGAGGUCCAAGAUUAACGAUAUUACUAGCCGGUUGGAGCAACUCUGCAAAGAAAGAAUCGAACUUGGACUGCAACGGAUUCCUGAAGGGGCAUCAUCAACUGCUGCUGCUGCACACCAGAGGCCACCCAGUUCAAGCGUCCCACCAGAACGUGAAGUUUUUGGUAGAGAAGAAGAUAAGGCCAAAAUUCUUGAUAUGGUAUUGGCCGAUAGCCCAAGUGAUCAUGCCAACUUUGCUGUAAUACCCAUUGUUGGCAUGGGCGGGAUAGGAAAAACAACUCUCGCUCGGGAGGUCUACAAUGACAAGGCCGUUGAACAUUCCAAGUUUGAUGUAAAAGCAUGGGUUUGUGUAUCUGAUGUCUUUGACAUUUUGGGCAUCUCAAAGGCACUUCUCGAGUCAAUCUGCUGCGCAGCUAGUGAUCUCAAGACUUUAAAUGAAGUGCAGGUUCAACUGAAAAAAGCAGUGGACGGAAAAAGAUUCUUGCUGGUCUUAGAUGAUGUUUGGAACGAGGACUACAGCUUGUGGGUAGACUUAAAAGCUCCAUUCUUGGCUGCUGCACCAAAUAGUAAGAUGAUUAUCACCACACGCAAUUCACAUGUUGCAUCUACAAUGGGACCCAUUGACCAUUAUAACCUCAAGCAUCUGUUAGACGAUGAUUGCUGGUCUAUUUUCAAAACGCAUGCAUUGGAGGGUAGAGAUCAUAAUGCACUUGAAAUCUCAGAAUCAUUUCGCAAGAAAGUUGUUGCCAAAUGUGGAGGCUUGCCCCUUGCUGCAAAAACACUCGGAGGCCUUUUGCGUACGACGAGGCAUGAUGCGUGGGAUGAUAUAUUAGAGAGCAAAAUAUGGGAUUUACCUCAACAAAGUGGGGUUCUCCCAGUAUUAAGAUUGAGUUACCAUCAUCUUCCUUCUCAUUUGAAAAGAUGUUUCGCUUACUGUGCAAUCUUUCCAAAAGAUUAUGAAUUCAAUGAGAAGGAGGUGACUUUUUUAUGGAUGGCUGGAGGAAUUAUUCGACAGUCAAGAAGCAAAGAGCGGCUAGAAGAUUGGGGCAGCAAGUGCUUCUAUGAUCUGGUGUCAAGGUCAAUUUUUCAGCAAACAGCAAUCUCUGGUAGUUCUAAAUUUGUAAUGCACGACCUUAUUCAUGAUCUUGCUGAAUUCGUCUCUGGAGAAACCAUAUUCAGGUUAGAGGAGUCCACCAACUUGUCGUCAAGCAGAUUUGAAAGAGUUCGCCAUUCUUCCUAUGCCGGCGGUUGGUAUGAUGGUAAAAAUAAGUUUGAGGUUUUCUAUGAAAUUGAACAUCUACGAACAUUCUUGCCAUUACGCUUACGCAUGCGAGGUACUUUUUUCAUAACUAGAACGGUUCUAUCUGAUUUGCUGCCAAAGUUCAAAAAAUUGAGGAUGCUAUCUUUAGAAGGAUACUGUAUUGGUGAGUUACCAAUUCCAUUUGAAGAUCUCAGACUUUUAAGGUUCCUCAACCUCGCUGACACUGACAUAAGAAGUUUACCUGAGUCAACAUGCAAAUUGCUGAACUUGGAAAUUCUGAUAUUAAGAAAGUGUUCCCGCUUGAUAAAGCUUCCCCAGAAAAUGAGGAAUUUGAUCAAUUUACGUCAUCUGGAUAUAAGAGGUGCACAGCAGCUGAAGGAGAUGCCAUUUGGAAUGAAAGAGUUGAAGAAGCUUCAAACAUUGUCCAAUUUUAUUGUGGGCAAGGGUGAAACUGCAUCCGGUGUGGAAGAUUUAAAAUGUUUAAGCUUUCUUUGUGAUGAACUUUGCAUUGCUGGAUUAGAGAAUGUGAAUAAUCCACAGAAUGCAAGAGAAGCCGCAUUAUGCGAGAAGCACAAUCUUGAAGCAUUGACUCUAGAAUGGGGGUCUCAAUUUGACAAUUCUCGAGAUGUAGCAAUAGAAGAGCACGUGCUUGACAUUCUACAGCCUCAUAAAUGUAUAAAAAAGGUGGCAAUCAGGAGCUAUGGUGGUGCAAGAUUUCCACUUUGGAUAGGAGAUCCGUUGUUCUCCAAGAUAGAAUUCCUUGAAUUGGAGAACUGUGACAAUUGUGUAUCUUUGCCAUCGCUUGGCCGUUUGAGUUCACUUAAACACCUUGCUGUUAAAGGGCUGAAGAAACUAAAAAGCAUAGAGCCUGAGGUUUAUGGGGAGGGUUUCUCAACGCCUUUUCCAUCAUUGGAGAUUCUAAGUUUCGAGAAUUUGACAGAAUGGGAGCAUUGGGACACGGAUAUCAAAGGAAAUGCACUUGUUGAAAUAUUUCCUCGUCUCCAUAAACUUUCCAUUGUGAAAUGUCCCAAACUCUCUGGAGAACUGCCUGAGCUCCUGCCCUCCUUGGAGACACUUGUUGUUAGUAAAUGUGAAAAGUUGGUAGUUCCAAUGUCUUGCUAUCCGAUGCUCUGCAGAUUAAAAGUUGAUGAGUGCAAAGAACUGGUCUGCCGGACUCCAAUUGAUUUUAAGUUGAUAAAGUCUGUGACUAUUUCAAAUUGUUCACUAGACAUGUAUGGAUGCAAGGGGAUGCUAUACAAUGGUCCAGCUGGCUCUUCACUGCCGAAAUCCAUGACUAUUACAAAUGUUUUGGCGUUUGGAAAAUUAUUGAAGCCUGGAUUUCAGAUAUUAGAAACUUUGGUAAUUGACAAUUCUGAACAGCUCAAGUCAUGGAGGCAGCGUGGGGAUUUUCGACAAGAAUAUUUGGGCGUUCGCGUAAGGCGUCACAAACCAUCACAAGGGCUAGAUAUGCUCGCCUCCCCAGAAGAGGUAACAAUUGAAGAAAGUUGUGUGAGUUUUGUUUUAUUUCCAGAGAUCAAUUUCUUUCCCAGAAAUCUGCGCUCUCUUCUAAUUUGCAACAGCACAGCUUUAAAAUCCUUACCCGAUGAAAUGAUGGACAAUUCACAACUCGAAAGGUUGUAUAUCAGAGAUUGCGAUUCUCUAACAUUCAUCACAAGACGCAAGCUACCUUCAUCUCUAAAAAGUAUAGAGAUUGAGAAUUGUGAGAAACUGCAACAUUUGUUCGAUGAUAAAGAGGAUGCUUCUUCUUCUUCUCCUCCUUCAUCCUCGUCCUCCCCAGUGAUGCUGAAACACCUGAGUAUAAAUAAUUGCCCAGUGCUCACCAGUUUAUCAACAGGAAUCCAAUUACUUGAGGCGCUUGAAAGCCUCGAGAUACGGGAUUGUCCAAAGCUGGAGUCAUUACCAGAUGGCCUUCACAAUCUUAACUGUUUACAGGAGAUUACUCUAAACAGUUGUCCAAGUCUUGUUUCCUUCCCAGAAAGAGGACUUCCCAACACGAUUUCAAAUCUUGUAUCGUUUCCAGAAGAAGGUUUUCCUACCAAUCUAACAUCACUUACAAUUGGAUAUUUCAAAAUGUAUAAGACACUCGUCCAGUGGGGGUUGCACAGGCUUACCUCUCUUAAACGCCUCUGCAUCAUUGGAUGUGAUGAUGAAGCAGAGUGUUUUCCAGACGAGGAGAUAGGAAUGACGCUGCCCACCUCUCUCACUCAUCUGACACUUUCGGAAUUCAAAAAAUUGAUAUCUCUGUCUUCGACGGGUAUUCAGAGCCUCAACUCUCUUCAAUCUUUGUCGAUCGGGAAUUGCCCGAAUCUCACAUCAUUUCCAGAGGUGGGCCUUCCAUCCUCACUUUUGGAAUUACACAUUUACAGUUGUCCAAAGCUUAAAAAAGCGUGCAAAAGAGAUCAAGGAAAAGACUGGCCCAAAAUUGCUCACAUCCCUUUCGUUGAGAUAGACGGUAAAUUCAUAUACGAUCCCGAAUCAGAGGAGUAGAUUCUAUUACACAGGUCAGUUGAUUUAUAUUAUCCGCUAUAACAAGCUCCUCCUUUUUUAUUUUUUUUAAAUAAUAAUUUUGCAGUCAGUCACGUGAUUCCGUUUUCACAAGUCAGAUUGUAUGUUGAGGCUAUUUGCCUUUUAAUCGCAGAUUAAAUUAUAACACUUAUCUUAAAAUUUAAUACCAUAGACAGAUAGACGAUUUUUUAAUCCAAAGUUUUUUUUAUUCACUUCAGUUAGCAUUUUUUUUUCCCCCAAAUCAUGCAAGCCGAGAGUUUCAAUCAAGAAUUGGAGGAUGUGAAUGGGAUUUUUGUGAAAGAGUAACAUAAUGGAUGACCGAACAUUUCAUCUGUGAUCUCAAAGUCAACAGAAUUUUAUUCACUCAUUGACUUUUCAACUGCCGUGGUUUUUAUGGGUGAAAGAUAAGGGCAAUUACAAAAAAUUUGCAAAAUUUGUCAAUUUCUUAGAUGGUAGAUAUAUCGACAUUUUAGAUUUCAGAUAUUUGUCACCAAUUUGCAAAAUUGAAAUUUCUGUCUUCAAUGGGUUUUCAAAGCCUCGCCUCUCUUCGAUUUUUGUGGAUUGGGAAUUGCACAAAUCUCACAUCAUUUCCCGAGGUCGAGGAAAAGAGCGGCCCAAACUUGCUCGCAUCCCUUGGGUUAUGAUAGAUGGAAAAUUCAUGUACGAUCCAGUCAGAGGUGUUGAUUCUCUUAUUAAGGUCAGCUGAUUUCUAUUAUCCACUCUGACAAUCUCCUAUUAGUGUUUUUCCUUUUUUUUUUUUCAAAAUUUUGCAGUUCUGUAUAAUUGAAAAUGCCACUCACUUGUUUCCUUUUUCACAGGUCAGAUAGUAUGUUGAGGCUAUUUGAUUUCUAUCGGUGUUUGUUAAGGUAAUUAGUGCUCCCUCAUAGGUAUGACUAGAUUUUUUUCACUUCCGUAAAUAUUGCAUUUUAGACUGGCAAAUUUAGCAGUAAUUUUAAUACAAUUUUGUUGGUGCCUUGUGUGCCAGAAGCUAGAAAAAUGUGUAGUUUUCAGAUAAGGAGUCUUGUUAGUUCUCUAGUAAGAAUCCAAUAAUUUGCUUUUGCACGUCCAUCUAAUUUGUGGAUCCUUGCAUCAGAAUUUGAUCAAUCCAAAGGAAUUGCUUUUAGACAGAAGAAGAAUAGCAGCACCUAGCCUAUGUCAUAGUGUAUGGACCCGCAAACCUGAAACUAUUAGAUUGAGGUAAAAAAAUCAUUGACCCUCACAUGUUAACUUCUUCUAGUUACUUUUGUUGGGAAAAAAAAACAUUUAAGGAAUUUGCAAUUUGUUGUUAGUUAUGGUAUCUGAUGUUCUUUUCUGUUUUAGCGUUUGUAGAAUCUACGGUAUUAUGUGUUGGCAGUUGCCGUAUCUGAGGUAACUUGCCUUUAUUUGUUUGCUUCUGACUUAAGGACACCAACAUUUGCCAGAGAUUUAGAGAAGCAUCUCAAAACACUUAGCAAACUUGACAAACUUCAAGAUGCACUUGCCCCCACGCCUUAUUCUCCACAACGCAAAACUUGUGAGUACACUUAUGCCUGCAAUUAUUGUGAAGUGUUUGCAAUUUCGAUGCAGAGAAAUGGUUUCUUGAUGCAAAGUAUUAAACUGUUAAGAUUUAUCCUGCAGGCUUGUUAGAUGUUGUAUACUCGAAAAGCCAACAACAUCAAGAACUACAACUCCAAGACCAACUUUGCAUUAAUUCAGUCAGCUGUAAAAAUGAUGCAAAUGACACUAUAUCAAGCUGGACUUAGAGACUAGUCAGAUCAAUCAUCCAUUUCAUCAACGGUUAAUGUCAUGAUGGUGGCUAUCAGAGGAAACAAAAGAUGUGUCAGAAUCUAUACGAACAUUGAGAAGCAUGAGAGGAGCUUUGAUUUUGAGUAGGGUCAAUGAACUCAUGUUGGUAAGUGGUGAUUAAAGAAAUUUGUAAGCUUAGUAGAGUUUCAGUAUUUUCUGUUUGGAGUAUAGUUGAUAAGUUGACUCUGUUUAAGAAGCCCGAUUAUAGUAGCUGACUGUAUUAACCUUUUUUUUUUUGGUCUGCUGUUGUUUUUGGUUUCGAUUAUUUUUUCAACAUUGGGUUGAUCUGUUGAAGAACAAGCUUGGGUUUGAUUAUGUUUUAACUAUAAGGAAGAGCCAGACUUGGUUGCAGGCGUUAAGCUUUUAAUGGGUAAGAACAAAUGAAUGCUUUAACCAUGUUUCUCACUUAUUAAAAUGCAUGGAUUGAAGGCAUCUGGGUUGAUCCUGACAAUGUGAUGGAAAUACUUCUCUGUUUUCAUGUAACAGGACAAAUAGAGAUCUCUGAUCAUGCCUGAAUUUUUGUUGCAUUGAAAUUUCUACCAUUACCAAACAUAGAAUGAACUGGGGAUACAUUAGCUUAAGACUCAAUUUUGAGAAGGAAGUUUGUACUUGCAGCCUAUAAAAUCAUGUCCGUGUCGUACGUUUCUUUGGGAAAUGAAAGAUUCUGUGUGUUCUUUUAUUUCAAGUUCACUGAAAUCACAUUUGUUUUCUCCGAUGCUUUCCAGAAGGUAACAACAUCAAUUUCAAAAAUGCUGGGGCAAGAUGCAUCAUGCAGUGCGACUCAACUUGAGAAUUCCUGGCCACAUUACCCGUAUGUCGAAUGAUCGCACAGUUCAACCUUGAGAAGCUUGUAAUGAGUACACAACUGGGUGCAAGUAGUUUUGAAAUGAAUUUGCCUCAAAUGAUUUCUUGCUCGCAUCCCUUGGGUUAUGAUAGAUGGAAAAUUCAUAUACGAUCCAGAGUCAGAGGUGUUGAUUCUCUUAUUAAGGUCAGCUGAUUUCUAUUAUCCACUCUGACAAACUCCAAGACCGGGUUUUUUUUUUUUUUUAAUUUUGCCGUUCUGUAUAAUUGAAAUGCCACUCACUUGUUUCCUUCUUCACAGGUCCGAUAGUAUGUUGAGGCUAUUUGCUUUUUAUCGGUGUUUGUCAAGGUAAUUAGUGCUGCCUCAUAGGUUGAUUACUCACAGAUGAAAUCAUAACUUUUAUCUUAAAAUUUAAUAGCAUACACAGAUAGAUGAUUUUUAGUCCAAAGUUUUUUUAUUCACUUCAAUCAAAAUUUUAGAUUGCAGAUUUUUGUCAAGUAUUUCAUUACAAUUUUUUCAUUUUUUAUUUUAAACCAGAAUAUGAGUAUAACAUUUUGGAGCGUGCAUACUCUGAUGCAUGCAAUUAACUGUUUUUAAUCAUUGGAUUUUGAAAUUAAUAAUGGUAAGAUGUGUACUUAUUCUGUCUUCCAACAACCUUGGCCUCUUUCUUCGGUCGCAUAUCUAAUGAAUAUUUCUCUGUUUAGUUAAGGAUGAAUGCUUGGAGUGGGGUACUUGGUAACAUUUCUGCCUCAGAUGAAUCCUUGAAGAAAUGCCCGCAGUUCCUGAGACCAAAUACAGGUCUGAUUCAAAACAGCACCUUUCUCAGAAAAUAUGAUCCAAGGCAAAGUCAUGUUCUGAUAAUGUUUCCUUAAGUACAAAGUUGCAAGGAAACUUGAUUCAUUAACUACAGUUUUUUAUUUUUAGGACCUUGUAUCUGAAAGGUUCAGUGUUUUUUUUUUUUUCAAAUUUAUUGUUCAGAUCUCAGAGGAGUAUAUGGUUUAGAUUACAAAACACCCAUGAUUAAUUUCAUUUUUUUUUUAAUUUCAGGGAGAAGAAGUGGUCAGUUUCAAUCCGGAAUUGGAAUAUGGCAAUUUGGUUCAAGCACACACACCUGGUCACUUGGUCAGUGAACCUGAACUUUACGCAGUUUUUUCAACUCAGUGAUUUUUGGAACGCAUAGUGGUGUAAGGAAAUCAAAAGAAAUUUAUGCAUAGUCAAAUUCUGAUAUUUGCUAUAUAUUAUACAUUCUAAAGUUUCUCCAGUUUGUUCUCAGAUUACCAUCAUUUUUUGCCUUCACCAAAAAAAAAAAAUUGAGUGGCUUUCCAGUGGAUAUUUAAUCGGAGGUAUGACUGGAUUUUUUUCACUUCUGUAAAUCUUGCAUUUUAAACUGGCAAAUUUAACUUUAAUUUUAAUACGACUUUGUUGGUGCCUUGUGCCCCAGAAACUAGAAAGAUGUGUAGUUUUCAGAUAAAGGGGCUUGUAAAUUCUCUAGUAAGAAUCCAAUAAUUUGCUUUUGCACGUUCAUUUUAUUUGUGGAUCCUUGCAUCUGAAUUUAAUCAAUCCAAAAGGAAUUGCUUUUAGACAGAAGAAGAAUAGCAGUACCUAGCCUAUGACAUAGUAUAUGGACCUGCAAACCUGAAACUAUUAGUUUGAGGUAAAAAAUUCAUGACCCUCACAUGUUAACUUUCAUGAAAAACACAUUUAAGAAAUUUGCAAUUUUUUGUUAGUUUCGUAUCCGAUGUUGUUUUCUGUUUUAGCAUUUGUAGAAUCUACUGUAUUAUAUUUUGGCAGUUGCAGUAUCUGAGGUAUGUUUUGCAUUUAACUUGCUUUAUUUGUUUUGCUUGUGACUUAAGAACACCAAUAUUUGCCAGAGAUUUAGAGAAGCAUAUCAAGCUGCUUGGCAAACUUGACAAACUUCAAGAUCCUCCAUUCUUCACAACGCAAAACUUGUAAGUACACCUAUGCCCGCAGUUAUUGUGAAAUGCUUGCAAUUUUGAUGCGCUGAAAUGGUUUGUUGAUGCAAAGGUUUAAACUUUUAAGAUUUACCCUGCAGGGUAGUUGGAUGCUGUAUACUCGAAAAGCGACCAACAUCAAGAACUAUGACUCCAAGACCGGGUUUGCUUUAAUUCAAUCAGCUGAAAUCAUGAUGCAAACGACACUAUCAGCUGGACUUAGAGACCGGUCAGAUCAAUCAUCCAUUUUAUCAACAGUUAAUGUCAUGAUGGUGGCUAUUAGAGGAAACAAAGGAUGUGUCGGAAUCAAUGUGAACAGUGAGAAGAAUGAGAGGAGCUUUGAUUAUACGUAGGCUCAAUGAACUCAUGCUGGUAAGUGGUAAUUAAAGAAAUUUGUGCGCUUAGUAGCAUUUCAAUAUUUUCUGUUUGGGAUAUAGUUGAUGAGUUGAUACUCUGAUUAAGAAGCCUGAUUAUAGUAGCUGACUUUUUUUUUGUGGUUUGCUGUUGAUUUUUCUUUUGAUUUUUUCAACAUUAGGUUGAUCUGUUGAAGAACAAGCUUGGGUUGAUUAUGCUUUAACUACAAGGAAGAGCCAGACUUGGAUGCAGGCGUUCAGCUUUUAAUGGGUAAGAACAAAUGUAUGCUUUAAACAUGUUUCUCACUUAUUACAAUGCACGCAUUGAAGGCAUCUGAGCUGAUCCUGAAAAAGUGAUGGAAAUACUUCUCUGUUUACAUAAAACAGGACAAGAGAUCUCUGAUCAUGCCUGAGAAUUAGUUGCAUUGAAAUUUCUACCAUUGCCAAAAAUAGAAUAAACUAGGAAUACAUUAGCUUAAGACUCAAGUUUGAGAAGGCAGUUUGUACAUGCAGCCUAAAAAAUCAUGUCUGUGUUGUAUACUUGUAUGUUUCUUUGGGAAAUGAAAGAUUCUGUGUGUUCUAUUAUUUCAAGUUUGCUGAAAUCACAUUUGUUUUCUUAGAUGCUUUUGAGAAGGUAACAACAUCAAUUUCAAAAAUGCUGGGGUAACAUGCAUCACGCAGUGCUACUCAACAUGAGAAUUCCGGCCGCAUUACCUGUAUGUUGAGUGAUCGCACAGUACAGCCUUUAGAAGCUUGUAAGGAGUAGACAACUAGAUGUGAGUAGUUUCAAUAUGGAUUCGCAUCAAAUGAUCUCUUGCCAGUGAUUACUAUAACCUCUAUCCCAAAAUUCUUGGAACUGGUCAUACCAAUAAUGAAGUGUUGUGUAUGUUGAAGACAUUGCGAAAGCUCCGUCAGCCUUUGUAUUGGAAAACAGUUGGUUGUAGUUGCUUCUGAAUGAUAUUAUUAAUAGAUACUGUAAAAAUGAACUGUGCCACUCAUUUUCAGAGCCCUGUUAAGAUGUGUUGGUAAUGUGUUUGAAGGUUGUUUGAUUUAUGUUGUAUUCAGCUAUAAAUCAAAGAUUCAGAACAUGGUUAUGUUACUGGUUUCCAAAUCAAAAAAUUGCCUUGUGAUGUUAGUGUUCAUUGUUUUCACAGGAGAUCAGGUUCCCUGUUGAUGAAUCAUUAAGGCAAACGCAUCCAUGUCUUAAGUUCAAAUGUGUCUCUUCUAUUUUCUAUUACUGACUCCUUUAUUUUGAUUUCUUCAUUGUAAUGGAAUUGGUUUUUAUUCCAAAUUAGUCUUAAGUUCUGUUAGCAUUUGAAGAUAGAACUAGAACUAAAUGAUUGACUGGAUUAAAUUCCGAUAAAGAAUUAAGUUAUAUAUUUAGAGAUAUUAUGUUUUUUUUUUUUUCAUUUGUUCAAUUUGGUUAGUGGUGAUUUCUUAAAGACUCAAUCCAUGUGCGUUUAUGCAUUUUUCUUUUGCCUUAAUUUCUGUUUCUUGGGGAGUUUAUACAGAUUCUUAUUUUAUGCUUCACAUGCCACAUGAAAGAUCGAAUUCUUAUAAUAAGAGUCUGAGAUCUCCCUGAAGGAUUCAAAGCAUUUUAUUUUAUAUUAAACUCCUUUACGUGGGUUUGGACACUACCACAAGUUCUUUAAAUACUAAAACGAUUUUAAGUCUUUUGUAUCAUCUGAUUGAAAUACAUGAAAGCACUCGUGGCUGCAAAAAUACAGUUGGGGCUAUUUCUAAAGUCUUCAACAGCAUUUUCUUUUUAACCUUUAUCCUCAUGGUUGUUUUUGCAGUUGUUCUUUAAGAAAACAUUUAAAAGGUUCUCUUUAUGGAUUUUUGAAAAUAAUUUUAACAUAAGCAAUUUUCAGAAGCACUUUAGAUGUCUGGCAUUUAGAAAAUUUUAUUCCGGUGUCACAUAAAAUACUUAGGAAGUUAAAUUUAUUUAUUUAUGAGCAUGUGCCAGUGCCCUGUGGCAUCCUCUUCACUUGUGAUAGUCAAAUGUAUUAUACGAUACAAUAUUAGCUUGACUGUAGCACAGAGGAGAAUAGGGUUGGUGUUGGUCUGAACCAGCUUAUGUAACAGCUGCCAAAGGAUAAUUUAAUUGUACUUUGAGUAAAGCUUUUGCAAAUUAAACAAGUGAUAAUUUGUUUCUAUUAAGAAAAACUUAAAGGAUAGGGCUAUUUUAACUCACCAAACUACACAUUAAAAAUCUACUUACAAAAAUAGUUUUUAAUUAUUAAAAUAUUCCUAAAUUAAAUUAUAAUUAUGGACACUAAAAUAUAAUUUUUUUUAUAUUUUACCCUUUGAAACUAUCUUUACAUUCGAUAUUACAUUUUUUUCUUAAACUCCAAAUUGAUUUUUUUUAUUAAUUUUAAAACACAUAUAAAGUGAUUCAUAUUGAUUUUAUACUAACAAACUAUUAUAGCACAUUCGAAAAAUAAUUAAAUCGUUCUUAUUUACAUAGUGAAAAUGCAAAUAGCUCAUUCAAAUGUUAAGGAAUUGGAGAGCUGCUGCUGGAGAUGAAAGAUGUGAAUUAAACAUCAGAGAAAAAAUUAUGUUCACUGUCUUGCCAGACCAAGCACCGAAAAGCGUCGUAAAGAAAAAUUAGAUAAUUUAGAAGAUAAAGCACGUGGAAUGGAGGCAGAAAGCAAGUAAUGAUAACUCUUUCGACAAACUAAUAUAUACCAAAAUGUAAUAUCGGCCCUAAUAAAAAAUGUGUUACGUAAGUAAAAGCACCAGGUCGGUCGUGCUACUAUUUCUGUCCCGGUAUGGCUCACCUCAACUGAAUGGUACAAGCAGAGCAUGGAGACGAAUAUGGCCCGACCAGAGAUGAGUACCGACCAGAGGUGUAUGUCGAGCCGAUACCCGUCUCCUGAAAAAGCGGGAACACGAUCCCACAGAAUCGCGGAAUUUGCGUUUUUCCCAGAACCGUUGCGAGAGAUGCGAUACCCCACGUUUACCCGUAAUGUAGUAGUUAAAGUUCCGUGAAAGGCCACCACCCGAAAAAGGAGGGAUGAAGACUGAGCGGGAACGUGGGAUAACGGCUAUAAAAGAAGGAGAAAUCGAUGAAGAAGGGGACAGAAAAAUCAAAAGAGGGAAAACGCUGCCAAAUUAUUGUCAGGCUAUCUUCUUGAAAAUUCCAGAUAAAUCAAAAACUACUCUUAAAUCUAAAUUGCUCUGUUUUCCCGUAAAUACCUUGAGCUAACUUAGGCAUCGGAGGGUUUACGCCGGCAAAACCACCCGCGUCUUUGAUCCGUUUUUUUGUGAGCGCAGGUCUAGAAAGAGAAAGGAGGACGAGUCCAAGUCCCGCGGUUCGAACUUGAUAACAUAAUCGUUGGUGGAAAAUUCUGGUCGGUAACAAGGCGAGCAGAUUUAAGCAUCAACAUUUUGGCGCCGUCUGUGGGGAGCUGGAUAAAAAGCUACCACCAACUUAGUAGUUGCCAGAGAAGCGGUAAACAAUCAGACAUGGAUGUGCCCAGGAAAGACGCUCUGAGGGAGGAUAACGAGUCUGGAGAGACAAUCACUCUUAGGGAAAUUGCAAAUGAAGCCCGGGAGAGGGUAAUGCAAGAUCGAUUGGAGCGGAUGGAGAAACAAAUGGAGACUCUCGCGACCAUACUAUUUGAGCUGAGAGACGAGCGGAGAAGGGAUUGCGAAACCCCUGUGGGGAGAGAUGAUGUCGGAGCAGAACCCAGCCUCCGGACGCGUAGAGUCGAGGAGAUCCCUCCGCCGGCGGACCAACCUAAUGGGGUGCAUCCCCACAGAAGUACUGGUCGGAUUCCAGGAGAACAAAUAGAUGAAGGGAGGAACCAACCUCGCCCUGGGCGGGUACUGGAAGCUGAUGGCCGAGGGGCCAGUGUUAAUGAAGGGGAGCUCAGGCAGCGGUUGCAGAAUGCCGAACAGGAGCGAGAUCAAAUAGCUGCACGUGAUCCUGACCGUGCUGUAGAAUUGGAGGGAGAGGUGCGCAGAUUAGCGCAAGUGAUAGAGGAGAUACAGGGUAGGAGAAAGCCCCCGAGCUGGAGGAUAAUGCUAGAUGAAGAAUCUCCACUAUCAGUUGAGAUCAUGGGCACUGUAAUCCCAAGAGAUUUCCGCUUCCCCGACCUCAAAUACUCCGGGCGAAGUGAUCCACUGGUGCAUAUUGAACGUUUUAAUGACGUGACGGGUGUUCAGGGGUUAACACCAGCUCAGAGGUGUAGGGUAUUCCCAUUGACACUAGAGAGACGAGCCCGAGAAUGGUACCACAAACUGUUACGAGGAAGUAUCAGAGGGUACGAGCAGAUGUGCCAAGAAUUGGCCGAACAAUUCCGGGGGGCGGUGGCCCCAGAGGAUGAUAUGAUGGAACUAAUGGGGAUAAAGCAGGAGGAACAAGAACCCCUUCGAGAUUUUGUAAAACGAUACCACCGAGCCGUGCUUGAUUUGGGAGCUUUCAAUCACCCGCAGGCGUUGAGGGGAUUGAAGGAGGGUGUGAGAAUAGGCCGACUGUGGUAUAACCUGAGAAGCCCCCUGGUGCAGAAUUAUUCCGCGGGGUAUGAGCAAGCAAAGAGAGACAUUGAAAUCGAAGAAGAAAAAUCAGCCAGGAUAAAGAGUGAACAAUUGGAGGAGCUGAGACGAAGAGAGAUGAGAGCCCCAAAAGGAGCGGGUCAGGAAAGCAAGCUGGGGAAUCUUCAAUGAUGGGUGCAGUAUCCGCUCGAUCUCGCCUUUAUCCUAUGGCUCAGAGACCGCAGCAGGUCCAACACAAUCGGGCUCAGCCCUCACGCCCCCCAUUCCUGGAACGACAACGAGAAUUUCGGCAGUUGGCUAACCAUCCCUAUCACAACGCUCCCAGAGCACCGCAUACAGCCAACCCCAGAGCGGGACGAUCAGGUCAGCUACCUUCAAUAUCCGCUCGGGAUGAUACUCAUGAUAGCCGAGCAGUCCAGCUGAUUGACCAGAACCCAGCGUACGGACAAUAUACCCCGCUAAAAGUCCCUAUGGAGGAGUUGUAUGAGAGAAUCGAGGGACGAGGCCUGUUGUACCCUCCAGCCCCUAUAACGAAACCUGCUCACCGAAGGGAUAAGAGCAGAUUCUGCAAAUUCCAUGACACUCACGGUCACACCAUCAGCCAAUGUCGUGACUUUAAGAUUCAGGUGGAGGAUUUGGUGAGAAAUCGUUAUUUGGAUGAGUAUGUAGAUGGGGUUUCUCCCGUCAUUGAAUCACAGUACACGCGGGGUGAAGGAGAUGAGAGGAGCCUGGAACGUGAACAGCCAACUAUCCGUGUGAUAGCAGGAGGGCCAACCCUGGCUGGGGAUUCGAAUAGGGCACGGAAGAACUAUGGGAAAUACGCCAUGACCAGCAAAGAAGUUCUUUUCAAUUUGCCAGCAGCCAAGAAGGCAAAAUUGCGGCAAGUUCCCAUUAUGUGGACAGAUGACGAUAAAGAGGGUAUCCUAUAUCCUCAUAAGGAUGCACUGGUGAUUAAGGCAAUGGUGGCUGGUACAGAACUACGACGGAUACUGGUAGACACGGGCAGCUCGGUUGACAUCUUGUUUAAAUCGGCCCUAGAUGAUAUGGGGAUUGCAGACUUAAAAUUGGAACGGACGAACACAUCUUUAAAGGGAUUUGGAGGGGGACGGCUAACUCCCAUAGGAAUCGUCGAACUCCCAAUUACUAUGGGGACAAAGCUGUUUGAAAGAACAAUGAUGUUGGAUUUUGUCGUGGUAGAGGAGAGAAGCCCUUACCAGAUGAUACUGGGGAGACCGUUCAUGAAGAUAAGUCAAUGCGUUGUGUCUACGCAUUAUCUGGCACUAAAAUACAGAAUAAACGGAGCGGUUGGUGUAGUAAAAGGUGACCAGAGGGUGGCAAGGAGUUGUUAUGCUACAGCGGCCAAGGAGACGCUGCAGGUUACUUCCUUAGAUAAUCGAGGAGAACCUAAAAAGGGCCGCCAAGAACCUGUUGAGAAACUGGAGGCAGUUUCGGUAAGCAAAGGCGACCUGAGCAGAGUGGUGAAGAUCGGAUCGGGGUUGGUUGGUGCAGUCAAAGGCGAACUGGUAAAUUGCCUACAGUCUCAUGCAGAUAUAUUUGCCUGGUCUCACGAGGAUAUGCCAGGAAUUGAUCGUGGGGUAGCUUGCCACAAGUUGGCAAUUAAGAAGGGGGCGAGGCCGGUGAGACAGAAGAGGAGAUGCUUUAACCAGGAAAGAUACCCAGACGGACGAGAUGUGAAGAGGUCAUGGAACGCCGAGCACUUAAAGAAGUAUUUUCAGUAAGCAAAGUGCUCUGCUAAAUCCUCAUUUUGAUAAGUUUUCUUUGUUAACUGCAUGAUGGUUUAUUACGCAUGUACAUAGUCUGUAUUUUGUAAUACAUUCAAAUCGCAAUAAAGAUGAAUUCAGCAUGAAACCCUUCUGUUAAGCAAGGCCAUUAUAAUUUAUACCAAGGCAAGUAAGUGCCUGCUUCUGCUCGGUCAACGAAAGACCAGCAGCUAAAUUAGCGAAAUUUCUACCAAGGCAAGUAAGUGUCUGCUUCUGCUCGGUCAACGAAAGACCAGCAGCUAAAUUAGCGAAAUUUCUACCAAGGCAAGUAAGUGCCUGCUUCUGCUCGGUCAACGACAGGCCAGCAGCUAAAUCUACGAAAAUUAUACUAAGGCAAGUAUGUGCCUGCUUUAGUUCGGUCCACGAAAGACCAGCAGCUAAUACUACGAGAAUUCUGCUAGGGCAAAUAAGUGCCUAGUUCUGCUCGGUCAACGAAGACUAGCAACCAAUUUUAUUAAAAUUUUACUAAGACAAGUAAAUGCAUACUCCUGCUCGGUCCACAAAGAAACCAGCAAGCAAAAUCAGAUAAGUUGUCCAAUUAUUUUGCAGAAACCAUCUAUGAGCAAAUACCAGACAAGAAAGUCAAUAGAGAACAUCUAAAAGUUUAUAAAUGUUUGAUUGUCUACAAAAUAGAUGUAAAUCUAAAGUUUACACAGAAAUAGACUUAAAGAUUAGCAGGGUCAACGGCUCCAGCAGCUGAAGAAUCAGCAACCUCAGGAGGCGGGAGAUCGGCAAUACCGGGAGGAGGGGGCAUGGACCCUUGACCCACCUCGAAAGUACGUCCCCCGGCUUCCCCCUCCUGCACCCCCUCCAAAGGAGCCUCCGCCUGAUCCUGAUGACCUUGCUCCUUAUCUGCCUGGCCGGUUUCCGCCAUAUACCGCUGCACUCCAGCCUCCAGCUUACUCAUGUCCAGCUCGGGAUAUUCUUCUUUAAGCACGGACAUGAUACACUUAUAGGAGAAAGCAACCCCAGAGUCAUACUCGGCAUCCAGCUGGUCGUCCACAUCAGCGGAUUUGCCUUUCUCCUCAGCCAGCUGUUCAUUUAGGGAUUUGAUUUCUCCCUCAAGGGCAGUCCUCAGAGUAUCUCUUUCACUUUGAGUUACCUGAAGGUCAGACUUCAGGCUGCCCAACUCACCCUCGAGUUUGGAGGCAGUGGACUCAGCAAUUGCAGUUUUCUCCUCCAGCUCCAUAAUCUGUUUGUUCAGCUCGGCCAGUUUCUCCUUGGAGCGAUCAGCAGAUUCAGCCUUCUUUUUCAACUCCUGAUUAUCAGCUUGAAGCUUCCUCUCAUGGCGUAUGGACACGUUCUUGUAACACGAAACCAUGGUGGCCAGCCUGAAGGAAACCCUUUGAACAGAGGCAGCUAACUCGGAGAGCUCCAUACUCUCGAUGUCCUUCACCAUCUUGGGCCCAACCGACCUCUUGUAAUCCUUUUGGUACGGGCUCAAAUAGUCACCCUGAUCCCGAGAUGGAAGAGGAGAAGAUCGGUCCCCAGAUUGUAAGCUGACCUCAGGGCUCUUGUCGGAAGUUUUCUCCCCACUACUCUUACGAGGUGGAGGAGGGGGCAGAGCAGGAACUGGAGCCUGAGAAGGACUGGCACUGGCCUUUUUCGGAGGAGGAGGAGGGUGGCUGGAGCUGCUCGAUGCCCGACCACGCUUUCUGCUCAUCGCGCUGAGGAUCUUGUUAUCCAUCCCAGCGGCAAUAUCUACUAAGCCCGAACCGACCAGGUUUGUUGGUGACAGGAGGUCUUGACAAGUAGACGCGCUCACCAGAGCCGUUUCCACCUGGAGUAAAGGUCGGUCCUCGAGAGUCUUAACCAAACCCCACGAUUCUGAAAAAACAGACAAGGUUAAAGAACCCAAUAAGUGGCAAUUCGAGAAAGAAUAUAGGCAAAAAAUGAACGACCUGGGGUGACAAAUUGCGUUGGAAGGUAAAUGUCACCACCCAACGACCGAACUGCUGGACACCAAUUUCCCCCAGCAAAGAAGAAUUUGUUCUUCCAAUUUUUGCACGAGGAGGGGAAACCGGUGAUUGGCUUUCUCUUCGCAGAACUGGACAUGAAGUAGUACCAGCCCGCCUCCCUUGGGCUGCUCCGCAGCUGAUACAGAUGCUUCACUUCAACAAGGGAAGGCUCCUCCGACCCACACCUCUCCCACAACACAAACAUAGCCGAGAGAACCCUCCACCUGUUUGGGUGUAGUUGACCUGGGGCCAGGUGCAUACCCCCUAAAAUCUUGGCAAAAUAGCGCUGAAGAGGCAGCCGAGCUCCUAAUUUAAAGCUCUCCAGGUGCAUGGUCACGUACUCCCGCGGAGGCCGACUAGGAACAUCACCUUUCUCAGGAACCACAAGGAGAACCUCCUUAGGAAUAUCAUAGAGGUUCCUAAGCUUGAACAGAUCAUUUUGGGUGGUGGCACAGGCUAUGUGAUCAAUGGGGUAAGAAUCUGCCUCCAUCCUAUGCCCAAGGUUUUGUUUCUUAAGAGGUCGGCUCGGCUCGGCUCGGAGCUGCUUCCCUCACUAUCACCCGCUCCUUCAGGAACCCCGACCCCACCAGAACUGUGGUUCUCGCCAGAGCCCGACGCAGGUCCCCCUCUAUUUCCUACAAGCUCUAAUUCAGAGGAGGGUGAAAUGGUCAAGGGACGUGGGUACUCAAGGAUAUCCCUACUAUGGGAUAAGCCUACACUACGAGAGGGAUUCAAAAAAUCAGUGGGUAUGGGCAAGUUAAGGUCUGAAUCCCCAGAUUCUUCAUCACCCUCGUCUGCAAUCAACUUCCUUCUUCGAUUUGACAUACCGGAGUUCCAAAAGAAAACCAAAACAAACCCAAGUACACGAAUACAAAAAGAGACAGUACAGAACCCAAUCAACAACAGCCAAAAAAGAGGUUAAAGGCUAUACCUGGAAUGGACUAACAUUGGUAGCACUGCCGUGACAGAGAAAACACCCAGCAAAUGGAUACUCCGGACGCUGGAAAUGGGAGCAAAGUCCAGAAAAGAAAUUGGUUAGUGACGGAGAAACGAAUCGCAGAAUGAUGAUGAUUUUAGUCUAGGGAUUUGGAACGAAAAGGGGGGAAACGGAAGCAUUUAAGUGAUGGGAUAUGCCAGCUCACUCACCAUAUAUCGAGGAAGGAUAGCCCGUCGUUUCAAAUUUCAAAAUAUGAAGAGUCGGGAAGCGCCACGUCACUAACCGAUACAAGAGGCCAGACUAGAGCAAGCCCAGAUAUGCAAUGGACAGGCUCAUUAAGGCCCAUGCUCAGAAGACCAGAUGAGAAGCCCCGGGCUGGUCGGCUUCAACCAUCAGUUUCUACUCUUAACUCAUUUCACUCGCAAGACCAGAAACUGGGGGACUGGUGUUAAGUAAGUAAAAGCACCAGGUCGGCCGUGCUACUAUUUCCGCCCCGGUAUGGCUCACCUCAAUCGAAUGGUACAAGCAGAGCAUGGAGACGAAUAUGGCCCGACCAGAGAUGAGUACCGACCAGAGGUGUAUGCCGAGCCGAUACCCGUCUCCUGAAAAAGCGGGAACACGAUCCCACAGAAUCGCGGGAUUUGCGUUUUUCCCAGAACCGUUGCGAGAGAUGCGAUACCUCACGUUUACCCGUAAUGUAGCAGUUAAAGUUCCGUGAAAGGCCACCACCUGAAAAAGGAGGGAUGAAGACUGAGCGGGAACGUGGGAUAACGGCUAUAAAAGAAGGAGAAAUCGAUGAAGAAGGGGACAGAAAAAUCAAAAGAGGGAAAACGCUGCCAAAUUAUUGUCAGGCUAUCUUCUUGAAAAUUCCAGAUAAAUCAAAAACUACUCUUGAAUCUAAAUUGCUCUGUUUUCCCGUAAAUACCUUGACCUAACUUAGGCAUCGAAGGGUUUACGCCGGCAAAACCACCGGCGUCUUUGAUCCGUUCUUUUGUGAGCGUAGGUCUAGAAAGAGAAAGGAGGACGAGUCCAAGCCCCGCGGUUCGAACUUGAUAACAUAAUCGUUGGUGGAAAAUUCUGAUCGGUAACAAGGCGAGCAAAUUUAAGCAUCAACAAAAUGAAAAUAAAAAUUCAUUACGAAUACGUGUUAAAGAUAUCCCAAGUAUAGAUGUGACUGAAAUAUUUGAGAUUGAAGAAGAAUUAAGACUCAAAAUCAAUUGGGAGGAAUAAAUGAGAAACCCCAAUACCAAAAAAUACACGCACAAAUCCUAAUACUAAUUGUAAUCACGGAUAAAAAGCAUAAUACGAAUAAAUUAAAUGGGCAACUAUUCCAUUGAGAAAUUAAUUAAAUCGUGUAUUAAUAUUUUGUAUACAUAUAUUUUUCUAUAUAUAACUUUCGGUAAUUUAAUUUUCCACUUAUCAUUUUUACUCCAAAAAAAUAAUUGAGAAUAUUAUUUAUAUUUUGGUGCAAAAUAUUUGAACAAUAUACAAAUUUUCAGUUUAAUAAAUCUAAACAUCUAUUAAGUUAUAAAUGAAUUUAAUGGGUUUAAUUAAUAAAAUUACUAUUAUUAUAUAAAUUGGGUUUAGUAAUGGUAUAUUGGGUGGGUUUGUUGAGUAAAUUUUAAAAUUUUGAAAUUUAAGGAUGGGUUUAUUUAGUAAAUGAGUUAAGGGAGUAGUUUGUUGGGAUUCACAUAGCCCCACCAAAUUCAAAUGUAAAAUUUGUGGAAAAAGAAGCUAUUGAGUUAUUCUUUUAAAAAAAGAAUUAAAAUGUCAAGAAUACCUUUAUUUAAUUUUAUAAUCUUAUUUUAUAGUCAUAUUUUAUUUCCACCUUAACAUAAUUUUAAAAACCUUAACUAAUAAAUUCUAUAUUUUUUUUAUAAAAGUUAUCAUUAAUAUCCAAACGGCUAAAGAUUUUUUUUUUUUUAAAAAAAAAGGAACUAUGCUUACAAAAGUUGUAUACAUUAACAAUAAAUUUAGUCCAAAGAAUAAAGUUAUUCCAAACAAGCACUCCAAUUCAUCUUGCUAAUGAAUCAAGAUGACUGAAUCCUUCUCUAAGCCAAAUCUAUUUUCACUUUUAGGUCAGAAAUUGUCAUUAAAAAAAUGUUUGAUAAAAUAUGCUCUAGGAACACUAAUUCGUCAGAUGGUUACUCCAAGUUUAUGAAAUCAAUGGGAUUUCAUCAUAUUCAUAACAUUCUUCUUUAAUGUCUAUUCUAACAAAGAAAUCAUAUACAGAGAAUAGGUUUCGUUAAAACUUUUACUAGAAAAACUAACCACAAUUCACCAUUCAUUUAUAUCUUAAGUAAGCCUAAGAUUUUAUCAUUAAAAUCCCAUCAUGAAAAAAACUCAUGGGAGAAAAACUAUAAAAAUUGAAGAAAAAAGAGUAUGGCGUGCAUGUAAAUUAUAUCGAUUUUAUCUACAUGACAAAUAAGACUCUCUUUUACAAUGGCACGGAUGCUUCAUUGAGUAAUCAUGAUUCUUGCUGGUAGUGCUUUGUUGUAUCAAUCUGCUAGCUAUUCAGCGUUCUUUCUUUCUUUCUUCUUAUUUUUUUGUUUUCAAAUAGCUUGUGGUUGUAGAAAUAUUUCAAUUAAACUAUACUUAAGUACUUAUUUGGUAUAACUUCUUUACUAACCAAAAGAAUUUUUUUUUUUGGUUUUUUAUAAUUUAAUUAUACUUUAACUAGAGUUUUUGGGAUAAAACAAGUGAUAAUUUCUCUCUAUUAAGAAAAACUCAAAGGGUAGGGCUAUCUCAAUCCACCAAACUAUUUAUUAAAAAUCCACUUAUGAAAAUAAUUUUUAAUUAUUAGAAUGCCUUUACAUUAAAUUAUAAUUAUGGACACUAAAAUAUAAUAAAUUUUUUUUUUACUCUUUAAAACUGUCUUUACAUUUGAUAUCAUAUCUUUUUCUUAAAAUCUAAAUUGAUAUUUUUAUUUUAUUUUUUAUUAAUCUUAGAACACAUAUAAAGUGAUUCAUAUUGAUUUUAUACUAACAAACUAUCACAGCACAUUCGAAAAUAAUUAACUCGUUCUUAUUUGCAUAGUGAAAAGGCAAAUAGCUCAUCCAAAUGUUAAAGAACUGGAGAGCUGCUGCUGGAGAUGAAAGAUAAAUAAUUCUCACUUAGAAGAAGGAGAAAAAAAGGAAAUACAAUUAGAAUGAGAGGUAGCCAGUAGCCACUAGCCGCCACCACCACCAGUGAAACUAUUUCACAUAAUAGAAGAUAAAGCACGCGUAAUGGAGGCAAAAAGCAAGUAAUGAUAACUCUUUUCGACACACUAAUACAUAUCAAAAUGCAAUAUCGGUCCUAACAAAAUGAAAAUAAAAAUUCAUUACGAAUAUGUGUUAAAGAUAUCCCAAGUAUUGAUGUGAUUGAAAUAUUUGAGAUUGAAGUAGAAAUAAGACUCAAAAUUAAUUGAGAGGAAUAAAUGAGAAACCCAAAUAUUAAUAAAAUACACGUGCAAAUCCUAAUGCUAAUUAAAAUCACGGAUUAAAAAUAAUAAUAAUAUGAAUGAAUUACAGGCGCAACUGUUUCAUUAAGAAAUUAAUUAAAUCGUGUAUUAAUAUUUUGUACACAUACAUUUUUCCAUAUAUAACUUUCGGUAAUUUAGUUUUCACUUAUCAUCUUUACUCCAAAAAAAAAAUUGAGAAUAUUAUUUAUGUUUUGGUGUAAAAUAUUUGAAUAAUAUACAAAUUUUCUGUUUAAUAAAUCUAAACAUUUCUCCAGUUAUAAAUGAAUUUAAUAGGUUUAAUUAGUAAAAAUAUUAUUAUUAUAUAAAUUGGGUUUGGUAAUGGUAUAUUGGGUAUUUAAAUGGGUUUGUUGAGUAAAUUUUAAAAUUUUAAAAUUCAAGGGUGGGUUUAUUUUAGUAAAUGGGUUAAGGCAGCAAUUUCCCAAACUAAAAUUUUUAGAAAAAGACGCUAUUGAGUUUUUUUUUUUUUUAAAAAAAGAAUUAAAAUGUUGAGAAUACCUUUAUUUAAUUUUAUAAUCUUAUUUUAAAAAAUUUACCCAAUAAAUUUUAUAAUUUUUAUAAAAAUUAUCAUUAACAUCCAAACAGCUAAAGAUUAAAAAAAAAAAAAAAGAAGAAGGGAACUGUACGAGCAAAAGUUACAUUAACAAUAAAUUUAGUCCAAAGAAUAAAGUUACAGCUAAAAAGUGCUCCUAUCCUAUUUUUCUCUAUUUUAACAAUAAUCUUCUUCCAAUCCGUUUUACAAUGGACUUUAACAAAUGGGCUCAAUCUCUAAACUUCAUUUUCUUUUGCUUACCCAUGGCCAUUAGCCAGAAAGCCUAAAACAAGACCAGCCCAUAUAUAUAAUUUUUUUUAAAAAAAAGUAAAAAUGUGUGAGAGCUUGUAGCAUUACAAUUUUAGGAUCACAUGUGUAAAUGGAACCCCAACAUUGAUCAAGAAUUAACAAGACAAGAUGAAGAGAUGAUCUUGUAACUAAGAAUGAAGAAAUUGAAUCAAGACAGUACUCUAGUAAAACCCAGAAAACAGAGCUUGAAGAAUCACGCACAAAGCAGUAAAUUUGUAAAACCAGAAUUGGAGCUUCACUUCUCAAGAGAGACGAAACAGGAUACAGUCUAGCUUUAGCCAAAGUGAUAAACUCGUAAUUAUUCUACAAAGGGAACAAUUUUGAACAGUGGGAAAUUCCAUAAUUAUUCUUUUCGGUGAAUUAUUUUAAAUAAAAUUAUAAAAACCAAUAUAAAAUUAUUACCCAGUAAAGACUUUAGAGAGACAAGUGCUCCCAACAGGAUCAAGUGAAUAUGCCCCACAAAGAUCAUUUCUUGUUCUUUUUCUUUUUGACAAUUUUAUCUGUGGUUUCAACUUUUAUGCUUUAUUGUCGUAUCCCGUUGAGGGCUCCGCUGCACCCAUUACAACUUACCCCUAAAUUGCCUCUUACUAACUAAACCGUUAGAUUUUAUGGAAGCACGUUCAAUGCUGAAUUUUAAUUAUGUCAUCAAAUUUCGUUUAGCUCCUUAAACUCCAUUUUAUUUGUAAUUUCUUCAUAAAAUAUUCAAAGCUUCAUCAAGCUCCUGAUGGACCAUCAUGGCUAGGGGUGCAUUAGAGCCGAACUGAAAUAUGUUAGUUCAGUUCAGUUUGGUCAGUUUAAAUCGAAUGGUUUAGAAUAUAUAAACUGAUCAAUUUUAAUUUUUAAUUGAACCGAAAAUCAAUUGGUUCAUUAUUAGUAUUUUUUUAUAAACAUGAAUUAUUAGUGAUUGUAAUUAAAUUGGACUAAAAAAAAUUCAAACUAAGGUGAAAAAUAUAAAAUCUUAGACAAUAUAAAAGAAAAAAUAUUAAAUUUUUUUAACCGAAUUAUUUUGACUCAAUUUGGUUCAUAAUUUUUUAAACCAAAUGGAACCCUCAUAACAAAAAACUAACAGAAACAAUAAGAACACGAUGUUAAAAUCUUAAAUCAAUCGCAAAAAAGCACCCAAAACAGAUCGAUUAGGAACAGUUAACAACAAAAGAUUUGAUGGUUCAAAAUCAUAAUGUGACCUACUUCCAUCCAAGAAUUAUACUAAUUUCUUUACUAGUUGUCAAAUACAAGAUCACAAGAUUAUUUAUCACUCUAUAGAGAAAAAAUUUUUAGAAGAAAUACUCCCCAAUUUUUCUCUUGAUAGUUAUGAAUCAACACCCCUAGAAAGGCUAUUGAUUUACUUUUCCUUAUUUCAUAUGAUCGGUUGCUGCAACUUAAUCCUUGCCAAGUUCCAACAUAGUCCAAACAUUUUUCAUGGUACAUGCAUAGUGCACCUUCAGAAACUUUACAGCUCUUCUUAAAACCUCAGUUCUCGUGAUGUUUCUGAUUUAUUUCUGGGACGAGUAACACUUUUGUUGAACCUAGACCAGAUUUAGUAUCCAAUCAAGAAUUUCCAGGAUCUAGCUGAACUCUCUAAUCAAGACCUAAAGAAUAGUUAAUCAAAUCCACACAAAAGAAUCACCCAAAAACAGUAUACAAAGAACAACAAAUAUAAGUGGUUUUGAGAUAAAUGUAAUUGACUUCUGAGCAUGACUUAAUUUUGAGAUCAUUACUUUUAGUUAAAUGAUCUCCUCCAGAGCUUCUACCUAUGUAGUGUUUUUAGACCUCUAUAGUUGAUAAAGCACGUUCAAGGUGAAGGCUUGUUUUCCAAUCUAUAGUCCAAUUAUAGACUGGAAAUGGUCAGGCUUAAUGCACCUUCAAAAGCUUCACAAUUUGUAUUGAAACCUUAAGCCUCAGAAUGCUACAAAUUUUAAAUCCAUAUACUUAGUGCUCUUAUGAUUUGUUUGAUUUUUACUUAGAUGAAGAGCAUUUUAGCUAUAGAAAACAUUGUAACUAAUUCAAAGCAUGCCUUAGCUACGAGAUCAUUCAUUCUAGCCAAAUGCCCCCUUUAGAGAUUCUGCUAUUGUUGUGUAUUCAGCCUCUAUAUUUGGCAAAGCAAUUACAUGUCGAAGGCUUGCUUUCCAGUUAACAGCGCAAUUACAUAGAUUAAAGGUGUAACCAGGCAAAGAACUUAGUUAUUCUGCCAAGGUCUCCAACAUACUCCAAAUCCAUAUAACCACCAGACUUCAAUCUUUAGACUCCAUAGAUCAAACCAUAACUUAGUGUGCCUUUCAAUCUCAGGUAACAUUUUACUGUUUUCCACGUCUUGCCAUGUACUUGCUGCUAACACUAACAAUUUGAGAAAUGUUAGGCAUCGUAAGCAGCCGACAACACUCUUCUUCAUUUCUUCAUUGUCAAUUUCCUUCUUGGAACAUUGCUCCAUUGAGAGUCUGCUAUCAUUGCUCCAAUUAUUAUUAUUUUUGUUUUUUUAAAAAAAAAAAUUAACCGUGCAAUAAGAGUAUAAGACUAAGCAACGGUCCUUUUUUUUUUCCCAUUCUUGAACAUGAAGUAUUUGAGUAUGCAAUAAAAAUUGUUUAUUGAUAAUUAAAAGUUAAUAGUGGGUGGCUUUAGGAUUUGUUUACAAAAUUGACAACAAAUUAAGAUUUUUCAAAUUCAUAGGUAAGAAACUUUUCAUUUAUUCAUAGAUUUUCCGGUUUAAACUUUAAAGGAAACUUAAAAGAAAAAGAUGUAUCAUUAGAUUUGUAAUUAAAAAAAUUUAAUAUUGUAUGAUCUGUUCGAUAUGCAUAAUUUAAAUAAACAUUAAUAUAGAUGUUAUAUAUCCUAAAACUUAAUUGACUUAAUUCUUACGGUGCAAGGAAGACGUUUCCAAGUUUAAAUCUAAUUUGGGGUCGGGAAAGCACUGGGAAAUAAAUGUAACAAAGGAAAAAAGAAAAGAAUGACAGUCUGAGUGGAGCCAACACGGUUUUGAAAAAAGUGCAAAAAAGGGUUUUAGGAUAUAUUCUAUUAUCGUUUGUUUGCUUGCUUGUGGAAAUAAAAGUCUCAUGUUUCUUUGAAAGGUAAGCAAGUGUGAAUGUUUCUAUCUAGAGCUGGAAAAUGCAUUUCCGUGCAACUUACUUGAUGAAUGAAGUUUUCAUCUCUGACCUUGAUGUUUCCCAGAGCUGCAUUCAUUUCAGCUGAUCUAUUUCAUUUCGUUUGCAAAGGAGUGACACAAAACCUCCUUUGUUAAGGGGAGAAUUUAGAGUGGCUUCAACGGUUAACAAAUAGCCUAAUGUAAGACUUAAUCAAUUUCCUGCCCGGUUGCUUACCACUACUUAUCACUUUAACGUAUGAAACCUAAUCAAGAUUCCUUUGAUGAUUUUUCUAUUUGCUAAUUGAUUGAUAAGCUCUUCAGUGAAGAUAUAGUGUCCGCAAGCCAUAUGUUGAUAGAGUUAGAGUUUGCAGAAGCUACUGUACCAUAUGUUGUUAGAGGCGGUAAAAACGGAGGCAGAUCAACACACAUUUAAAUUUCAAUGACAAUUUACUGGAAAUAAAUUUCCUAUGACCCUACAUGUGACUAAUUGAUGAGAACUUGACAAUGACAAAAGAAAGUGUAUGAGCUUUGCAGGCUGGCUUGCCAAUAUUGACUGUAUGGCACCAUCCGCAAGUAAGUAUCAUUACUGUUUAAUCAACUUGGUGGAGUCCACUGGGACCACCCCACAUGGUCAGUCUUAUCUCUACUCCUAAAUUUUCAAUAUUCCAUACAUCAAACCAAUUGCAGUUUUGAUAUCAAAUUCAAUUUUAUUGUUGGUGACGAUUCUGAUUCCUUUCAUUCUCACAAAACGGAACCAUGGUUGCUGUUGGAGAGAUCUUACUCAACGCCUUCCUUGAGGUGUUGUUUGACAGGUUGGCUUCUCGUAAUUUGCUCCGCUUUGUGCGUCAACUCCAAGGCGGGGUUGAUUCGGAGCUCAAGAAGUGGGAGAAAAAGCUGAAGAUGAUUCAGGCUGUGCUCUGCGAUGCAGAGGAGAAGCAACUGACCGAUGAGGCUGUGAAGAUGUGGCUGGACGAACUCCAAGACUUAGCUUUUGACGCUGAGGACAUUCUUGAUGAGUUUGCUACUCAAGCUUUGGAAAGCAAGUUGAUGGCGCAAAACCAGGAUAGCUCUGGCCAGGUUCUCAGUCUCAUCCCGGCUAGUUUGAAUCCGAAUGCUAUUAUGUUCAAUUAUAGCAUGGGGUCCAAGAUUAAAGAUAUGACUAGCCGGCUGGAGCAACUCUGCCAAGAAAGAAUUGAACUUGGACUGCAACGGCUUACUGGAGGGGCGUCAUCAACCGCUGCUGCUGCACACCGGAGGCCACCCAGUUCGAGUGUCCGAACAGAACGUGAAGUAUUUGGAAGAGAAGAAGAUAAGGCCAAAAUUCUUGAUAUGGUCAAUACCCCAAGUGAUCACGCCAACUUUGUUGUAAUACCUAUUGUUGGAAUGGGCGGGAUAGGAAAAACAACUCUUGCUCGGGAGGUCUACAAUGACAAGGCAGUUGAGGAUUCCAAGUUUGACGUAAAAGCAUGGGUUUGUGUCUCCGACAACUUUGAUGUUUUCAACAUUUCAAAGGCACUUCUCGAGUCAAUCACCUCCGCAGCUAGUGAUCUCAAGACUUUAAAUGAAGUGCAGGUUCAACUGAAAAAAGCAGUGGACGGAAAAAGAUUCUUGCUGGUCUUAGAUGAUGUUUGGAACGAGGACUACAGCUUGUGGGUAGACUUAAAAGCUCCGUUCCUGGGUGCUGCACCAAACAGUAAGAUGAUCGUCACCACACGCAAUUUAAACGUUGCAUCAACAAUGGGACCAAUUGAACAUUAUAAUCUCAAGAGUCUGUUAGAUGAUGAUUGCUGGUCCAUUUUCAUACAGCAUGCAUUUGAAGGUAGAGAUCUUAACGCAUAUCAAAUUUCAGAAUCAUUCAGCAAGAAAGUUGUUGGCAAGUGUGGGGGCUUGCCUCUGGCAGCAAAAACGCUCGGGGACUUCUGCGCACAACAAGGCAUGAUGCGUGGGACGAUAUAUUGGAUAGCAAAAUAUGGGAUUUACAUCAACAAAGCAGCAUUCUCCCUGUGUUAAGAUUGAGUUACCAUCAUCUUCCGUCUCAUUUGAAAAGAUGUUUUGCUUUUUGUGCCAUCUUUCCAAAAGAUUAUGCAUUCACUGAGAGGGAGCUGACUUUCUUAUGGAUGGCUGGAGGUAUUAUUCGACAGUCAAGAAACAAUGAGCAGCUGGAAGAUUUGGGCAGCAAGUGCUUUGGUGAUCUAGUGUCGAGGUCAAUUUUUCAGCAAACAGCAAGCUCUGAUAGUUCUAAAUUUGUAAUGCAUGACCUUAUUCAUGAUCUUGCUGAAUUGGUCUCUGGAGAAACCAUAUUCAGGUUAGAGGAGGCCAAUACUCGGUCAAGAAGAUUUGAAAGGGUUCGCCAUUCUUCCUAUGCUUGUGGUGGAUGUGAUGGUAAAAAUAUGUUCGUGGUUUUCAAUGAAAUUGAACAUCUACGAACAUUCUUGCCAUUACGCUUACGCAGAAGAGGUGGCUCUAAUGCUGGUUACAUAACUCGUACGGUUCUAUCUGAUUUGCUGCCGAAGUUCAAAAGGUUGAGAAUGCUAUCUUUACAAGGAUACUGUAUUGGUGAGUUACCAAUUCCAUUUGAAGAUUUGAGACUUUUAAGGUUUCUCAACCUUGCUGACACUGACAUAAGAAGUUUACCCGAGUCAACAUGCAAAUUGCUGAACUUGGAAAUUUUUAUAUUAAGAAAUUGUUCCCGUUUGAUAAAGCUUCCACCCAAAAUGAGGAAUUUGAUCAAUUUACGCCAUUUGGAUUUAAGAGGUGCGAAGUUGCUGAAGGAGAUGCCAUUCGGAAUGAAAGAGUUGAAGAAGCUUCAAACAUUGUCCAAUUUCAUCGUGGGCAAGGGCGAAACUGCAUCUGGUUUGGAAGAUUUAAAAUGUUUAAACUUUCUUUGUGAUGAACUCUGCAUUGCUGGAUUAGAGAAUGUGAAUGGUCCACAGAAUGCAAGAGAAGCCGCAUUAUGUGAGAAGCACAAUCUUGAAGCAUUGACUCUAGAAUGGGGGUCUCAAUCUGACGGUCCUCGGGAUGCAGUACUAGAAGAGAAGGUACUUGACACUCUACAACCUCAUGAAUGUAUAAAAGAGCUGGCAAUCAGGCACUAUGGUGGUGCAAGAUUUCCACCUUGGAUCGGACAGCAUUCGUUCUCCGAGAUGAAGGUCCUUAAAUUGGAGAACUGUGGCAAUUGUGUAUCUCUGCCAUCGCUUGGCCUGAUGAGUUCACUUAAGCACCUUGCUGUUAAAGGGCUGAAGAAAUUAAAAAGCCUAGAGUCUGAGGUUUAUGGGGAGGGUUUCUCAAUGCCUUUUUCGUCACUGGAGAUUCUAAGUUUUGAGAAUUUGCCAGAAUGCGAGCAUUGGGACACCAAUAUCAAAGGAAAUGUGCUUGUUGAAAUAUUUCCUCGUCUCCAUAAACUUUCCAUUGUGGAAUGUCCCAAACUCUCCGGAAAACUGCCUGAGCUCCUGCCCUCCUUGAAGACACUUGUUGUUAGUAAAUGUGAAAAGUUGGUAGUUCCAUUGUCUUGCUAUCCAAUGCUUUGCAGAUUAGAAGUUGAUGAGUGCAAAGAACUAGUCUGCCGGACUCCGAUUGAUUUUAAGUUGAUAAAGUCGGUGACUAUUUCAAAUAGUUCAUUAGACAUGAAUGGACGCAAGGGGAUGCUAUACGAUGGUCCAGCUGGCUCUUUACUGCCAAAGCCCAUGACUACUACAAAUGUUUUGGAGUUUGGAAAAUUAUUGAAGCCUGGAUUUCAGAUAUUAGAAACUUUGGUAAUUGGCAAUUCUGAACAGCUCAAGUCAUGGAGGCAGCAUGGGGAUUUUCCGAAAAAAUACAUGGUCACUGACCAUGGGUUUAAGAAACCAGUACGAGGGCUGAAUAUGCUCGCUUCCCCUGAGGAGGUAUCAAUUGAAGAAAGUUGCGUACGUCUUGUUUUGUUUCCAGAGAUCAAUUUCUUUCCCAGAAAUCUGCGCUCUCUUCUAAUUAACAACAGCACUGCUUUGAAAUCCUUACCCGAGGAAAUGAUGGAAAACAAUUCACAACUCGAAAGGUUGUAUAUCAAGGAUUGCGACUCUCUAACAUUCAUCGCAAGACGGAGGCUACCAGCAUCUCUGAAAAGGCUUGAGAUAGAAAAUUGUGAGAAAUUGCAACGUCUGUUCGAUGAUGAAGAGGAUGCUUCUUCUUCUUGUCCUUCAUCCUCGUCUUCCCCAGUGAUGCUGAAACACCUGAGAAUCGAUAACUGCCCAGAGCUCACCAGUUUAUCAUCGGGUGUCCAAUUCCUUGAGGCGCUUGAAGACCUCAAGAUAGGGCAUUGUCCAAAGCUGGAGUCAAUACCGGAUGGCCUGCCCAAUCUUAAAUGUUUACAGAGCAUUUAUAUACGGGAUUGUCCAAGUCUUGUUUCCUUCCCAGAAAGAGGGCUUCCCCACACCAUUUCAGGGGUUUUCAUUGCGAGUUGUGUGAAGCUCGAAGCCUUGCCCAAUGAUUUGCACAAACUCAACUCUCUUCGAGGUUUAAGCAUACAGCUCUGUCCAAAUCUUGUAUCGUUUCCAGAAGAAGGUUUUCCUACCAAUCUAACAACCCUUGUAAUUGAAAAAUUCAAAUUGUAUAAGACACUCGUCCAGUGGGGGUUGCACAGGCUUACCUCUCUUAGAGACCUCUACAUCAUUGGAUGUGAUGAUGAAGCAGAGUGUUUUCCAGACGAGGAGAUAGGAAUGACGCUGCCCACCUCUCUCACUCAUCUGUCCUUUUGUGGAUUCCAAAAUUUGAUAUUUCUGUCUUCAAUGGGUUUUCAAAACCUCACCUCUCUUCAAUCAUUCCCAGAGGUGGGCUUUCCAUCCUCACUUUGGGGCUUAGACAUUAGAUAUUGUCCAAAGCUCAAAACAGCGUGCAAAAGAGAUGAAGGAAAAGAGUGGUCCAAAAUUGCUCACAUCCCUCGCGUUGAGAUAGACGGUAAAUUCAUAUACGAUCCAGAAGCAGAGGAGUAGAUUCUACUAUUAAGGUCAGUUGAUUUGUAUUAUCCGCUAUAACAAGCUCCUCCUUUUUUAUUUUUUUUUUUGAAAUAAUAAUUUUGCAGUCACUCACGUGAUUCCGUUUUCACAAGUCAGAUUGUACGUUGAGGCUAUUUGCCUUUUAAUCGCAGAUUAAAUUAUAACACUUAUCUUAAAAUUUAAUACCAUAGACAGAUAGACGAUUUUUUAAUCCAAAGUUUUUUUUAUUCACUUCAGUUAGCAUUUUUUUUUUCCCCAAAUCAUGCAAGCCGAGAGUUUCAAUCAAGAAUUGGAGGAUGUGAAUGGGAAUUUUGUGAAAGAGUAACAUAAUGGAUGAACGAACAUUUCAUAUGUGAUCUCAAAGUCAACAGAAUUUUAUUCACUCGUUGACUUUUCAACUGCUGUGGUUAUUUAUGGGUGAAAGAUAAGGGCAAUUACAAAAAAUUUGCAAAAUUUGUCCAUUUCUUAGAUGGUAGAAAUUGGAGUAUAAUAUUUUGGAGCAAGCAUACUUGAAAUUUCUUUCUUCAAUAUUUUGAUGCUUUCUUAUCCCAUGCACAAAAAUACUAGAAAAAACUAAUAACAACUAACCGAAAAUCCCAGGCGUCAUAUUCCUUUUUACCGCGUUUUAAAAUGCACAACAAUGAUAUUCUUACAAAUUUGCAAAAUUUGUCAAUUUCUUAGAUUUCAGAUAUUUUAAUGCUUUUUUUAAUUUUUGAUCUAGUAAAAAUACAUAGCCUUCACCGGCAAGAUUCUAGUCUUGGAUUUCACCUCUCUAACUCAUCUGUUCCCAUUGGGAUUCCAGAAAUUGAAAUUUCUGUCUUCAAUGGGUUUUCAAAGCCUCGCCUCUCUUCGAUUUUUGUGGAUCGGGAAUUGCACAAAUCUCACAUCAUUUCCCGAGGUCGAGGAAAAGAGCGGCCCAAACUUGCUCGCAUCCCUUAUUAGGUUAUGAUAGAUGGAAAAUUCAUAUACGAUCCAGAGUCAGAGGUGUUGAUUCUCUUAUUAAGGUCAGCUGAUUUCUAUUAUCCACUCUGACAAUCUCCUAUUAGUGUUUUUCCUUUUGAAAUUUUUUUUCCAAAAUUUUGCAGUUCCGUAUAAUUGAAAAUGCCAUUCAGUUGUUUCCUAAUAGUAUGUUGAGGCUAUUUGCUUUCUAUCGGUGUUUGUUAAGGUAAUUAGUGCUCCCUCGUAGGUGUGACUGGAUUUUUUUCACUUCCGUAAAUAUUGCAUUUUAGACUGGCAAAUUUAGCAGUAAUUUUAAUACAAUUUUGUUGGUGCCUUGUGUUCCAGAAGCUAGAAAAAUGUGUAGUUUUCAGAUAAGGAGGCUUGUCAGUUCUCUAGUAAGAAUCCAAUGAUUUGCUUUUGCACGUCCAUCUAAUUUGUGGAUCCUUGCAUCAGAAUUUGAUCAAUCCAAAAGGAAUUGCUUUUAGACAGAAGAAGAAUAGCAGCACCUAGCCUACCCGCAAACCUGAAACUAUUAGAUUGAGGUAAAAAAAUCAUUGACCCUCACAUGUUAACUUCUUCUAGUUACUUUCGUUGGGAAAAAAAAAAACAUUUAAGGAAUUUGCAAUUUGUUGUUAGUUAUGGUAUCUGAUGUUCUUUUCUGCUUUAGCGUUUGUAGAAUCUACUGUAUUAUGUGUUGGCAGUUGCCGUAUCUAAGGUAACUUGCCUUUAUUUGUUUGCUUCUGACUUAAGGACACCAACAUUUGCCAGAGAUUUAGAGAAUCAUCUCAAAACACUUAGCAAACUUGACAAACUUCAAGAUGCACUUGCCCCCACGCCUUAUUCUCAACAACGCAAAACUUGUGAGUACACCUAUGCCUGCAAUUAUUGUGAAGUGUUCGCAAUUCUGAUGCAGAGAAAUGGUUUCUUGAUGCAAAGUAUUAAACUGUUAAGAUUUAUCCUGCAGGCUUGUUAGAUGCUGGAUACGCGAAAAGCCAACAACAUCAAGAACUGCAACUCCAAGACCAGCUUUGCGUUAAUUCAGUCAGCUGUAAUAAUGAUGCAAAUGACACUAUAUCAAGCUGGACUUAGAGACUAGUCAGAUAAAUCAUCCAUUUCAUCAACGGUUAAUGUCAUGAUGGUGGCUAUCAGAGGAAACAAAAGAUGUGUCGGAAUCUAUACAAACAUUGAGAAGCAUGAGAGGAGCUUUGAUUUUGAGUAGGGUCAAUGAACUCAUAUUGGUAAGUGGUAAUUAAAGAAACUUUGUAAGCUUAGUAGAGUUUCAGUAUUUUCUGUUUGGAGUAUAGUUGAUAAGUUGACUCUGUUUAAGAAGCCCGAUUAUAGUAGCUGACUGUAUUAACCUUUUUUUUUUUUUUUUGGGUCUGCUGUUGUUUUUGGUUUCGAUUAUUUUUUCAACAUUGGGUUGAUCUGUUGAAGAACAAGCUUGGGUUUGAUUAUGCUUUAACUACAAGGAAGAGCCAGACUUGGAUGCAGGCGUUAAGCUUUUAAUGGGUAAGAACAAAUGAAUGCUUUAACUAUGUUUCUCACUUAUUAAAAUGCACGGAUUGAAGGCAUCUGGGUUGAUCCUGACAAUGUGAUGGAAAUACUUCUCUGUUUUCAUAUAACAGGACAAAUAGAGAUCUCUGAUCAUGCCUGAAUUUUUGUUGCAUUGAAAUUUCUACCAUUAUCAAACAUAGAAUGAACUAGGGAUACAUUAGCUUAAGACUAAAUUUUGAGAAGGAAGUUUGUACUUGCAGCCUAUAAAAUCAUGUCCAUGUUGUACGUUUCUUUGGGAAAUGAAAGAUUCUGUGUGUUCUUUUAUUUCAAGUUCACUGAAAUCACAUUUGUUUUCUCAGCUGCUUUCCAGAAGGUAACAACAUCAAUUUCAAAAAUGCUGGGGCAAGAUGUAUCAUGCAGUGCAACUCAACUUGAGAAUUCCUGGCCACAUUACCCGUAUGUCUAAUGAUCGCACAGUACAACCUUGAGAAGCUUGUAAUGAGUACACAACUGGGUGCAAGUAGUUUUGAAAUGAAUUUGCCUCAAAUGAUUUCUUGCCGGUGAUUAAUAUAACCUCUAUUCCAAAAUUCUUGGAACUGGUCAUACUAGCAAUGAAGGAUUGCAUACAUUGAAGACAUAGCUGAAGGCCUUGCGAGAGCUCUGUCAGCCCUUGUACCGGAAAACAGCUGGUCGUAGUCGCUUGUGAAUGAUAUGAUUAAUAGAUACUGCAAAAAUGAAUUGUGCCAUACAUUUUCAGCGCUCUGUGAAGAUGUCUUGGUCAUUUGUUUGAUGCUUGUUUGAUUUAUGUUGUAUUCAGCCAUAAAUCAGAGAUUCAGAACUUGGGUAUGUUUCUGGUUUCCAAAUCAAAAAAUUGCCUUGUGAUGUUAGUGUUCACUGUUUUCACAGGAGAUCAGGUUCCUUGUUAAUGAAUCAAGAAGAAGGCAAGCGCAUCCAUGUCCAAGUUCAAAUGUGUCUCCUCUAUUUUCUAUUACCCACUCAUUUAUUUUGAUUUCUUCAUUGUAAUUGAAUUAGUUUUUUAUUCCAAAUUAGUCAAAACCUCGUAGAGUCAUUAAGUUCUUUUAGCAUUUAAAGACAGAACUACGAACCAAAUGAUUUAAGUUCUUCGUUGUAAUUGAAUUUGCUUUCCCAUCUUUAAAGAUAUUAUGUUCUUUUUCACUUUUUCGAUUUGGUUAGUGGUGAUUUCUUAAAGACUCAAUCCAUUUGCGUUAAUACAUUUUUCUUUUGCCUUGAUUUCUGUUUCUUGGGGAGUUUAUACAUAUUCUUAUUUUAUGCUACACAUGCCAUAUACAGAUUCUUAUUUUAUGCUUCACAUGCCACAUGAAAGGUCAAAGCCUUGUGUGUGAUUAGAAUUUACUGGCAUCAUAGUAACUUUAAACCAUUGUGACGUUUUAGUAAUAACAGUCUGAGCUCUCCCUGAAGGAUUCAAAGCAUUUUAUUUUAUAUUAUACUCCUUUAUAUGGUUUGGCUGGUCUCUUUUAAGGCAAUUCCUGUUUAAAGUAAUCAAAAUUUUGAUUUCGAAGUGUCUUUCAACACUACCGCUAGUUCUUUAAGAAAAGUAAAUCGAUUUUGAGUCUUCUGUAUCAUCUGAUUGAAAUACAUGAAAGCACUCUUAGCUGCAAAAGUACACUUGGAGUUAUAAUAGCAUUCUGAAAUCUCCUUGAAGGAUUCAAAAGCUCUUUAUUUGCUAGUCUUUGCUUGCAAUAAACUCCUUUAAUAUAGAUUGGUUGAUCUUCUUUAAAGCAAUUACCAUAAGUUCUUUAAAUAAUAAAACGACUUUGAGUCUUAUGUAUCAUCUUGUUGAAAUACAUGAAAGCACUCUUGGCUGUAAAAAUGCACUUGGGGUUAUAUAUAAAGUCUUCAACAGAAUUUUAUUUCCCCCUUUAUCCUCAUGGUGGUCUUUUUAGUUGUUUUUUAAGAAAUCGCUUGAAGGUUCUCUUUAAAAAUAAUUUUAACAUAAGCAUUCUUUAGAAGCACUUUAGAUGUCUGGCAUUUAGAAAAUUUUGUUCCUGUGUUCACAUAAUAUAAUAUAUAUAUAUAGAAAGCUGACUGUAGAAUAGAGGAGAACGAGUUGGUGUUGGUCUGAACUCUGAUCUUUGAAUCUCAUGUGACUCCACUACUUUUUACUUGUUCUGUACAAGGUCUUUUAGCUUUUCAAAAAGUUUUAGCUUUAUGGAUAAAAUACUGUUAAUUGUAAUCUAUAAAUAAUGAAAGGAAUUAAUAAAAUAUUUGGUAAAUUUUAUUUUCUAAAGUGUUAUGAGUUCUAAAACGGCUGUAUGUAUAUAAAUUUAUUUACACAUAUAUUUAUAAAUAUGAUUAUAUAAUAAUAUUUUAUGUGUACAUAUCAUAAUUGAUAACUAAAAUAAAUAUUUUUAUUUUAUUAAUGGUUUUUCCGUCUCAAUGUAGUUGGUAAUAAUAAUCUCUUUAGAUGUAACGAUUUUAUUUCCUAACUGAAUAAGGAAAAUUUUAGAUUUUUAUAAUAAAUGUUAAAUAUAUAUAGAAUUACAUUAAGUAUGAAAUAAUCCUCAAAAUUAGAUUUGAAAAGUUAUUCUUUUCUUGCUUUUAAAAAUAUGUCAUAUGAUGAGAUAAUUUUACUAAAAGUGAUUUUUUUUUAAAAAAAUUACUAAACAUCAAAAUUAACUCUUAACUUUUUAAAAUCAUUUCUAAUCUUCUCAUCCUAAGUUCUUUAUUGUUUUGUACAAAAUCCAAGGUUUUGACUUUUAUAAAAUGCCCACUCAAAAAUAAAUUAUUUUCUAAUUAAGAUUUGUUGUUAAUGUAUAACUCGAAGUAAUAUUAGAUAUUUGUAAUUUUAUUUCAAAAAUUUUAUUCAAAUGAUAUGGCAAGCAAUGAACAAUAGUUGAUAGCAAUUUUUUUUUUUUAACAAUGUUCAAAUCAAUCAGUUGCAUUAUCUCACCAUUUUUAUGAUGUCAUGUUAUUUUAAAUGAUUUUUUUAAUUUUUAUAUAAAACAUACGACGUGUUAACAUCAUUUGCAUAACUUGACCUUUUUUUUUUUCCUACAAAUAGUGUUUAAAAUUCAACACACAGAUGUGCCUCUUUCUUACUAUACUGGAAUCCUCGGUAAACUUUUUGUUUGCGCAAUUUAUGUGAGCAAAUUGUGUCUUCUUUUUCAUAUGUAAAUGUUUUUGAUAUCUUGAUGUGAAGGUAGAAAAUUGCAUGUUUUGAGUUUUUGCAUAUUUGAUGGAAACACAGAACCGUACCUGAAUAUUUCAGAACCCCCUUUUCUUUGAAGUUUGAACACUUUUCUUGAAUGUAUCAACUUUAUUUAUGGGAUAUGUUGCCAAAUUGGCAAAUCUAUUCGUUAUAAAACUUUCCUUUGACAGUUUAAUCUAAGCAGAUGUUAAUUCUGCAAAUAGAGUGUGCCUUAGAUUAGUUUCAUAGAUUUGUCUCCUUCUGUACAGUAAAAACUUUGAGCAUUUUCGCCAUAUUCUGAUCAAUACACUCCAACUAGUUAGUUCUUGAGGCGUUUUAUGGUUUCGUGGAGUGAGGCAAGAUGUAUACGUUUGCAAAUUGGCAAUGUCUUUUGCUUGAUGGGUUGAGAGUUGUGAGUGUCAACAGGAAACAAGACCUCUGUUUUAUGAACUCCAAAAAGUUAUUCUGUUAGAAAGAUCGAGACAGAGGCCAUACUAUAUUUAUUAUUGCUAUAAAAGUGUGAAAAAAUAUUCUUUAUUUAAUAUUCUAAACGAUUGAGCCAUUUAGUUAUGAUAUUCUGCUGUAUUGGGGCUAAUAAUCUAAGUCGGUUCAAAGUGGUAAAUUUAUAAAUUGAUAGGUAUGCCUGGUAUGACCGCUUACGUUGGAUUUUAUGAGGUCUGCUCUCCUAAGCAUGGAGAGUGUGUCUUCAUAUCAGCAGCAUCUGGUGCAGUUGGUCAGCUUGUGGGGCAGUUUGCAAAGUUAUUGGGCUGCUAUGUCGUCGGAAGUGCUGGAAGCAAAGACAAGGUAGGUUAUCUGUGUGAAGUACUUGAUUGUUUCCGUGUUACUUUCAAACAUUUAAAUUAAAAAGGAAAUUUUCAUAAUCUUGCCUUUUCUAUGAUUUUCAAAACCAAGGUUGAUCUACUGAAGAACAAGUUUGGGUUCGACGAGGCAUUUAACUAUAAAGAAGAAGCUGAUUUGAAUGCAGCAUUGAAAAGGUUAGCAUCAAUAAAUGCCUUAGCUUGAUGCAGCUUGAUGAAGUAUGAUACACAUUUCUGACCAAUAUACUGCGUUCCCUGAUCUCUUACUUGAAAUAUCUUGGUUUGAGAAUCUCAUGCCAAUGCCUUUAACAUUUUGGCAGGUACUUUCCUGAAGGAAUUGAUAUAUAUUUUGAAAACGUUGGUGGAAAAACGCUUGAUGCAGUGCUACCCAACAUGAAAAUCCGUGGUCGAAUUGCUGCAUGCGGUAUGAUCUCACAGUACAAUCUUGACAAGCCUGAAGGUGUGCACAACUUGAUGUAUCUUGUUUCGAAACGGCUUCGAAUGGAAGGAUUCAUUGUUCUCGAUCACUAUCACCUCUAUCCAAAGUUUCUGGAAAUGAUCAUUCCUCACAUCAAAGAAGGGAAGCUUGUAUACGUCGAAGACAUGGCUGAAGGUCUUGAGAGUGCUCCGGCAGCUCUCAUCGGUCUAUUCUCUGGCCAGAAUGUUGGGAAACAGGUGGUUGCUGUUGCUCCUGAAUGAAGAACAAGUUAGUGUUGCAGUUUGAAUGAUGCUGCUGCACAACUGCUGCCGAAAAAAUCCUUAAUAGAUGAUUAGCAAGGUUUCAAAAAUAAAAAGAAAUGUUUGUGCAACGUGCCGAAUAUGACAGCCACAAAGAAAGAGCAUACAAAUUGAUUGGUUUUAUGUCUUCUCUAGGAGAAAGCUACAAUACAAGAAAUUGUAUUGAUGGAGCCAUGGACCAAAUUUCUUAUUUAAACUUUUAAUUUUUUUUAUUAAAAUUACUUAUGUUAUUAUGGUUUAUAUUUUUAGAAAUUCUUUAGAAAUUAAUACAGAACUAGUAGCAAGUUGAGAAAUCUACUGAAUAGUCGAGAUAUGAUCAUGUUUAUUGAAUUAAAUUGACAAUCAUCAUUUUGAUAAAUUAUUGUUAGGAUAUUUGAUUCAUCACAGGUGUAAGUAACUAAAUGUGCUAAAAAAAAAGUUAAUGAGUUGUGAGUGUUUGAUAUUCGUUUGUUGUAAUUCUUUUAAUAAUUGUUGUGGGAAAAAAAUUAUGGUAAAAAAAUUAUAAUUAUAAAAUAAAAAUUAAUAAUAUAUUAUAAAUAAAAUUUUUAAAUAAUAAUUUUAAUAAAAUAAUAAAUAUAUUAUGAAUUUUUCAUUAUAAAUUUUUAAGUUAAAAUAAUAAAUAUUUAUUAAAUAUUUUAAUAGCACAACUUUUAAAUUAUAACAGUACAAUGUAAAUACCAGAGGUCUUAAAAAAUAAAAUUACAGUCAAGUUUUAAAACUGUUAAUAAUGCUAUUCAUAAAGGCGCUCGUCGUGUAAACAACACAUGGGACCCAACCAAUAAAUGUUUAUGAUCCUCAACUUUCCUCCUCACCGUCCCUGCAAACAAUUCUGAUCUUCUUGUCUGAGAAAAAAACUGAGAAACAAUGGCGGCCGAACAAGAAGCUGUGAGCAAUAAGCGGGUGAUUCUAAGCAACUAUGUGACAGGUUUUCCAAAAGAAUCGGACAUGAAGAUAACAUGUGGAUCAAUAAAACUGGAGGUAGCAGACGGUUUAAAAGACACGGUGCUUUUGAAGAAUCUUUAUAUUUCUUGUGAUCCUUACAUGCGAGAGCGUAUGAGCAAGCUUGAUAGACCUUCUUUUGUUGAUUCAUUCCAUCCUGGUGAGGUUAGUUCAUCACGACCCAUCUCUUGAUUUUUUUUUUUUUUUCAUUUGCUUCAAGUUUUGAUGAGUUUCUGAGGUCAUUUGUACGGUUUUGGAAUGUGAACACUAUUAGUGAUUUUGGGGCUGUAACUGUCAUUAAUGAUAUGUAGUAAUUCAAUCAGAAUUUGGAUUUAGUGCUGAUAUGAUCUCUGCUCAUUUUUUAAAAUCUUGUGUCCAGAUGCAUUUUUAUAAUCUUGUACGGUUGAGAUUGUAUGUAGAUUAAUCUACGUGCAGUAUUCUUGUCUAAUGACUACUAACCACAACCUUAUGAGACGAUCGAAACCAAGCUCAGAUCAAUAAUCCAAUUGAGAGAGGGUCCUAACUCAAGCUUAUCGUGUGUAGGAAUAUUUCGGUUAAAUUGUAAUUCUUUUAAUAAUUGUUGUGAAAAAAAAAAGUUAUGAUAAAAAAAUUAAUAAUUAUAAAAUAAAAAUUAAUUAUAUAUAAUAAAUAAGAUUUUUAAAUAAUAAUUUUAAUAAAAUAUAAUAAAUACAUUAUCAAUUUUUCAUCGUUAAUUUUUAAGUCACAACCACAAAUAUUUACUAAACACUUUAACACCAUAAUUAACACCACAACUAUUGAAUUAUAACUGUACAAUCUAGACGCCAAGAGGCCUUAGUAUGAAAAAAAAAAAUUACAGUUAAGUUAAAAUUCAUCAUACAGAUGUGCCACUUUCAUACUAUACCGGGAUCCUCGGUAAUGAUUUUUGUUACACAAUAAGAUUUGCUUAUAGUAAUAUCAAUACAUAUGCUGCUUAAAUGCUUUCUGAUUUUUUGCCGGCCAUUGUCCAUUUUGCCAGGGAGUCUAUAAUUGAAGGAAUUUACUGAAGGAAUGCUGAUUGUUGGGAAUUUGAUUAUUCUAGGUAUGCCUGGUGUAACUGCAUACGCUGGUUUAUACGAAGUUUGCUUUCCGAAGAAAGGAGAGUAUGUCUAUGUAUCUGCAGCAUCUGGAGCUGUUGGUCAGCUUGUUGGACAGUUUGCAAAAUUAGCUCGUUGCUAUGUUGUUGGAAGUGCAGGAAGCAAAGAAAAUAUAGCACCGUGCCUUCUAGCAGAAUUUUACUUGCUUUAUGUUCCAACUAAGCAUCCAUAUUUGAUCAUGAUAAUUAGCAAGGUCAAUAAUUUUUUUUUGACUAUUUUUUCAACGUAAGGUCGAUUUGUUGAAGAACAAGUUUGAACGAUGCUUUUAACUACAAGGAAGAGCCUGAUUUUGAUGCAGCACUCAAAAGGUCAGCUGCAACAAACGUUUCAACUCUAAUAUUUCAUUUUAAUAUUACAGAGCUUUGGUUGAAGUGUGUGAGUUGAUCCCAGAAACGUAACUUCAUCAGUGUCUCUGUUUUCAAAAAACAUGACAAAUAGAAAUCUGAUUUUGCUUUAAAAUUUCCCAGAUGCUUCCCUCAAGGAAUCGACAUAUAUUUCGAAAAUGUUGGGGGAAAGAUGCUGGACGCAGUGCUACUCAACAUGAGGCUCCGGGGCCGCAUUGCAGUAAGCAGUAUGAUCUCACAGUAUAACCUGGAAAAACCCGAAGGCGUACACAACUUAGAGCAACUGAUCGGGAAACGGAUUCGCCUGGAAGGAUUUCUAGCUGGUGAUUACUAUCACCUCUAUCUGAAAUUCUUGGAACUGGUCAUUCCUCCAAUCAGAGAAGGAAAGAUGCUGUAUGUGGAAGACAUGGCCGAAGGACUCGAGAAAAUUUCUCGUAACUGCUACACAUUAAACGCGUUUCACAUUUCCACUCUCUUUCUAUAAAUAAAUACGCACAUAAAAUUUCUCACCAUCCAAAAACAAAAUCUACAUAAAAAAUGGCGGGUGAAGAAGCAGUGAGCAACAAGCAGGUGAUUCUGAGCAACUACGUGACAGGGUUUCCCAAGGAAUCAGACAUGAAGAUAAUAACAGGCUCAAUAAACCUUAAGGUGCCAGAGGGUUCAAAAGACACAAUGCUUUUGAAGAAUCUUUAUCUUUCCUGUGAUCCUUACAUGAGAGGACGUAUGAGCGAGCUUGAUAAGCCUUCGUUUGUUGCCUCAUUCGAGUCUGGCGAGGUCAGUUACUUCAAUUCCCAUCUCUUGGUUUCAUAAUCUUUUAUGGUUUUAGAAGGUGUUUUAGGGAAACAUUGUGGUUUUGGUUAGUGGGCAUGAGUCUUUGAAGAGAUUAUAAUGUGUAGGACUAUGCAUGCAAUAAUAAGCAUAGGGGAUCUUGUUAGGAGAAGAUUCUCUUAGCAAAAUAAAAACUUUUAUCUUAUCAAAACAUAUGCAGGGAACUUAGUUAUGAUGUCAUGUUAGCAUUGUCUCUGAGGAUUUGAUUUCUUGAUGGGGAAAGGGGAAUUUAAGGUUACAUUAUUCAGCAAUGGUUUUUUUUUUAAAUUAUGUUCAAAUUAUGCAGCCUUUAAGCGGAUAUGGAGUGUCCAAAGUGUUGGAUUCCACGCCUCCAAAUUAUAAGAAAGAUGACUUGGGUGGUGUUUGUUUUUUAACUUAAUGACUUAAAGUGACUUAACUUAAUUAAUUAAGUUAAUUAGAGAUGUUUGUUUUUAUAACUUAAUGUGACUUUUUAAAUAAUUUUGACUUAAUAAAAUAAGCCAAUUUUAUUUACUUUUUACUUAAUAGAGACAUCUGAAUUAAGUCAAGUACUUUCUAAUGUCAAAAAUAUACAUGCUUUAUAAUUUAUUUUUCAUGUCUAUCCCAAAACUCACCCAUAGACAUUUACCCCACAUAAUAAUCUCAUCAUUAUUUUUUUAGCCGUCAUGAAAUCCCUCCUCACUUUGGUAUCAACUCCUCAACUAUUGAAGAUCAAAAUUACAUGCGACAACUUCGAGAUGAAUGGCAAAUCAACUGUUUCAAGCAUCUUAUUAGUUUUUUUUCUUUUUUAUAUUAUAUACGAUAAAAUUUGAAAUUUAUGGUAUUUUAUAUAUUAAAAUUCCAAAAUCAUUAUAUAUUCACUUGAAUAUAGUUUUACUUAUAAAUGUUAAAAUAUUGUGAUAUUUAAUAUAUUGUUUAUUUGACAUUCAAAUUUAAUAAGGAUACAAAUGUAAAAGUACAUAUUUUUCAGUUUUUUAAGUUGAAAAAAGAAAACAACUUAAUAAUUAUUUUUCGAGAUUCAGACGAAAAAACAAACAUAUUAUUCAGAUUCAGACAUUCAGAUCUAUUCAGAAUUUAGACUAAUUCAAGUCUAUUCAGAUUUCAGAUAAAAAAACAAACGCCACCUUGGUCCGGGGCUUAACCAGUUGGGAGGAGUUCAGUCUCAUCCAAUCACCACAACUUCUGAUUAAAAUUCUGGAUACAAGUGUGCCUCUGCCAUAAUUAAUUGACAGGUUGCUAUGUUGUUGGAAGUGCCGGAAGCAAAGAAAAGGUGAGUUUGCACCCUUAACCCUUACGCUCUAAAUAAAAACAUAACACCUUCUGAAAGAAUUGUGCAUAGAGAAUUUUGCAUGUCACAUUAUUUGUGUUCUAACUAAUCAUGGAUAUUUGAUCAUUAGUCUAACUAAAACUGACAUAUUACCACCUAGUUGACUGGUCUUUGAGAAAUGUUAGUUGAUAUAUGCUUGAAAUCAUACUUUGUUUUAUUAGAUGAUUAUAUUAACCUGCUUCUUUUUCUUUGUGCUGUUUCUCGUUUGAUUACAUUUUCAACAUUAGGUCGAUCUAUUGAAGCACAAGUUUGGGUUUGAUGAUGCCUUUAACUAUAAGGAAGAGCCUGACUUGGAUGCAGCUCUUAAUAGGUUAGCACGAAUGAAUGCUUUAACCAUUUUUCUCACUUCAUUAUUACAAUGCGCUGAUUGAAGUAAUCAGUGUUGGCUCUGAAAAUGUAACGUAUACUUCUCUGUUUUCAUAAAACAGGACAAACAGUGAUCAGUGAUCUCAUUCGUUACAUUGAUAUUUUCUACCAUUGCCAUACAUAGUAUAAACUAGGAAUUCAGUUGCUUAAUAGAUAUUCAUUUCAGAGGGAAAUUUUCACUUGCAGCUAACAGAAUCAUGUUUGUGAUGUAUGUUUAUUUGGGAAAUGAAAGGAUUUGUUGCAUUAUUUUAUUCCAAGUUUGCUGAAAUCAUAUUUGUUUUCCCAGGUGCUUUCCUGAAGUUAUCGACAUCUAUUUCGAAAAUUUUGGGGGUAAGAUGCUUGAUGCAGUGCUACUCAACAUGAGAAUUUGUGGCCGCAUCGCUGUAUGCGGAAUGAUCUCACAGUACAACUUUGAGAAGCCUGAAGGUGUACACAACUUGAUGCAAGUAAUUGGAAAACGAAUUCGCAUGGAAGGAUUUCUUGCCAGUGAUUUCUACCACCAAUAUCCAAAAUUCUUGGAACUGGUUAUGCCGGCAAUCAAAGAAGGAAAGUUAGUAUAUGUCGAGGACAUAGCUGAAGGCCUCGAGAAAGCUCCAUCAGCCCUAGUUGGGAUAUUCACAGGUCAAAAUGUUAAAAAACAACUGGUUGUAGUUGCUCGGGAAUGAUAUGAUUACUAUAUGCUUUAAAAAGUGGACUUUGCCAUGCACUUUAAAACCUUAGUGAAGAUGCCUUUGUCUUAUUUUUGAUACAUGUUAUGUUUGUUUGAUCAAGUUGUACUCAGCUAUAAAUCAAAGAUUCAGAACAUGUGUAUGAUACUGGUUUCUAAAUCAAUGAACGCCUUGAAAUGUUAGUGUUUUCACAGGAGAAUGCAAUUUAAUUCAUCAACAAUGUCCCAACAAGACCCUCAGAGCUGUAGCUUGUAAAGUUAAUUACGAUAUUUUUUUGUAAAGUAAAUUACCAUAUUUUUUUCUUUCCAAUAUAUUGCUUAUUUCAUAGAAAGUUUACAUUAAAGUCUCAUGUUUCUUUGAAAGGUAAGCAAGUGUGAACGUUUCAAUCUAGAGAUGGAAAAUGCAUUUCCGGGAACUUACUUGAUAAAUGAAGUUUUCAUCUCUGACCUUGAUGUUUCCCACAGGUGCAUUCAUUUCAGCUGAUCUAUAUAAUUUUGUUUUCGAAGGAGAGACACAAAAUCUCCGUUGUUAAGGGGAGAAUUUAGAGUGGCUUUGACUGUUAACAAAUAGCCUAAUGUAAGACUUAACCAACUUCCUGCCCUGUUGUAUGCUUAUGAAUUUUGAUAGAGCUAAGAGUUUGCAGAAGCUAUUGUAUUAUAUGUCGUUAGAGGCUGUAAACAUCAAACACAUUUAAAUUUCAAUGAAAAUUUACUGGAAGUAAAUUUCCUUUGAUCCCACAGGUGACUAAUUAAUGAGAACUUGACAAUGACAAAAGAAAGUGUAUGAACUUUGCAGGCUGGCAUGCCAAUAUUGACUGGGUGGCACCAUCCACCAUCUGCAAGUGAAUAUCAUUGUUGUUUAAUCAACAAGGUGGAGUCCACUGGGACCACACCACAUCGUCAGCCUUAUCUCUAUUCCUCAAUUUUCAGUAUUCCAUACAUCAAAACAAUUUCAGUUUUGUUAUCAAUUAUAAUUUCAUUGUUGGUGACGAUUCUGAUUCCUUUCUUUCUGACAAAACGGAACCAUGGUUGCUGUGGGAGAGAUCUUACUCAACGCCUUCUUUCAGGUGUUGUUUGACAGGUUGGCUUCCCGUGAUUUGCUCAGCUUUGUCCGUCAACUUGGAGGCGGGGUCGAUUCCGAGCUCAAGAAGUGGCAAAGAAAGCUGAAGAUGAUUCAGGCGGUGCUCAACGAUGCAGAGGAGAAGCAACUGACUGACGAGGCUGUGAAGAUGUGGCUGGACGAUCUCCAAGACUUGGCUUAUGACGCUGAGGACAUUCUUGAUGAGUUUGCUACUCAAGCUUUGGAAAGCAAGUUGAUGGCGCAAAAUCAGGAUAGCUCUGGCCAGCUUCUCAGUUUCAUCCCGGCUAGUUUGAAUCCGAAUGCUGUUAGGUUCAAUUAUAGCAUGAGGUCCAAGAUUAACGAUAUUACUAGCCGGUUGGAGCAACUCUGCAAAUAUAGAAUUGAACUUGGGCUGCAACGGAUUCCUGAAGGGGCAUCAUCAACUGCUGCUGCUGCACACCAGAGGCCACCCAGUUCAAGCGUCCCACCAGAACGUGAAGUUUUUGGUAGAGAAGAAGAUAAGGCCAAAAUUCUUGAUAUGGUAUUGGCCGAUAGCCCAAGUGAUCAUGCCGACUUUGCUGUAAUACCCAUUGUUGGCAUGGGCGGGAUAGGAAAAACAACUCUCGCUCGGGAGGUCUACAAUGACAAGGCCGUUGAACAUUCCAAGUUUGAUGUAAAAGCAUGGGUUUGUGUAUCUGAUGUCUUUGACGUUUUGGGCAUCUCAAAGGCGCUUCUCGAGUCAAUCACCCGCAGGCCAUGUCUUCUAAACAGUUUAAACGAAGUGCAGGUUGAAUUGAAAGUAGCUGUGGAUAAAAAAAGAUUCUUGCUGGUCUUAGAUGAUGUUUGGAACGAGGACUACAGCUUGUGGGUAGACUUAAAAGCUCCGUUCCUGGGUGCUGCACCAAACAGCAAGAUGAUCGUCACCACACGCAAUUCAAGUGUUGCAUCAACAAUGAGACCCAUUGAUCGUCACCACACGCAAUUCAAGUAUUACGAUCUCAAGAGUCUGUUAGAUGAUGAUUGCUGGUCCAUUUUCAUAAACCAUGCAUUUGAAUCUACAGACCUUAGCGCACAUCGAAUUUCAGAAUCAUUCCGCGAGAAAGUUGUUGGCAAGUGUGGGGGCUUGCCUCUGGCAGCAAAAACACUCGGGGGCCUUCUUCGUACUAAAACGCAUGCUGAGUGGGACGGUAUAUUGGAUAGCAAAAUAUGGGAUUUACCUCGGCAAAGCAGCAUUCUCCCCGUGUUAAGAUUGAGUUACCAUCAUCUUCCUUCUCAUUUGAAAAGAUGUUUUGCUUUUUGUGCCAUCUUUCCAAAAGAUUAUGCAUUCACUGAGAGGGAGCUGACUUUCUUAUGGAUGGCUGGAGGUAUUAUUCGACAGUCAAGAAACAAUGAGCAGCUGGAAGAUUUGGGCAGCAAGUGCUUUGGUGAUCUAGUGUCGAGGUCAAUUUUUCAACAAACAGCAAUCUCUGAUAGUUCUAAAUUUGUAAUGCAUACUUGAAAUUUCUGUCUUCAAUAUUUUGAUGCUUUCUUAUCCCAUGCACAAAAGUACUAGAAAAAACUAAUAACAGCUAACCGAAAAUCCCAGGCGUCAUAUUCCUUUUUACCGCGUUUUAAAAUGCACAACAAUGAUAUUCUUACAAAUUUGCAAAAUUUGUCAAUUUCUUAGAUUUCAGAUAUUUUAAUGCUUUUUUUAAUUUUUGAUCUAGUAAAAAUACACAGCCUUCACCGGCAGGAUUCUAGUCUUGGCUUUCACCUCUCUAACUCAUCUGUUCCCAUUGGGAUUCCAGAAAUUGAAAUUUCUGUCUUCAAUGGGUUUUCAAAGCCUCGCCUCUCUUCGAUUUUUGUGGAUCGGGAAUUGCACAAAUCUCACAUCAUUUCCCGAGGUCGAGGAAAAGAGCGGCCCAAACUUGCUCGCAUCCCUUAUUAGGUUAUGAUAGAUGGAAAAUUCAUAUACGAUCCAGAGUCAGAGGUGUUGAUUCUCUUAUUAAGGUCAGCUGAUUUCUAUUAUCCACUCUGACAAUCUCCUAUUCGUGUUUUUCCUUUUUAAAUUUUUUUUCCAAAAUUUUGCAGUUCCGUAUAUUGGUGUUUGUUAAGGUAAUUAGUGCUCCCUCAAUAUUGCAUUUUAGACUGCCAAAUGUAGCAGUAAUUUUAAUACAAUUUUGUUGGUGCCUUGUGUUCCAGAAGCUAGAAAAAUGUGUAGUUUUCAGAUAAGGAGGCUUGUCAGUUCUCUAGUAAGAAUCCAAUGAUUUGCUUUUGCACGUCCAUCUAAUUUGUGGAUCCUUGCAUCAGAAUUUGAUCAAUCCAAAAGGAAUUGCUUUUAGACAGAAGAAGAAUAGCAGCACCUAGCCUACCCGCAAACCUGAAACUAUUAGAUUGAGGUAAAAAAAUCAUUGACCCUCACAUGUUAACUUCUUCUAGUUACUUUCAUUGGGGAAAAAAAAACAUUUAAGGAAUUUGCAAUUUGUUGUUAGUUAUGGUAUCUGAUGUUCUUUUCUGCUUUAGCGUUUGUAGAACCUACUGUAUUAUGUGUUGGCAGUUGCCGUAUCUGAGGUAACUUGCCUUUAUUUGUUUGCUUCUGAGUUAAGGACACCAACAUUUGCCAGAGAUUUAGAGAAUCAUCUCAAAACACUUAGCAAACUUGACAAACUUCAAGAUGCACUUGCCCCCACGCCUUAUUCUCAACAACGCAAAACUUGUGAGUACACCUAUGCCUGCAAUUAUUGUGAAGUGUUCGCAAUUCUGAUGCAGAGAAAUGGUUUCUUGAUGCAAAGUAUUAAACUGUUAAGAUUUAUCCUGCAGGCUUGUUAGAUGUUGUAUACUCGAAAAGCCAACAACAUCAAGAACUACAACUCCAAGACCAACUUUGCGUUAAUUCAGUCAGCUGUAAAAAUGAUGCAAAUGACACUAUAUCAAGCUGGACUUAGAGACUAGUCAGAUCAAUCAUCCAUUUCAUCAACGGUUAAUGUCAUGAUGGUGGCUAUCAGAGGAAACAAAAGAUGUGUCAGAAUCUAUACGAACAUUGAGAAGCAUGAGAGGAGCUUUGAUUUUGAGUAGGGUCAAUGAACUCAUGUUGGUAAGUGGUGAUUAAAGAAAUUUGUAAGCUUAGUAGAGUUUCAGUAUUUUCUGUUUGGAGUAUAGUUGAUAAGUUGACUCUGUUUAAGAAGCCCGAUUAUAGUAGCUGACUGUAUUAACCUUUUUUUUUUUGGUCUGCUGUUGUUUUUGGUUUCGAUUAUUUUUUCAACAUUGGGUUGAUCUGUUGAAGAACAAGCUUGGGUUUGAUUAUGUUUUAACUAUAAGGAAGAGCCAGACUUGGUUGCAGGCGUUAAGCUUUUAAUGGGUAAGAACAAAUGAAUGCUUUAACCAUGUUUCUCACUUAUUAAAAUGCAUGGAUUGAAGGCAUCUGGGUUGAUCCUGACAAUGUGAUGGAAAUACUUCUCUGUUUUCAUGUAACAGGACAAAUAGAGAUCUCUGAUCAUGCCUGAAUUUUUGUUGCAUUGAAAUUUCUACCAUUACCAAACAUAGAAUGAACUGGGGAUACAUUAGCUUAAGACUCAAUUUUGAGAAGGAAGUUUGUACUUGCAGCCUAUAAAAUCAUGUCCGUGUCGUACGUUUCUUUGGGAAAUGAAAGAUUCUGUGUGUUCUUUUAUUUCAAGUUCACUGAAAUCACAUUUGUUUUCUCCGAUGCUUUCCAGAAGGUAACAACAUCAAUUUCAAAAAUGCUGGGGCAAGAUGCAUCAUGCAGUGCGACUCAACUUGAGAAUUCCUGGCCACAUUACCCGUAUGUCGAAUGAUCGCACAGUUCAACCUUGAGAAGCUUGUAAUGAGUACACAACUGGGUGCAAGUAGUUUUGAAAUGAAUUUGCCUCAAAUGAUUUCUUGCUCGCAUCCCUUGGGUUAUGAUAGAUGGAAAAUUCAUAUACGAUCCAGAGUCAGAGGUGUUGAUUCUCUUAUUAAGGUCAGCUGAUUUCUAUUAUCCACUCUGACAAACUCCAAGACCGGGUUUUUUUUUUUUUUAAUUUUGCCGUUCUGUAUAAUUGAAAUGCCACUCACUUGUUUCCUUCUUCACAGGUCCGAUAGUAUGUUGAGGCUAUUUGCUUUUUAUCGGUGUUUGUCAAGGUAAUUAGUGCUGCCUCAUAGGUUGAUUACUCACAGAUGAAAUCAUAACUUUUAUCUUAAAAUUUAAUAGCAUACACAGAUAGAUGAUUUUUAGUCCAAAGUUUUUUUAUUCACUUCAAUCAAAAUUUUAGAUUGCAGAUUUUUGUCAAGUAUUUCAUUACAAUUUUUUCAUUUUUUAUUUUAAACCAGAAUAUGAGUAUAACAUUUUGGAGCGUGCAUACUCUGAUGCAUGCAAUUAACUGUUUUUAAUCAUUGGAUUUUGAAAUUAAUAAUGGUAAGAUGUGUACUUAUUCUGUCUUCCAACAACCUUGGCCUCUUUCUUCGGUCGCAUAUCUAAUGAAUAUUUCUCUGUUUAGUUAAGGAUGAAUGCUUGGAGUGGGGUACUUGGUAACAUUUCUGCCUCAGAUGAAUCCUUGAAGAAAUGCCCGCAGUUCCUGAGACCAAAUACAGGUCUGAUUCAAAACAGCACCUUUCUCAGAAAAUAUGAUCCAAGGCAAAGUCAUGUUCUGAUAAUGUUUCCUUAAGUACAAAGUUGCAAGGAAACUUGAUUCAUUAACUACAGUUUUUUAUUUUUAGGACCUUGUAUCUGAAAGGUUCAGUGUUUUUUUUUUUUCAAAUUUAUUGUUCAGAUCUCAGAGGAGUAUAUGGUUUAGAUUACAAAACACCCAUGAUUAAUUUCAUUUUUUUUUUUUUAUUUCAGGGAGAAGAAGUGGUCAGUUUCAAUCCGGAAUUGGAAUAUGGCAAUUUGGUUCAAGCACACACACCUGGUCACUUGGUCAGUGAACCUGAACUUUACGCAGUUUUUUCAACUCAGUGAUUUUUGGAACGCAUAGUGGUGUAAGGAAAUCAAAAGAAAUUUAUGCAUAGUCAAAUUCUGAUAUUUGCUAUAUAUUAUACAUUCUAAAGUUUCUCCAGUUUGUUCUCAGAUUACCAUCAUUUUUUGCCUUCACCAAAAAAAAAAAAUUGAGUGGCUUUCCAGUGGAUAUUUAAUCGGAGGUAUGACUGGAUUUUUUUCACUUCUGUAAAUCUUGCAUUUUAAACUGGCAAAUUUAACUUUAAUUUUAAUACGACUUUGUUGGUGCCUUGUGCUCCAGAAACUAGAAAGAUGUGUAGUUUUCAGAUAAAGGGGCUUGUAAAUUCUCUAGUAAGAAUCCAAUAAUUUGCUUUUGCACGUUCAUUUUAUUUGUGGAUCCUUGCAUCUGAAUUUAAUCAAUCCAAAAGGAAUUGCUUUUAGACAGAAGAAGAAUAGCAGUACCUAGCCUAUGACAUAGUAUAUGGACCUGCAAACCUGAAACUAUUAGUUUGAGGUAAAAAAUUCAUGACCCUCACAUGUUAACUUUCAUGAAAAACACAUUUAAGAAAUUUGCAAUUUUUUGUUAGUUUCGUAUCCGAUGUUGUUGCAUCACAGUAACUUUAAACCACUGCGACAUUUUUAUAAUAACAGUCUGAGAUCUCCCUGAAGGAUUCAAAGCAUUUUAUUUUAUAUUAAACUCCUUUAUGUGGGUUUCGACACUACCACAAGUUCUUUAAAUACUAAAACGAUUUUAAGUCUUUUGUAUCAUCUUAUUGAAAUAUAUGAAAGCACUCGUGGUUGCAAAAAUACAGUUGGGGCUAUUUCUAAAGUCUUCAACAGCAUUUUCUUUUUAACCUUUAUCCUCAUGGUUGUUUUUGCAGUUGUUCUUUAAGAAAACAUUUAAAAGGUUCUCUUUAUGGAUUUUUGAAAAUAAUUUUAACAUUAGCAAUUUUCAGAAGCACUUUAGAUGUCUGGCAUUUAGAAAAUUUUAUUCCGGUGUCACAUAAAAUACUUAGGAAGUUAAAUUUAUUUAUUUAUGAGCAUGUGCCAGUGCCCUGUGGCAUCCUCUUCACUUGUGAUAGUCAAAUAUAUUAUACGAUACAAUAUUAGCUUGACUGUAGCACAGAGGAGAAUAGGGUUGGUGUUGGUCUGAACCAGCUUAUGUAACAGCUGCCAAAAGGAUAAUUUAAUUGUACUUUGAGUAAAGCUUUUGCGAAUUAAACAAGUGAUAAUUUGUUUCUAUUAAGAAAAACUUAAAGGAUAGGGCUAUUUUAACUCACCAAACUACACAUUAAAAAUCCACUUACAAAAAUAGUUUUUAAUUAUUAAAAUAUUCCUAAAUUAAAUUAUAAUUAUGGACACUAAAAUAUAAUUUUUUUUAUAUUUUACUUUUUGAAACUGUCUUUAUAUUCGAUAUUAUAUUUUUUUUCUUAAACUCUAAAUUGAUAUUUUUUUAUUAAUUUUAAAACACAUAUAAAGUGAUUUAUAUUGAUUUUAUACUAACAAACUAUUAUAGCACAUUCGAAAAAUAAUUAAAUCGUUCUUAUUUACAUAGUGAAAAUGCAAAUAGCUCAUUCAAAUGUUAAGGAAUUGGAGAGCUGCUGCUGGAGAUGAAAGAUGUGAAUUAAACAUCAGAGAAAAAAUUAUGUUCACUAUCUUGCCAGACCAAGCACCGAAGAGCGUCGUAAAGAAAAAUUAGAUAAUUUAGAAGAUAAAGCACGUGGAAUGGAGGCAGAAAGCAAGUAAUGAUAACUCUUUCGACAAACUAAUAUAUACCAAAAUGCAAUAUCGGCCCUAAUAAAAAAUGAAAAUAAAAAUUCAUUACGAAUACUUGUUAAAGAUAUCCCAAGUAUAGAUGUGACUGAAAUAUUUGAGAUUGAAGAAGAAUUAAGACUCAAAAUCAAUUGGGAGGAAUAAAUGAGAAACCCCAAUACCAAAAAAUACACGCACAAAUCCUAAUACUAAUUGUAAUCACGGAUAAAAAGCAUAAUACGAAUAAAUUACAUGGGCAACUAUUCCAUUGAGAAAUUAAUUAAAUCGUGUAUUAAUAUUUUGUAUACAUAUAUUUUUCUAUACAUAACUUUCGGUAAUUUAGUUUUCCACUUAUCAUUUUUACUCCAAAAAAGUAAUUGAGAAUAUUAUUUAUGUUUUGGUACAAAAUAUUUGAACAAUAUACAAAUUUUCAGUUUAAUAAAUCUAAACAUCUAUUAAGUUAUAAAUGAAUUUAAUGGGUUUAAUUAAUAAAAUUACUAUUAUUAUAUAAAUUGGGUUUAGUAAUGGUAUAUUGGGUGGGUUUGUUGAGUAAAUUUUAAAAUUUUGAAAUUUAAGGAUGAAUUUAUUUAGUAAAUGAAUUCAGGGAGUAAUUUGUUGGGAUUCACAUAGCCCCACCAAAUUCAAAUGUAAAAUUUUUGGAAAAAGAAGCUAUUGAGUUAUUCUAAAAAAUAAUUAAAAUGUCAAGAAUACCUUUAUUUAAUUUUAUAAUCUUAUUUUAUAGUCAUAUUUUAUUUCCACCUUAACAUAAUUUUAAAAACCUUAACUAAUAAAUUCUAUAUUUUUUUUUAUAAAAGUUAUCAUUAAUAUCCAAACGGCUACAGAUUUUUUUUUUUUAAAAAAAGGAACUAUGCUUACAAAAGUUGUAUACAUUAACAAUAAAUUUAGUCCAAAGAAUAAAGUUAUUCCAAACAAGCACUCUAAUUCAUCUUGCUAAUGAAUCAAGAUGACUGAAUCCUUCUCUGAGCCAAAUCUAUUUUCACUUUUAGGUCAGAAAUUGUCAUUAAAAAAGUGUUUGAUAAAAUAUGCUCUGGGAACACUAAUUCGUCAGAUGGUUACUCCAAGUUUAUGAAAUCAAUGGGAUUUCAUCAUAUUCAUAACAUUCUUCUUGAAUGUCUAUUCUAACAAAGAAAUCAUAUACAGAGAAUAGGUUUCGUUAAAACUUUUUCUAGAAAAACUAACCACAAUUCAUCAUUCAUUUAUCUCUUAAGUAAGCGUAAGAUUUUAUCAUUAAAAUCCCAUCAUGAAAAAACUCAUGGGAGAAAAACUAUAAAAAUUGAAGAAAAAAGAGUAUGGCGUGCAUGUAAAUUAUAUCGAUUUUAUCUACAUGACAAAUAAGACUCUCUUUUACAAUGGCACGGAUGCUUCAUUGAGUAAUCAUGAUUCUUGCUGGUAGUGCUUUGUUGUAUCAAUCUGCUAGCUAUUCAGCGUUCUUUCUUUCUUUCUUCUUAUUUUUUUGUUUUCAAAUAGCUUGUGGUUGUAGAAAUAUUUCAAUUAAACUAUACUUAAGUACUUAUUUGGUAUAACUUCUUUACUAACCAAAAGAAUUUUUUUUUUUGGUUUUUUAUAAUUUAAUUAUACUUUAACUAGAGUUUUUGGGAUAAAACAAGUGAUAAUUUCUCUCUAUUAAGAAAAACUCAAAGGGUAGGGCUAUCUCAAUCCACCAAACUAUUUAUUAAAAAUCCACUUAUGAAAAUAAUUUUUAAUUAUUAGAAUGCGUUUACAUUAAAUUAUAAUUAUGGACACUAAAAUAUAAUAAAUUUUUUUUUUACUCUUUAAAAUUGUCUUUACAUUUGAUAUCAUAUCUUUUUCUUAAAAUCUAAAUUGAUAUUUUUAUUUUAUUUUUGAUUAAUCUUAGAACACAUAUAAAGUGAUUCAUAUUGAUUUUAUACUAACAAACUAUCACAGCACAUUCGAAAAUAAUUAACUCGUUCUUAUUUGCAUAGUGAAAAAGGCAAAUAGCUCACCCAAAUGUUAAGGAUAUGAAAAGCAUGGUCAAGAAAAAUUGCAUAAUUCUCACUUAGAAGAGAGGUAGCCGCCACCACCACCAGUGAAACUAUUUCACAUAAUAGAAGAUAAAGCACGCGUAAUGGAGGCAAAAAGCAAGUAAUGAUAACUCUUUUCGACGCACUAAUACAUAUCAAAAUGCAAUAUCGGUCCUAACAAAAUGAAAAUAAAAAUUCAUUACGAAUAUGUGUUAAAGAUAUCUCAAGUAUUGAUGUGAUUGAAAUAUUUGAGAUUGAAGUAGAAAUAAGACUCAAAAUUAAUUGAGAGGAAUAAAUGAGAAACUCUAAUACUAAUAAAAUAUAUUCACAAAUCCUAAUGCUAAUUAAAAUCACGGAUUAAAAAAAAUAAUAUGAAUGAAUUACAGGCGCAACUGUUUCAUUAAGAAAUUAAUUAAAUCGUGUAUUAAUAUUUUGUACACAUACAUUUUUCCAUAUAUAACUUUUGGUAAUUUAGUUUUCCACUUAACUUUUGGUGAAAAAAAUAAUUGAGAAUAUUAUUUAUGUUUUGAUGCAAAAUAUUUAAACAACAUAAAAAUUUUCAGUUUAAUAAAUCUAAACAAUUCUCAAGUUAUAAAUGAAUUUAAUGGGUUUAAUUAGAAAAAAUACUAUUAUUUUAUAAAUUGGGUUUAGUAAUGGUAUAUUGGGUAUUUAAAUGGGUUUGUUGAGUAAAUUUUAAAAUUUUAAAGUUCAAGGGUGGGUUUAUUUAGUAAAUGGGUUAAGGCAGCAAUUUUCCAAACUAAAUUUUUGGAAAAAGAGGUUAUUGAGUUUUUUUUUUUAAGAAAAAGAAUUAAAAUGUUGAGAAUACCUUUAUUUAAUUUUAUAAUCUUAUUUUAAAAAAUUUACCCAAUAAAUUUGAUAAUUUUUUAUAAAAAUUAUCAUUAACAUCCAAACAGCUGAAGAUUAAAAAAAAAAAAAAAGAAGGGAACUGUACUAGCAAAAGUUACAUUAACAAUAAAUUUAGUCCAAAGAAUAAAGUUAUAGCUAAAAAGUGCUCCUAUCCUAUUUUUCUCUAUUUUAACAAUAAUCUUCCAAUCCGUUUUACAAUGGACUUUAACAAAUGGGCUCAAUUAACAAGAUUGAUCAAGAAUUAACAAGACAAGAUGAAGAGAUGAUCUUGUAACUAAGAAUGAAGAAAUUACGCACAAAGCAGUAAAUUUGUAAAACCAGAAUUGGAGCUUCACUUCUCAAGAGAGACGAAACAGGAUACAAUCUAGCUUUGGUCAACUUCGUUUGGCCACGUCAUAAAGUCUCCCCACAGUCUUUCCCGCCAAAACAGAAAAGCUUUAAAAGCCAUUUACCUUCCUGAGUUACUUGCUCCUAUUACAUCAAGGCCCUGGAAGUCUAUAUUUAUUAUUACAAAAGCACUCUUAGGGUGCGUUUGGAAUUGAGGUGUUGUAGUUUUUAAGCUACAGCUGUUGUGAAAAAAAACUGUAAUUAUGAAAUAAAAGUUAAUAAUAUAUAGUAAAUAUAAAUUUUAAAUAAUAAUUUUAUCAAAAUUAUUAAAGAUAUAAUAAAUUUUAUAUUAUACAAGUGAAAAAUUAUAUCAACAUAGCUUAAAAGCUACAGCAGUUAAUGUUUACCAAACACUUUAGUGCUGUAGCUUUUAAGCUUCAGCUGCCCAAUCUCAAUCGCAAACGCACCCUUAAACCGAGAUCGAAGCGCAUGAUUUCAUUACAAAGCAUUCGCAAAGAAAUUGUUUUUAAAUGAAACUCCUCGUCUUGACCAGAUUAUUUAUUAUUAUUCAAAAACAAAUGCUCAAAGCUUAGCCAAAGUGAUAAACUCGUAAUUAUUCUACAAAGGGAACAAUUUUGAACGGUGGGAAAUUCCAUAAUUAUGCUUUUCUGUGAAUUAUUUUAAAUAAAAUUAUAAAAACCAAUAUAAAAUUAUUACCCAGUAAAGACUUUAGAGAGACAAAUGUCCCCAACAGGAUCAAGUGAAUAUGCCCCACAAAGAUCACAUGAUCAUUUCUUGUUCUUUUUCUUUUGGACAAUUUUAGACAAUAUAAAAGAAAAAAUAUUAAAUUUUUUUAACCGAAUUAUUUUGACUCAAUUUGGUUCAUAAUUUUUUAAACCAAAUGGAACCCUCAUAACAAAAAACUAACGGAAACAAUAAGAACACGAUGUUAAAAUCUUAAAUCAAUCGCAAAAAAGCACCCAAAACAGAUCGAUUAGGAACAGUUAACAACAAAAGAUUUGAUGGUUCAAAAUCAUAAUGUGACCUACUUCCAUCCAAGAAUUAUACUAAUUUCUUUACUAGUUGUCAAAUACAAGAUCACAAGAUUAUUUAUCACUCUAUAGAGAAAAACUUUUUAGAAGAAAUACUCCCCAAUUUUUCUCUUGAUAGUUAUGAAUCAACACCCCUAGAAAGGCUAUUGAUUUAUUUUUCCUUAUUUCAUAUGAUCGGUUGCUGCAACUUAAUCCUUGCCAAGUUCCAACAUAGUCCAAACAUUUUUCAUGGUACAUGCAUAGUGCACCUUCAGAAACUUUACAGCUCUUCUUAAAACCUCAGUUCUCGUGAUGUUUCUGAUUUAUUUUUGGGACGAGUAACACUUUUGUUGAACCUAGACCAGAUUUAGUAUCCAAUCAAGAAUUUCCAGGAUCUAGCUGAACUCUCUAAUCAAGACCUAAAGAAUAGUUAAUCAAAUCCACACAAAAGAAUCACCCAAAAACAGUAUACAAAGAACAACAAAUAUAAGUGGUUUUGAGAUAAAUGUAAUUGACUUCUGAGCAUGACUUAAUUUUGAGAUCAUUACUUUUAGUUAAAUGAUCUCCUCCAGAGCUUCUACCUAUGUAGUGUUUUUAGACCUCUAUAGUUGAUAAAGCACGUUCAAGGUGAAGGCUUGUUUUCCAAUCUAUAGUCCAAUUAUAGACUGGAAAUGGUCAGGCUUAAUGCACCUUCAAAAGCUUCACAAUUUGUAUUGAAACCUUAAGCCUCAGAAUGCUACAAAUUUUAAAUCCAUAUACUUAGUGCUCUUAUGAUUUGUUUGAUUUUUACUUAGAUGAAGAGCAUUUUAGCUAUAGAAUACAUUGUAACUAAUUCAAAGCAUGCCUUAGCUACGAGAUCAUUCAUUCUAGCCAAAUGCCCCCUUUAGAGAUUCUGCUAUUGUUGUGUAUUCAGCCUCUAUAUUUGGCAAAGCAAUUACAUGUCGAAGGCUUGCUUUCCAGUUAACAGCGCAAUUACAUAGAUUAAAGGUGUAACCAGGCAAAGAACUUAGUUAUUCUGCCAAGGUCUCCAACAUACUCCAAAUCCAUAUAACCACCAGACUUCAAUCUUUAGACUCCAUAGAUCAAACCAUAACUUAGUGUGCCUUUCAAUCUCAGGUAACAUUUUACUGUUUUCCACGUCUUGCCAUGUACUUGCUGCUAACACUAACAAUUUGAGAAAUGUUAGGCAUCGUAAGCAGCCGACAACACUCUUCUUCAUUUCUUCAUUGUCAAUUUCUUUCUUGGAACAUUGCUCCAUUGAGAGUCUGCUAUCAUUGCUCCAAUUAUUAUUAUUUUUGUUUUUUUUUAAAAAAAAAAUAACCGUGCAAUAAGAGUAUAAGACUAAGCAACGGUCCUUUUUUUUUUACCCAUUCUUGAACAUGAAGUAUUUGAGUAUGUAAUAAAAAUUGUUUAUUGAUAAUUAAAAGUUAAUAGUGGGUGGCUUUAGGUUUUGUUUACAAAAUUGACAACAAAUUAAGAUUUUUCAAAUUCAUAGGUAAGAAACUUUUCAUUUAUUCAUAGAUUUUCCGGUUUAAACUUUAAAGGAAACUUAAAAGAAAAAGAUGUAUCAUUAGAUUUGUAAUUAAAAAAAUUUAAUAUUGUAUGAUCUGUUCGAUAUGCAUAAUUUAAAUAAACAUUAAUAUAGAUGUUAUAUAUCCUAAAACUUAAUUGACUUAAUUCUUACGGUGCAAGGAAGACGUUUCCAAGUUUAAAUCUAAUUUGGGGUCGGGAAAGCACUGGGAAAUAAAUGUAACAAAGGAAAAAAGAAAAGAAUGACAGUCUGAGUGGAGCCAACACGGUUUUGAAAAAAGUGCAAAAAAGGGUUUUAGGAUAUACUCUAUUAUCGUUUGUUUGCUUGCUUGUGGAAAUAAAAGUCUCAUGUUUCUUUGAAAGGUAAGCAAGUGUGAAUGUUUCUAUCUAGAGCUGGAAAAUGCAUUUCCGUGCAACUUACUUGAUGAAUGAAGUUUUCACCUCUGACCUUGAUGUUUCCCUGAGCUGCAUUCAUUGCAGCUGAUGUAUUUCAUUUUGUUUUCGAAGGAGUGACACAAAAUCUCCUUUGUUAAGGUGAGAAUUUAGAGUGGCUUUAACUGUUAACAAAUAGCCUAAUGUAAGACUUAAUCAACUUCCUGCCCUGUUGUAUGCUUAUGAAUUUUGAUAGAGUUAUGAGUUUGCAGAAGCUACUGUAUUAUAUGUUGCUAGAGGCUGUAAAAAUGAGGCAGAUCAAACACACAUUUAAAUUUCAGUGACAAUUUACUGGAAGUAAAUUCCUAUGACCCUACAUGUGACUGUGUGGCACCAUCCGCCAUUUGGAAGUGAAUAUCAUUAUUCUUUAAUCAACAUGGUGGAGUCCACGGGGACCACACCACAUGGUCAGUCUUAUCUCUAUUCCUCAAUUUUCAGUAUUCCAUACAUCAAAACAAUUUCAGUUUUGUUAUCAAUUAUAAUUUCAUUGUUGGUGACGAUUCUGAUUCCUUUCUUUCUGACAAAACGGAACCAUGGUUGCUGUGGGAGAGAUCUUACUCAACGCCUUCUUUCAGGUGUUGUUUGACAGGUUGGCUUCCCGUGAUUUGUUCAGCUUUGUCCGUCAACUUGGAGUGGGGGUCGAUUCCGAGCUCAAGAAGUGGGAUAGAAAGCUGAAGAUGAUUCAGGCGGUGCUCAACGAUGCAGAGGAGAAGCAACUGACUGACGAGACUGUGAAGAUGUGGCUGGACGAUCUCCAAGACUUGGCUUAUGACGCUGAGGACAUUCUUGAUGAGUUUGCUACUCAAGCUUUGGAAAGCAAGUUGAUGGCGCAAAAUCAGGAUAGCUCUGGCCAGCUUCUCAGUUUCAUCCCGGCUAGUUUGAAUCCGAAUGCUGCUAGGUUCAAUUAUGGCAUGAGGUCCAAGAUUAACGAUAUUACUAGCCGGUUGGAGCAACUCUGCAAAGAUAGAAUUGAACUUGGGCUGCAACGGAUUCCUGAAGGGGCAUCAUCAACUGCUGCUGCUGCACACCAGAGGCCACCCAGUUCAAGCGUCCCACCAGAACGUGAAGUUUUUGGUAGAGAAGAAGAUAAGGCCAAAAUUCUUGAUAUGGUAUUGGCCGAUAGCCCAAGUGAUCAUGCCAACUUUGUUGUAAUACCCAUUGUUGGCAUGGGCGGGAUAGGAAAAACAACUCUCGCUCGGGAGGUUUACAAUGACAAGGCCGUUGGAGAUUCCAAGUUUGAUGUAAAAGCAUGGGUUUGUGUAUCUGAUGUCUUUGACGUUUUGGGCAUCUCAAAGGCGCUUCUCGAGUCAAUCACCCGCAGGCCAUGUCUUCUAAACAGUUUAAACGAAGUGCAGGUUGAAUUGAAAGUAGCUGUGGAUAAAAAAAGAUUCUUGCUGGUCUUAGAUGAUGUUUGGAACGAGGACUACAGCUUGUGGGUAGACUUAAAAGCUCCGUUCCUGGGUGCUGCACCAAACAGCAAGAUGAUCGUCACCACACGCAAUUCAAGUGUUGCAUCAACAAUGAGACCCAUUGAUCGUCACCACACGCAAUUCAAGUAUUACGAUCUCAAGAGUCUGUUAGAUGAUGAUUGCUGGUCCAUUUUCAUAAACCAUGCAUUUGAAUCUACAGACCUUAGCGCACAUCGAAUUUCAGAAUCAUUCCGCGAGAAAGUUGUUGGCAAGUGUGGGGGCUUGCCUCUGGCAGCAAAAACACUCGGGGGCCUUCUUCGUACUAAAACGCAUGCUGAGUGGGACGGUAUAUUGGAUAGCAAAAUAUGGGAUUUACCUCGGCAAAGCAGCAUUCUCCCCGUGUUAAGAUUGAGUUACCAUCAUCUUCCUUCUCAUUUGAAAAGAUGUUUUGCUUUUUGUGCCAUCUUUCCAAAAGAUUAUGCAUUCACUGAGAGGGAGCUGACUUUCUUAUGGAUGGCUGGAGGUAUUAUUCGACAGUCAAGAAACAAUGAGCAGCUGGAAGAUUUGGGCAGCAAGUGCUUUGGUGAUCUAGUGUCGAGGUCAAUUUUUCAACAAACAGCAAUCUCUGAUAGUUCUAAAUUUGUAAUGCAUACUUGAAAUUUCUGUCUUCAAUAUUUUGAUGCUUUCUUAUCCCAUGCACAAAAGUACUAGAAAAAACUAAUAACAGCUAACCGAAAAUCCCAGGCGUCAUAUUCCUUUUUACCGCGUUUUAAAAUGCACAACAAUGAUAUUCUUACAAAUUUGCAAAAUUUGUCAAUUUCUUAGAUUUCAGAUAUUUUAAUGCUUUUUUUAAUUUUUGAUCUAGUAAAAAUACACAGCCUUCACCGGCAGGAUUCUAGUCUUGGCUUUCACCUCUCUAACUCAUCUGUUCCCAUUGGGAUUCCAGAAAUUGAAAUUUCUGUCUUCAAUGGGUUUUCAAAGCCUCGCCUCUCUUCGAUUUUUGUGGAUCGGGAAUUGCACAAAUCUCACAUCAUUUCCCGAGGUCGAGGAAAAGAGCGGCCCAAACUUGCUCGCAUCCCUUAUUAGGUUAUGAUAGAUGGAAAAUUCAUAUACGAUCCAGAGUCAGAGGUGUUGAUUCUCUUAUUAAGGUCAGCUGAUUUCUAUUAUCCACUCUGACAAUCUCCUAUUCGUGUUUUUCCUUUUUAAAUUUUUUUUCCAAAAUUUUGCAGUUCCGUAUAUUGGUGUUUGUUAAGGUAAUUAGUGCUCCCUCAAUAUUGCAUUUUAGACUGCCAAAUGUAGCAGUAAUUUUAAUACAAUUUUGUUGGUGCCUUGUGUUCCAGAAGCUAGAAAAAUGUGUAGUUUUCAGAUAAGGAGGCUUGUCAGUUCUCUAGUAAGAAUCCAAUGAUUUGCUUUUGCACGUCCAUCUAAUUUGUGGAUCCUUGCAUCAGAAUUUGAUCAAUCCAAAAGGAAUUGCUUUUAGACAGAAGAAGAAUAGCAGCACCUAGCCUACCCGCAAACCUGAAACUAUUAGAUUGAGGUAAAAAAAUCAUUGACCCUCACAUGUUAACUUCUUCUAGUUACUUUCAUUGGGGAAAAAAAAACAUUUAAGGAAUUUGCAAUUUGUUGUUAGUUAUGGUAUCUGAUGUUCUUUUCUGCUUUAGCGUUUGUAGAACCUACUGUAUUAUGUGUUGGCAGUUGCCGUAUCUGAGGUAACUUGCCUUUAUUUGUUUGCUUCUGAGUUAAGGACACCAACAUUUGCCAGAGAUUUAGAGAAUCAUCUCAAAACACUUAGCAAACUUGACAAACUUCAAGAUGCACUUGCCCCCACGCCUUAUUCUCAACAACGCAAAACUUGUGAGUACACCUAUGCCUGCAAUUAUUGUGAAGUGUUCGCAAUUCUGAUGCAGAGAAAUGGUUUCUUGAUGCAAAGUAUUAAACUGUUAAGAUUUAUCCUGCAGGCUUGUUAGAUGUUGUAUACUCGAAAAGCCAACAACAUCAAGAACUACAACUCCAAGACCAACUUUGCGUUAAUUCAGUCAGCUGUAAAAAUGAUGCAAAUGACACUAUAUCAAGCUGGACUUAGAGACUAGUCAGAUCAAUCAUCCAUUUCAUCAACGGUUAAUGUCAUGAUGGUGGCUAUCAGAGGAAACAAAAGAUGUGUCAGAAUCUAUACGAACAUUGAGAAGCAUGAGAGGAGCUUUGAUUUUGAGUAGGGUCAAUGAACUCAUGUUGGUAAGUGGUGAUUAAAGAAAUUUGUAAGCUUAGUAGAGUUUCAGUAUUUUCUGUUUGGAGUAUAGUUGAUAAGUUGACUCUGUUUAAGAAGCCCGAUUAUAGUAGCUGACUGUAUUAACCUUUUUUUUUUUGGUCUGCUGUUGUUUUUGGUUUCGAUUAUUUUUUCAACAUUGGGUUGAUCUGUUGAAGAACAAGCUUGGGUUUGAUUAUGUUUUAACUAUAAGGAAGAGCCAGACUUGGUUGCAGGCGUUAAGCUUUUAAUGGGUAAGAACAAAUGAAUGCUUUAACCAUGUUUCUCACUUAUUAAAAUGCAUGGAUUGAAGGCAUCUGGGUUGAUCCUGACAAUGUGAUGGAAAUACUUCUCUGUUUUCAUGUAACAGGACAAAUAGAGAUCUCUGAUCAUGCCUGAAUUUUUGUUGCAUUGAAAUUUCUACCAUUACCAAACAUAGAAUGAACUGGGGAUACAUUAGCUUAAGACUCAAUUUUGAGAAGGAAGUUUGUACUUGCAGCCUAUAAAAUCAUGUCCGUGUCGUACGUUUCUUUGGGAAAUGAAAGAUUCUGUGUGUUCUUUUAUUUCAAGUUCACUGAAAUCACAUUUGUUUUCUCAGCUGCUUUCCAGAAGGUAACAACAUCAAUUUCAAAAAUGCUGGGGCAAGAUGUAUCAUGCAGUGCGACUCAACUUGAGAAUUCCUGGCCACAUUACCCGUAUGUCUAAUGAUCGCACAGUACAACCUUGAGAAGCUUGUAAUGAGUACACAACUGGGUGCAAGUAGUUUUGAAAUGAAUUUGCCUCAAAUGAUUUCUUGCCGGUGAUUAAUAUAACCUCUAUUCCAAAAUUCUUAGAACUGGUCAUACUAGCAAUGAAGGAUUGCAUACAUUGAAGACAUAGCUGAAGGCCUUGCGAGAGCUCUGUCAGCCCUUGUACCGGAAAACAGCUGGUCGUAGUCGCUUGUGAAUGAUAUGAUUAAUAGAUACUGCAAAAAUGAAUUGUGCCAUACGUUUUCAGCGCUCUGUGAAGAUGUCUUGGUCAUUUGUUUGAUGCUUGUUUGAUUUAUGUUGUAUUCAGCCAUAAAUCAGAGAUUCAGAACUUGGGUAUGUUUCUGGUUUCCAAAUCAAAAAAUUGCCUUGUGAUGUUAGUGUUCACUGUUUUCACAGGAGAUCAGGUUCCUUGUUAAUGAAUCAAGAAGAAGGCAAGCGCAUCCAUGUCCAAGUUCAAAUGUGUCUCCUCUAUUUUCUAUUACCCACUCAUUUAUUUUGAUUUCUUCAUUGUAAUUGAAUUAGUUUUUUAUUCCAAAUUAGUCAAAACCUCGUAGAGUCAUUAAGUUCUUUUAGCAUUUAAAGACAGAACUACGAACCAAAUGAUUUAAGUUCUUCGUUGUAAUUGAAUUUGCUUUCCCAUCUUUAGAGAUAUUAUGUUCUUUUUCACUUUUUCGAUUUGGUUAGUGGUGAUUUCUUAAAGACUCAAUCCAUUUGCGUUAAUACAUUUUUCUUUUGCCUUGAUUUCUGUUUCUUGGGGAGUUUAUACAUAUUAUUAUUUUAUGCUACACAUGCCAUAUACAGAUUCUUAUUUUAUGCUUCACAUGCCACAUAAAAGGUCAAAGCCUUGUGUGUGAUUAGAAUUUACUGGCAUCAUAGUAACUUUAAACCAUUGUGACGUUUUAGUAAUAACAGUUUGAGCUCUCCCUGAAGGAUUCAAAGCAUUUUAUUUUAUAUUAUACUCCUUUAUAUGGUUUGGCUGGUCUCUUUUAAGGCAAUUCCUGUUUAAAGUAAUCAAAAUUUUGAUUUCGAAGUGUCUUUCAACACUACCGCUAGUUCUUUAAGAAAAGUAAAUCGAUUUUGAGUCUUCUGUAUCAUCUGAUUGAAAUACAUGAAAGCACUCUUAGCUGCAAAAGUACACUUGGAGUUAUAAUAGCAUUCUGAAAUCUCCUUGAAGGAUUCAAAAGCUCUUUAUUUGCUAGUCUUUGCUUGCAAUAAACUCCUUUAAUAUAGAUUGGUUGAUCUUCUUUAAAGCAAUUACCAUAAGUUCUUUAAAUAAUAAAACGACUUUGAGUCUUAUGUAUCAUCUUGUUGAAAUACAUGAAAGCACUCUUGGCUGUAAAAAUGCACUUGGGGUUAUAUAUAAAGUCUUCAACAGAAUUUUAUUUCCCCCUUUAUCCUCAUGGUGGUCUUUUUAGUUGUUUUUUAAGAAAUCGCUUGAAGGUUCUCUUUAAAAAUAAUUUUAACAUAAGCAUUCUUUAGAAGCACUUUAGAUGUCUGGCAUUUAGAAAAUUUUGUUCCUGUGUUCACAUAAUAUAAUAUAUAUAUAGAAAGCUGACUGUAGAAUAGAGGAGAACGAGUUGGUGUUGGUCUGAACUCUGAUCUUUGAAUCUCAUGUGACUCCACUACUUUUUACUUGUUCUGUACAAGGUCUUUUAGCUUUUCAAAAAGUUUUAGCUUUAUGGAUAAAAUACUGUUAAUUGUAAUCUAUAAAUAAUGAAAGGAAUUAAUAAAAUAUUUGGUAAAUUUUAUUUUCUAAAGUGUUAUGAGUUCUAAAACGGCUGUAUGUAUAUAAAUUUAUUUACACAUAUAUUUAUAAAUAUGAUUAUAUAAUAAUAUUUUAUGUGUACAUAUCAUAAUUGAUAACUAAAAUAAAUAUUUUUAUUUUAUUAAUGGUUUUUCCGUCUCAAUGUAGUUGGUAAUAAUAAUCUCUUUAGAUGUAAUGAUUUUAUUUCCUAACUGAAUAAGGAAAAUUUUAGAUUUUUAUAAUAAAUGUUAAAUAUAUCUAGAAUUACAUUAAGUAUGAAAUAAUCCUCAAAAUUAGAUUUUGAAAAGUUAUUCUUUUAUUACUUUUAAAAAUAUGUCAUAUGAUGAGAUGAUUUUAUUAAAAGUGAUUUUUUUUUAAAAAAAUUACUAAACAUCAAAAUUAACUCUUAACUUUUUAAAAUCAUUUCUAAUCUUCUCAUCCUAAGUUCUUUAUUGUUUUGUACAAAAUCCAAGGUUUUUACUUUUAUAAAAUGCCCACUCAAAAAUAAAUUAUUUUCUAAUUAAGAUUUGUUGUUAAUGUAUACCUCGAAGUAAUAUUAGAUAUUUGUAAUUUUAUUUCAAAAAUUUUAUUCAAAUGAUAUGGCAAGCAAUGAACAAUAGUUGAUAGCAAUUUUUUUUUUUUAAACAAUGUUCAAAUCAAUCAGUUGCAUUAUCUCACCAUUUUUAUGAUGUCAUGUUAUUUUAAAUGAUUUUUUUAAUUUUUAUAUAAAACAUACGACGUGUUAACAUCAUUUGCAUAACUUGACCUUUUUUUUUUCCUACAAAUAGUAAGUCAAAUUUACUCACCCUAUUUCUACCUAAAACUCAUGCAUCACUGUAAAACAAAUCCAAAGAUUGCGAUACGUUUUUCUUGGCAAGAAAUCAAUAAUUAGGUCAAGUACUACUACUAAGCGUGCACAAUUAAUUCUAAAAUACGGUGAUCAAAAUCAUACUUGACGCAAGAGGAUAAGGGCUGAACUUCAAUUAGGCAUUAUUCAUCCAAAAUUCAUUGACUCGGCAUUCUUUGCAAGUUGUAGCAUGGGACAGCUAAGAUAAUUAGCAAAUGAUAUGGACCAUAUGCACCCAUACAUUUCCUUUAAUGCCAACUCUUCAUUGAAUGAUUAUCAGAUCCAAUACGCAUCCUUUGAUUGGAUUAUUUUAAGUCAAUUAUUGGUGGAUUGGGGCCCACUUGACUCUACCAAAUCGGGCUCCACCAUAUCACCUAUUAACGACCACCUGUCCUUAUCAUAAAUAGCAAAUGUCACUUGUUUUAUUUUGUAUUUUACCAAAAGCAAAGUCACUAUGAACCCAAAUGAAAGUGACCUCAAUUUUGGGGGUCAUGAACUUUGGAUUAUUAUGGACACAAGAGACAAGCGCAAUGUUUCUCAUUUAUCACUGGAUAAGAUUUAAGUUAUCAACCCAAUAUUAAUAAAUUCUGCUUGAAAAGUAAAGUUUGAAGCUUCAUUUUGCGAAUAUUCAAUGGUUAACAUUUAAGUAAUUAACCUGAUAUUAAUCUAAUUAAACUUUUUAUGUUAUCCAAGUCAAACAUAUAUUGAUAAACCUAAAUUAAUCUAAUUGGACAUAUUAUUUCAACUUGAAAAGGUGAAUCUAUCAUUUUUCAAUUAAUUUUGAAUCAAGCUAUGUAAAAUAUAAGCUUAUUAAAGACAUAUUUGAAAAAUUCAAAUUGAAUUAUUUGACAAUUACAUUUCAACUAAGUUGUACUGCUAAUUAACUUCCUCAACUUAAAAUGUAUUGUUCUCAAUUAAUUCGUAACAAAGAAUGUUAGAUGUUUUGUUCGAAUAAUAACAUUCAACAUCCUUAUUCUUUAUGAUUAUUGCAUAAAAAACAUAUUUUAUCCAUUUACGUCACUAUCGAAAACUUUGAACAGUCAAUACAAAUGCUUCCGUUUCAUCCCAUAAACAAAUAAAAUUCACAUCUGUACACAUCUACUUUGCUUUGCUAGAUAGAGUUCCUCUGCAUUUCCCAAUUGCCUAAAGAGAAGGGGAAAAGAAAAAGAGGGCCAAAAAAUGCCUGAAAUGGUAAGGAACAAGCAAGUGAUAUUGAAGAACUAUGUGUCUGGUUUCCCAAAAGAAACAGACAUGCACAUGACCGAAAGUUCCAUAGAAUUGAAGGUGCCAAAAGGUUCAAAUGGGGUUCUUUUAAAGAACUUGUACUUGUCCUGUGAUCCGUACAUGCGACCAAGAAUGACCUACAUCGAAGGAUCUUACGUUGAAUCCUUUAAACCUGGCUUGGUUAGUGCACUCGCUCAUGGCCACGCUUUUCAUUUCCAUGGCUUCUUGCUCUUUUGUUAUAGAAAAUUUAUUUUUGGUUGCAGUUUGGUUCGACUGCUAAAAUCUCGUGCGAUAAUUGUAUAAGAUAUCUAGAGUUUGAACUUCUUUCACAUUAGGGUUCAAGGAAGUUAACUUAAAUGAUUUUCAAAAUUUUAAAUGUGUACCAAUGAAUUUAAUUUCAUAGCUUAAACUUAUAUUUUGAUCAUACUCUAACUUUGGACAGGAAAAAUUAUAUUUUUCCUUUAGUUCUUUGACUUGGAGUAUGUUGUGUGAAGUACUUGUGCUUGAAAAUGAAUUGCUGACACAGAAAUUUCUAUGAAUGCAUGCAGCCCAUAAGUGGAUAUGGGGUGGGUAAAGUUUUGGAUUCAGAGAAUCCAGAGUUCAACAAAGGUGACUUGGUUUGGGGAAUGACUGGAUGGGAAGAGUAUAGUCUCAUUACGGCUCCACACUUGUUUAAAAUUCAACACACAGAUGUGCCUCUUUCUUACUAUACUGGAAUCCUCGGUAAACUUUUUGUUUGCGCAAUUUAUGUGAGCAAAUUGUGUCUUCUUUUUCAUAUGUAAAUGUUUUUGAUAUCUUGAUGUGAAGGUAGAAAAUUGCAUGUUUUGAGUUUUUGCAUAUUUGAUGGAAACACAGAACUGUACCUGAAUCUUUCAGAACCCCCUUUUCUUUGAAGUUUGAACACUUUUCUUGAAUGUAUCAACUUUAUUUAUGGGAUAUGUUGCCAAAUUGGCAAAUCUAUUCGUUAUAAAACUUUCCUUUGACAGUUUAAUCUAAGCAGAUGUUAAUUCUGCAAAUAGAGUGUGCCUUAGAUUAGUUUCAUAGAUUUGUCUCCUUCUGUACAGUAAAAACUUUGAGCAUUUUCGCCAUAUUCUGAUCAAUACACUCCAACUAGUUAGUUCUUGAGGCGUUUUAUGGUUUUGUGGAGUGAGGCAAGAUGUAUACGUUUGCAAAUUGGCAAUGUCUUUUGCUUGAUGGGUUGAGAGUUGUGAGUGUCAAUAGGAAAGUCUCAAAGUGCGCAGUGCUCACUUGAGCACCCAUAUUACUUGGUGACCUGUUGCCUCAGCAAACAGGACCUCUGUUUUAUGAACUCCAAAAAGUUAUUCUGUUAAAUAGAUCGAGACAGAGGCCAUACUAUAUUUAUUAUUGCUACAAAAGUGUGAAACAAUAUUCUUUAUUUAAUAUUCUAAACAAUUGAGCCAUUUAGUUAUGAUACUCUGCUGUAUUGGGGCUAAUAAUCUAAGUCGGUUCAAAGUGGUAAAUUUAUAAAUUGAUAGGUAUGCCUGGUAUGACCGCUUACGUUGGAUUUUAUGAGGUCUGCUCUCCUAAGCAAGGAGAGUGUGUCUUCAUAUCCGCCGCAUCUGGUGCAGUUGGACAGCUUGUGGGCAAAGUUAUUGGGUUGCUAUGUCGUCGGAAGUGCUGGAAGCAAAGGCAAGGUAUGUAAUCUGUGUGAAGUACUUGCUUGUUUCCAUGUUACUUUCAAACAUUUAAAUUAAAAAGGAAAUUUUCAUAAUCUUGCCUUUUCUAUGAUUUUCAAAACCAAGGUUGAUCUACUGAAGAACAAGUUUGGGUUCGACGAGGCAUUUAACUAUAAAGAAGAAGCUGAUUUGAAUGCUGAUUGUUGGGAAUUUGAUUAUUCUAGGUAUGCCUGGUGUAACUGCAUACGCUGGUUUAUACGAAGUUUGCUGUCCGAAGAAAGGAGAGUAUGUCUAUGUAUCUGCAGCAUCUGGAGCUGUUGGUCAGCUUGUUGGACAGUUUGCAAAAUUAGCUGGUUGCUGUGUUGUUGAAAGUACUGGAAGCAAAGAAAAGGUGCUGUUAUAACAUUCUUAAGUAGUAAAUAUAGCACCGUGCCUUCUACCAGAAUUUUACAUGCUUUAUGUUCCAACUAAGCAUCCAUAUAUGAUCGUGAUAAUUAGCAAGGUCAAUAAUUUUUUUUUGACUAUUUUUUCAAUGUAAGGUCGAUUUGUUGAAGAACAAGUUUGGACGAUGCUUUUAACUACAAGGAAGAGCCAGACUUGGAUGCAGCACUCAAAAGGUCAGCUCCAACAAACGUUUCAACUCUAAUAUUUCAUUUUAAUAUUACAGAGCUUUGGUUGAAGUGUGUGAUUUGAUCCCAGAAAUGUAACUUCAUCAGUGUCUCUGUUUUCAAAAAACAGGACAAAUAGAAAUCUGAUUUUGCUUUAAAAUUUCCCAGAUGCUUCCCUCAAGGAAUCGACAUAUAUUUCGAAAAUGUUGGGGGAAAGAUGCUGGACGCAGUGCUACUCAACAUGAGGCUCCGGGGCCGCAUUGCGGUAAGCAGUAUCAUCUCACAGUACAACCUGGAAAAACCCGAAGGCGUACACAACUUAGAGCAACUGAUCGGGAAACGGAUUCGCCUGGAAGGAUUUAUAGCUGGGGAUUACUAUCACCUCUACCUGAAAUUCUUGGAAUUGGUCAUUCCUGCAAUCAGAGAAGGAAAGAUGGUGUAUGUGGAAGACAUAGCCAAAGGACUCGAGAAAAUUUCUCGUAACUGCUACACAUUAAACGCAUUUCACAUUUCCACUCUCUCUCUAUAAAUAAAUACGCACAUAAAAUUUGUCACCAUCCAAAAACAAAAUCUACAUAAAAAAUGGCGGGUGAAGAAGCAGUGAGCAACAAGCAGGUGAUUCUGAGCAACUACGUGACAGGGUUUCCCAAAGAAUCAGACAUGAAGAUAAUAACAGGCUCAAUAAACCUCAGGUGCCAGAGGGUUCAAAAGACGCAGUGCUUUUGAAGAAUCUUUGUCUUUCCUGUGAUCCUCACAUGAGAGGACAUAUGAGCGAGCUUGAUAAGCCUUGGUUUGUUGCCUCGUUAAAGUCUCGAAAAUCCUGAAGGUAUCGACAUCUAUUUCGAAAAUGUUGGGGGUAAGAUGCUUGAUGCAGUGCUACUCAACAUGAGAAUUUGUGGCCACAUCGCUGUAUGCGGAAUGAUCUCACAGUACAACCUUGAGAAGCCUGAAGGUGUACACAACUUGAUGCAAGUAGUUGGAAAACGAAUUCGCAUGGAAGGAUUUCUUGCCGGUGAUUUCUACCACCAAUAUCCAAAAUUCUUGGAACUGGUUAUGCCGGCAAUCAAAGAAGGAAAGUUAGUAUAUGUCGAGGACAUAGCUGAAGGCCUUGAGAAAGCUCCAUCAGCUCUAGUUGGGGUAUUCACUGGGCAGAAUGUUGGAAAACAACUGGUUGUAGUUGCUCGGGAAUGAUAUGAUUACUAUAUGACCAUACACUUUAAAAGCUUAGUGAAGAUGCCUGUGUCUUAUUUGUGAUACAUGUUAUGUUUGUUUGAUCAAGUUGUACUCAGCUAUAAAUCAAAGAUUCAGAACAUGUGUAUGACACUGGUUUCUAAAUCAAUGAACGCUUUCAAAUGUUAGUAUUUUCACAGGAGAAUGCAAUUUAAUUUAUCAACGAUGUCCCAACAAGACCCUCAGAACUGUAGCUUGUAAAGUUAAUUACCAUAUUUUUUUCUUUCCAAUAUAUUUGCUUAUUUCAUAGAAAGUUUACAUUAAAGUCUCAUGUUUCUUUGAAAGGUAAGCAAGUGUGAACGUUUCAAUCUAGAGCUGGAAAAUGCAUUUCCGGGAACUUACUUGAUAAAUGAAGUUUUCAUCUCUGACCUUGAUGUUUCCCACAGGUGCAUUCAUUUCAGCUGAUCUAUAUAAUUUUGUUUUCGAAGGAGAGACACAAAAUCUCCGUUGUUAAGGGGAGAAUUUAGAGUGGCUUUGACUGUUAACAAAUAGCCUAAUGUAAGACUUAACCAACUUCCUGCCCUGUUGUAUGCUUAUGAAUUUUGAUAGAGCUAAGAGUUUGCAGAAGCUAUUGUAUUAUAUGUCGUUAGAGGCUGUAAACAUCAAACACAUUUAAAUUUCAAUGAAAAUUUACUGGAAGUAAAUUUCCUUUGAUCCCACAGGUGACUAAUUAAUGAGAACUUGACAAUGACAAAAGAAAGUGUAUGAACUUUGCAGGCUGGCAUGCCAAUAUUGACUGGGUGGCACCAUCCACCAUCUGCAAGUGAAUAUCAUUGUUGUUUAAUCAACAAGGUGGAGUCCACUGGGACCACACCACAUCGUCAGCCUUAUCUCUAUUCCUCAAUUUUCAGUAUUCCAUACAUCAAAACAAUUUCAGUUUUGUUAUCAAUUAUAAUUUCAUUGUUGGUGACGAUUCUGAUUCCUUUCUUUCUGACAAAACGGAACCAUGGUUGCUGUGGGAGAGAUCUUACUCAACGCCUUCUUUCAGGUGUUGUUUGACAGGUUGGCUUCCCGUGAUUUUCUCAGCUUUGUCCGUCAACUUGGAGGCGGGGUCGAUUCCGAGCUCAAGAAGUGGGAAAGAAAGCUGAAGCUGAUUCAGGCGGUGCUCAACGAUGCAGAGGAGAAGCAACUGACUGACGAGGCUGUGAAGAUGUGGCUGGACGAUCUCCAAGACUUGGCUUAUGACGCUGAGGACAUUCUUGAUGAGUUUGCUACUCAAGCUUUGGAAAGCAAGUUGAUGGCGCACAAUCACGAUAGUUCUGGCCAGGUUCUCAGUUUCAUCCCGGCUGGUUUGAAUCCGAAUGCUAUUAUGUUCAAUUAUAGCAUGGGGUCCAAGAUUAAAGAUAUUACUAGCCGGCUGGAGCAACUCUGCCAAGAAAGAAUUGAACUUGGACUGCAACGGAUUACUGGAGGGGCAUCAUCAACUGCUGCUGCUACACAGCAGAGGCCGUCCAGUUCGAGUGUCCCAACAGAACGUGAAGUAUUUGGAAGAGAAGAAGAUAAGGCCAAAAUUCUUGAUAUGGUACUGGCCGAUACUCCAAGUGUUCAUGCCGACUUUGUUGUAAUACCCAUUGUUGGCAUGGGCGGGAUAGGAAAAACAACUCUCGCUCGGGAGGUUUACAAUGACAAGGCCGUUGGAGAUUCCAAGUUUGAUGUAAAAGCAUGGGUUUGCGUAUCUGACGUCUUUGAUGUUUUGGGCAUCUCAAAGGCACUUCUCGAGUCAAUCACCCGCAGGCCUUGUCUUCUAAACAGUUUAAAUGAAGUGCAGGUUGAAUUGAAAGUAGCUGUGGAUAAGAAAAGAUUCUUGCUGGUCUUAGAUGAUGUUUGGAACGAGGACUACAGCUUGUGGGUAGACUUAAAAGCUCCGUUCCUGGGUGCUGCACCAAACAGUAAGAUGAUCGUCACCACACGGCAUAAAGAUGUGGCCUCAAUAAUGGGACCCAUUGAUCAUUACGGUCUCAAGCCUCUGUUAGAUGAUGAUUGCUGGUCCAUUUUCAUAAAGCAUGCAUUUGAAUCUAGAGAUCUUAACGCACAUCAAAUUUCAGAAUCAUUCCGCAAGAAAGUUGUUGCCAAGUGUGGAGGCUUGGCCCUGGCAGCAAAAACACUCGGAGGCCUUCUGCGUACGACGAGGCUUGAUGCGUGGGAUGAUAUAUUAGAGAGCAAAAUAUGGGAUUUACCUCAACAAAGUGAGGUUCUCCCAGUAUUUAGAUUGAGUUACCAUCAUCUUCCUUCUCAUUUGAAAAGAUGUUUCGCUUACUGUGCAAUCUUUCCAAAAGAUUAUGAAUUCAAUGAGAAGGAGGUGACUUUUUUAUGGAUGGCCGGAGGUAUUAUUCGACAGUCCAGAAGCAAAGAGCGGCUAGAAGAUUGGGGCAGCAAGUGCUUCUAUGAUCUGGUGUCAAGGUCAAUUUUUCAGCAAACAGCAAUCUCUGAUAGUUCUAAAUUUGUAAUGCAUGACCUUAUUCAUGAUCUUGCUGAAUCGGUCUUUGGAGAAACCAUAUUCAGGUUAGAGGAGGCCAAUACUCAGUCAAGAAGAUUUGAAAGGGUUCGUCAUUCUUCCUAUGUUUGUGGUGGACGUGAUGGUAAAAAUAUGUUCGAGGUUUUCAAUGAAAUUGAACGUCUCCGAACAUUCUUGCCAUUACGCUUACGCAUAAGAGGUGGCUCUAAUACUAGUUUCAUAACUCGUACGGUUCUAUCUGAUUUGCUGCCGAAGUUCAAAAUGUUGAGAAUGCUAUCUUUACAAGGAUACCGUAUCGGUGAGUUACCAAUUCCGUUUGAAGAUUUGAGACUUCUAAGGUUCCUCAACCUUGCUGACACUGACAUAAGAAGUUUACCUGAGUCAACAUGCAAAUUGCUGAACUUGGAAAUUUUGAUAUUAAGAAAUUGUUCCCGUUUGAUAAAGCUUCCGCAGAAAAUGAGGAAUUUGAUCAAUUUACGUCACCUCGAUAUAAGAGGUGCGAAGUUGCUGAAGGAGAUGCCAUUCGGAAUGAAAGAGUUGAAGAAGCUUCAAACAUUGUCCAAUUUCAUCGUGGGCAAGGGCGAAACUGCAUCUGGUUUGGAAGAUUUAAAAUGUUUAAACCUUCUUUGUGAUGAACUUUGCAUUGCUGGAUUAGAGAAUGUGAAUAAUCCACAGAAUGCAAGAGAAGCCGCAUUAUGCGAGAAGCACAAUCUUGAAGCACUGACUCUAGAUUGGGGGUCUCAAUUUGACAAUUCUCGAGAUGGAGUAGUAGAAGAGCAUGUACUGGAAAUUCUACAGCCUCAUAAACGUAUAAAAAAGGUGGCAAUCAGGAACUAUAGAGGUGCAAGAUUUUCACAUUGGAUAGGAGAUCCUUUGUUCUCCAAAAUAGAGUUCCUUGAAUUGGAGAACUGUGACAAUUGUGUAUCUUUGCCAUCGCUUGGCCGUUUGAAUUCACUUAAGCACCUUGCUGUUAAAGGGCUGAAGAAACUAAAAAGCAUAGAGUCUGAGGUUUAUGGGGAGGGUUUCUCAAUGCCUUUUUCGUCACUGGAGAUUCUAAGUUUUGAGAAUUUGCCAGAAUGCGAGCAUUGGGACACCAAUAUCAAAGGAAAUGUGCUUGUUGAAAUAUUUCCUCGUCUCCAUAAACUUUCCAUUGUGGAAUGUCCCAAACUCUCCGGAAAACUGCCUCAGCUCCUGCCCUCCUUGAAGACACUUGUUGUUAGUAAAUGUGAAAAGUUGGUAGUUCCAUUGUCAAGCUAUCCGAUGCUCUGCAGAUUAGAAGUUGAUGAGUGCAAAGAGCUAGUGUGCAGGACUCCAAUUAAUUUUGAGUUGAUAAAGUCUGUGACUAUUUCAAAUAAUUCAUUACGCAUGAAUGGACGCAAGGGGAUGCUAUGCCAUGGUCCAGCUGGCUCUUCACUGCAGAAACCCAAGACUAUUAUGAAUGUUUUGGAGUUUGGAAAAUUAUUGAAGCCUGGAUUACAGAUAUUAGAAACUUUGGUAAUUGGCAAUUCUGAACAGCUCAAGGAUUGGAGUACUUUUAUUGAACCAGGGCUACAUUUGCUCGCUCACAAUGAGGAGGUAUCAAUUGAAGAAA
rnacentral:lncRNA from 1 species